rnacentral:lncRNA from 1 species
AGACAAAGCCAUCCUCGAUGCUUUCAGUCUUUUGCCAAAGAGAGGUUGGGUCAAUGUUCUUGUAUGUCAGCCAUCAGCUGUUGAGGAAGCAGAAUUCUCCUCUGAAGUUAAGCUUCCACCUUGGGGUAAAAUUGUAGACACUGCUUUUGCGAUUUGUGAAAAGAAGCAGAAAGAGAGAGAAGAUUUCAGAAAGAGAGCAGAAGAAAUACGAGCUUCUUAUCUAAAUGGAACAGCCGAAGUUAGCCGUAUCUUUGGUGAAUUCUGAAGAAAAAAUCAAACAAGCUUUCUCUCACUAUAUUGCUUCGUUUUUCUCUUGUGUCUUUCCUUUGAUUUUCUGUUGCUAAAACCAUGGACUUUAACUUAAAGCAAUAAAAAAACAAAAACUAUGGAUUUGGUUAUGUUAUUUUUUUCAUUCUCUAUGUCUCAUUUUGCUUUCAUAACUUUGGAUUUCACAACAUUAACGUGUCAGAUGUGGUGGGUUCUAGCUUUACUCAAUUUCUCCUGCACAUCAAAUGAAAUGCCAAAUUCAUCUCAAACGUGCAAAUCACUUUCUAAUAAGUAAUAACACACGGAAAUGUAGUUUUUACGUAUGUGUUUAAAUAUUGUGAUGAUCUUAGCUAAAUUAAAAGUGAAUUUGACUAGUGUUAUGGAAAUAGAUUAUUGAUCACCUAUGUAUCAUUGUGGCUGGUUGGUUAGAUUUUAUCUCAUUUCUUCAACUCUAUUUAUUUAUUGGUUGGUGUAUUUGAUGAAUUUGAAAAUUCAAACUAAAUUUAAUGUUAUUGGUUCUAUGAUUUUAAAAUGUGUAAUGAAAUUAUGUGUUAUUGGUUUAAUGAUUCAUAAAUUCUAAUUCAAAUCAAGUGUUAUUCAAUCAUACGGAUUUACUAAUAGAUUUGAUUUUAUAAUGGAUUUGAAUGGAUUUGCAUGGAUUUUUUUGUUAAAAAUACAAAGACUCAAAUCUGAAGGAAAACCUCCGGAUUUGUAAAAACUAAUCCGAGAGAAUUUGAAUAUUUGUAUAUUUUACUUGGAUUUAUAAAUACUGUAUGGAUUUCUAAAUCAAUCAAAAUAGGUGUUAUUGGUUUAUAUAUUUUGAUUGAUUUAGAAAUCCAUGUAGUAUUUAUAAAUUCAAGUAAAAUAUACAGAUUUUUAAAUUUUUUCAGAUUAGUAUUUACAAAUCCGGAGGUUUUCCCUCGGAUUUGAGUCUUUGUAUUUUUAACAAAAAAUUUCAAACAAAUCCAUUCAAUUCCAUUAUAAAAUAAAAUUUAUUAAUAAAUCCUCACGAUUGAAUAACACUUGAUUUGAUAUAGAAUUUAUGAAUCACUAACACUAGAUUUAGUUCGGAUUUUUCAAAUCCAUUAAAAUACAACAACCAAUAACCCCGUGUUUUUAGUUUUAAAGUUUAAAGCCUACACCAAAAUUUUAUUAUUUUUUUGCUAAUCAUGAUUUGACUUUAUUUACAAUAGAAAAAGCAGUGUUUUGAAACCUGACCCGGACCCGCGGUUGAACCGGUAAACCCGGUGACUCAGAAAAAAUCCGGUUUGGGUUUUGUGAAAUACCCAAAAUUUAGAAACCCGCAAAAACCCGUAAAAACCCAGUAAAACCCGGAACCCGAUACCGGUUGAACCAAUAAAUAACUUUAACUUCUUUUUUUAGUUUUUAAUUAUGUUUUUAGAUUAUGUUUUAUAUUAUAAAUUUCCAAUUAAGAAAUUAGGUGAUGAUUAAAAAAAAGUUAGGUUUUCCCUUUUCAAUUUUAUAUUUGUAAUUUUUAGAUUUUGAUGAAGAUUUCACUAUGCCACCUGAAGAAAAUGAAAUGAACGAUGGUAUAGAGAACCAAAAUUAGUUGAUGUGAUUUGGUGUUAGUUUAUUUUCGUUAUUGACAAUUUAUUACAAUGAUCUUUUACUUUUGGUUUAUUUUGUAUUUGAAGUUUAAUUUAUUAUUCACAUUACACAUUUAAAUAUUUAAAAAUUUUAUGUCUUGAUUUUUUUAGAUGUCAUACAUCUUACCUUGUUAGAGAAAAUUUUAAAUAGUUUAAACUAUUUUUUUGAUAUUUUGUAUGUCAAAUGGAAAUAAAAAUAUAAAAACUAAAGUUAAGUAUUUUCUAAAUGUUUUUAAACAUAAAAUAGAUACAUAUCCAAACUAUUAUUUUACUUUCUUAAAAAACAUUUACAAAAUAUUAAACUUUAGUUUCUAUAUUUUUAUUUACAUAGCUGAUAUAUUAUUAUAUAAUAAAAUUAAUUUAUUUAUUAACCUGCGGUUCACCCGCGGUCGACCCAGUGACCCAGCAACCCAGUAAAUCGUCCGGUUCAGUGUUCGGGUCGGGUUUAAAAACAUUGAAAAAAGGUAAAGAAAAACUCUUUUUCUAAAUUAUUCAAAAAUCCAUCAUCUUAAUUAUUUAGGUUAUACCAUCUGUAAAAGAAAAAAUCAUGUAUGAUAUCAAAUAAACUAGAUAAUCGUAGCUAAAAUUUAUUAUUAUUUAAAUAUUAAUUUUUACUAUAUUUUAAAAUGUAUACACUAAUUUUAUUUGAUUCUGAAUAUAAAAUAUUAAAUAUUUAAAUAACAUAAAUGUCAUUUUUAUAUUAUAUUAAACAAUAAAAUAAAUUUGAUAAUUUAUAUUCUGAAAUAUCAGUCCGUUAUCUUAACCAAAUAAGACAAUAAUCUAGAAAAAAACAAGGUUAUUCAUUAUUACUAAUUAAUUUCUUUACAAGACAUUACUUGUAUUUUGAUUAGCAUCUUAAUGUCUUCAGCAACAAGCAAAUAGCUAUUCGUAUUGGCUUUCUUCGGAUUAAAAAAAGGUUUUAUUUUUUUUUUCCUUUUUUUGUAACUAAUUUUGGGAAAAUUGUCAAAUAUGACCUAGAACUUGAUUUUAAAUACAAAAGUAUAUCUCAACUUCAAUCUAAUGCAAAACUCAAAAGACUAGUGAAAAUACAAACAACCUUUUAUGACCAAACAAAUAACCAGGAUGCAUUUUUACGAAUAUAACCCUAAAAGUAUUUUGUGGGUUUUGUAAAUCUUCUCAUAUUGUAUAUCUUAAAUAUAAUUUAUAUAUUUUAUAAAAAAAAUAUUUUAUGGAGAAAAAAACUGAAAUCACGUAGUUAUAAACAUUUGUAAAUGAUAUAAUCAAGAUAUAGUAAAAUUGAAUUGUUUUCAACAUAGAUGAGUGAAUGUAGCGAGUCAUAGUAUUCUUUGGUUUAGGGUUUAGUAACAUAUGUGUAGUAUUGUUUGUAUUUUUAGGAUUAGAUUUUAGAACCUUAACAUUUUUUUUGAAAAAUUAAAGUUUGACAUAUAUGUAUUUAGUUAUGUGUAUACACUUUUAAUGUUGAUUUUAAAUUUAAUAAAGUAUUUGUUUCGAUUUAGUUAGUUAUUUGAAUAUAGUGUUAAUAUUUAGGGGAUAUAAGACAUCCACGAAGUCUUCUAAUAAGUCUUCUAAUAUAAAACUUUCCUGAAAGUUUUCUGAAUCGAAAAUAUUUAACCUAAAUGAAAAUUUUUGUCUCUAUAUAUAAAAAGAUCUCUCUAUUUCUCUCAAAUGGCUGUAACAAAAAUAUAAUGGAUCUGACUCUAAAACUCUCCAACAUCUCACUAAUCUCUUUGAAUUUGAAAACACCGAACUUUAUAUCAAUUUCUCAUUCUUAGUCUCAUGAAUUUCUCACUAAUUUAUCUUGUUUUUGUAGGUUUCUUACAUGGUUCUCAUUAUCCACUCUUUUAAAGGUAGAUCUACAAGUUUUGAAUAUGUAUUUUUAUGUGUUCUAUAACGGUAGAUCUAUCUCAUAUUCCACUCAUUUUCUUUGUUUUAAAGCCAUUUUAACGUUUUUGGAUAUACAGGUUUUCGUAUCUAAGUCAAACUUUGGAAGACUUCUAACAUAUAAUGAACUAGAAGACUUUCUGGAGGAGUUUUCUCCCAUGUCUCUUCUUUCGUAACAAGUGUUUUGGUAAGUAUUUAUGUUUGAUUUUUCUUCAUUUGGUAACAUUUUAUUGCUUAAAGUUUUUACCUUUUUCCUAAACUAAAACUCACUAAUCUCUCUCCAGCCUCUUUGAACUUGAAAACACCAAACUUUUUAUCAAUUUUUUAUUUUUUGUCACAUGUUUUUCUCACUAAUUUAUCUUGUGUUUUAUUACAUGGUUCUCAUCUUCCUCUCGUUUAAAGGUAGAUUCAUAAAAUUUGGAUAUAUAUUUUUGUGUGCUCUAUAAAGGUAGAUCUAUCUAAUCUUCCAUUUAUUUUGUCUGUUUUGAAGCCAUAUGAACGGUUUUGGAGAUGCAGGUUUUUCAGAUUUUAGUCAGAUUUAGGAAGUAUUCUCGGAAAUCUUCUAAAAUAUAAUGCGCUAGAAGAAUUCUUAGAAUCUUCAGAAAUACAAUGCACGGAGUUUUCUCUCUCAUAACAGAUAUGAGCGUUUUGGUAAGUCUACAUAUUUGAUUUGCCUCAUUUGGUAACCUCUUGGUGCUUAAAGCUCUUACUUUUUUUCCCAAACCAAAACUCUCAAACCUUUCUCUAAUCUCUUAAAAACACCAAACUUUAUAUCAAAUUCUCAGUUUUUGGUCGUUACCUAUCUGAUCUUGACGUCUUAACCUCAAAUGAUUUAGUUUUAAAACAAACAGUACAUUUUGAUCUGCAAUUCAAAGCAUGAGUUUAUUUUUGAAAGACCAAAUUUAUUUGUGUAUAUAUAUAUCUACAUUUAAAUGUUAUAAGAAUACUAUGUGUGCAAAUUAUUAUAUAUUUAAUGUUCUAAUGGAGAUUUUAAUUAUAGCAUAUGUAAUCAUGUUUCAGAAUAAUACAUAAAUAUAUGUAAUAGGGUUUAAAAUGAAACCAUGAUAUUUUUCUUGCAUUAAUCAGCAUUUUGUGUUAUUAACGUUAUUAGUUAAUAUUACCCGACCCAAAAAACCUACACUACAUUUACUCGAAACCGACCUGAAAAUCAGGGUCCUUAUCCCGAUUAAGACACAAUCUAUAUAUUCGGAGAGGUCUUAAAUUGCUAUAUCCAAAAUGGAUAUUGAAUCAGACCCGCACCAAAAAUUGAAUGAGUAUUUGAACAUAUAAAUGUAUAUAAAAUAUUAGUUGUAAUUAUACUUAUAAUAAUAUUACCUAAAAUUAGAAUUAUAAAUAAAAUAUGUUAGUUAUUCUAGGAAUUUAUAGAUAAACAUGGAUGUUUUGGACACAAAAAAAAAAAAAAACAUGUUGUAGCUCCUAGAUUUUGGGCUGAGGCUGCAUCAACUGCAGUAUAUUUGAUAAAUAGAUCGCCAAAUUCCUCAGUAAAUUUCAGACUACCUGAGGAAAUCUGGUCAGGAGUUAAACCAGAUUUGAGCAAUCUGAAGAGAUUCCAUAUAUAAUGAACAUUUUUAAGUAUUCUUAGUUUUUUUUUUGAAUACGUCUGGGUAAUUUGAAUAAAAGAAUACUCAAUCGAAUUGAGUAAAUUGGUUAUCUAAACUAUUAAAACUGAAGUACAAAUUUAAAAUAACCCUGACUUUUCCUAAAAAAUUACAAUCUCAUGCCACUGAGUAAUUAAGAUGUAUUUAUUUAAAAUAAUAUAUAAAUUAAUUAUUUUGCUGAACCAUUUCCUAAUCUACGCAAACUAUACCAGUAUGGUUCGUUGGACUUGGUCCAUAUAUAUCAAAACUAUGAGUUUAACUAUCCAACACAUGGCCUAACUCUGAACACAUAAAUAUUGAUAGUGCUCAUAUUAUAAAUCGUACUAUGAAUUUUUUUUUUUUUAAAUCCAAGACCUCGGAUUAUAGUAUCCAUUAUUGAUAGUGCUCAUAUUAUAUAUCGUACUAGGAAUUUUUUUAUAAUAAAUCCAAGACCUAGCAUUAUACAGUAGUAUCCAUUUUUUGGCAUAUAGAGUAAUUGGUUUAAUCUUUAAAUACAUGUCGUACUUGCAACAAUCUAUCAAACCGGUUUAAUAUAGUUUGUUACAACGUUGACCACAUAUUAUAGUAUCGAUUUGGUGGCAUACGAAGUCAUUGGUUUAGUAAUUGCAAACAAAUUGUUUUCACAACAAACUUGGUCUUGGUGUACAAUUCAAAAAUCAAUUUGUAUACCGAAAUAUCUAUCAAAAUUAGUUACGAAAAUCUAAACUUAACAAUAUUGAUCAACGAAUAAAAAAAAAAACCCAAAACGAGAUGAUUAUAGAAACUCAAUAUAUAUACAUACCUACCACGCACGUAUUAAAAGAUUUCCUAAUAACAAUAAAAAUAUUUUAAAUAUUAUAGGUUGUUCACAAAAAUCUCUAACAUAUUAACUAAUUUACUUAUCUACACCUAAAAUCAAGCAUAUAUAUUUUCCGUGAUACACUCUGUUUUAACGUUCUACCUUUUUAAAUACUUUAUAAAAUUUAUUUCCAAUUAUAAACUUUUAAAAAGAAUAUUCAAAAGUAUAAAAUCCCUACAAUCAAUGAAAGUUUAAAUAUGAAAUUAAUUAGCUCACUAACCAUGCCAUCGUCCUAUACAUAUACAUUUUUUACCAUCUACUAUUUUUUGCAUUCAAAACACGCAAUUAACAUAAAAAAGGCCACUAAUCGAGGUUUUCAUCUUCUUAAGGAAGCAAUUACUGAAGAGCGUACCAGUGAUCAUAUGAUUCUAUGUUUGAUUAGGUUUGCUAAAAUCAGCUCUUACAAAAGUAUUAAAAAUUCUUUUAGUUUCUGUGAACAAAAUUCCACUUAACAAGUGAAAACUCAACAUUACGUUUUCUUUAUGGGAAAUAGGAGAUGUACAAAUCACAAAUGCAGUUGAUGCUUCAGUUGUGACUCUCAACCCAACCAUGAAAGAAGCUAUUGACUUUCAUCUUAAUCUCAUGGACUAACAAAAUCUUGAAAAUAUUUUGUUUUAAUUACAGAAUGAUAAACGAUGAUCUUCCUAUUGCUCUUUGUGAGAGAAAUAGUGACAAGAAGUUGAUUAAGCAUCAAGAUGAAGAUUGGAAUGAGACUCAAGUCAGACCCAUCUCUGAAAUUUUGGCGGCAGUCGAGGUAAAAUUUCAAUAUUUUGAGAUAUUUUACAGCGGGCUUAUUGUGAUUAGAUGAUUUACAUAUUGUGUCCGUGAGUACAUAUAGACCGGUUGAAAUUUGAGAAAACAACCAUGGAAUUGUGAAUUCUGUCAUGCAUGUUUUAAUUAUCCAAAUUUUGUUUAUAUAGUUAGAUAUUGCACUUCUAACAUGUCCAAAAUGUAUAAGUGUAAAAAUUAUUAUUAAUAAAAUAUUUUUAACUGAUUUAAAAUUUUACCCAAAACAUCAUAAAAUUAAUAAUACGUUUAAAUCAUAUAAUAAUAUAUGAAAGAAAUGUUAAUAUAAAUCUGACAGGACAUGAUACAUUUAACACAUGGAUCCAAUUAUUAUUUGUAUAACUACAUAACAUCAUACAGUAUUGCAAUAUAUGGUCUCAACAAUAAAAUAAACUAAAUUAGUGAAAAUGCAACAAUUAAAUUAUUAUGUUUUAAAAUGUUUAUAUAUAUUCUAAAAGAAACAUCCGCACGGGUGUGCGGGUCAAGCUCUAGUUUUUCUUAAAAGUAUCCAAACCGAACCGGAUAUCCAGAAAUUUUAUGGUUCGUUUACAUGAGAACAAUAUCCAUCCUGACCAAGAGGAUUCGACCCGAACUCAGUCCAGUUUUCGUAAUAUCUGAAUGAGAUCUCUUUCAAAAUCCAAGAUGGCGGCAAUUAUUUGAAGGUUUUUGUUCUUUUUUUUUGAAGGAGUUAUUGUGUAAAUUAUUCAGUUGGGGGGUUUUUGUGAUUUGAAUUUAUUUGAUUUGAUUUUUAGUAAUUAAUUUUGAGGGAUUUUUCUCUCAAAUCUGUCGAUGAAUCUGGGGAAAAACCUUUCAGGUCUUCCCAUGGUCAACUAUUUUCCCUAUUUUUGUAACUUUUUCUUCAUUUUCUUUGGGGUGUACCUGUAAAUAUUUUUGUUUGUGUAAAUAUAAAAUGUGAUUGCUAAUUACCUUUUUGCUUAACCGUAUUCUGCUGUGAUGAUUACUGAUUAGUUUUAAAACUAACACAUACUACUUACAUAUGUUGCAAUACCUCUUUAAUCUUUAUUACAAGUUCUCAUAAUUAUGAUUAUUAAUAAUUGUGAUUGAUAGGGCAAUCUAGUGACGUAAUAACCGAUUUAUGUAAGGUAACUGAAUGGCAACUUCAUCCUCGAAUUUGAUAAAUUUGUUUCUAACGGAAGAAAAAUAAAUCUAAUAAUUAUCGAAGUCUCAGAAUAGCUCAUGGAGAUAUUAGGUUCAUCAUGUGAUGUACAUUUUAGAAGUUUAGUCAUGAAAUGUUACAUAUUCAGUAUAUUUAAAUAAGAUCAUAUACAAACAUAGAUAUAAAAAAAGAACUUUACAUACAUUAGAUGAUUACAAAUUUAAUAAUUCAACAAUGAGUAAAGCUUGUCCACAAAAACACUACAAAAUUUCAUUUUUUUUCUACUAAAAUGUAUUCACUAUAUCUAUAUGGCACAUAUAUCUAAUUGUGCAAUAAAUAAUUUUCUAAAAUUACCUACUCACUUUGUAAUAUUUAUGUAAAAUAAAUAAAUUGGUUAAGCAGCAGGGAAAGGGAACGAUCAUGAUUUUGGCAAAAGUGUAUGGGCUUUUUGUAAAUAUGACUUAUAACUUAAAGUCAAACACAAAACUAACCAAUGACUUUUUUUUUUAAUUUUAACUUGUUUUAUUCAUUCCAAAAGUUCGGAUUAUUCACAAAGAUAUCAUUACUUUUUCUAAAAUGAGUAUUUUACUCUAUCAUCCUCAUCUUCAUCAAUUAUUUACAAUAUUGUUAUUGCCAUCAAUACACCAAACACAUUGAACAACCAAUUUGAAUCUCUUAAUGCACCUAAAAUUCGAUUUUGACUUCUUCUAUCUCAUUUCUUAUGAACUAAAAAAAACAACUCUUUCACUUUCUUUCUAUAUUCAUCCAAAAAACCGAAGACUAUGAUUCUAAAAAUUUUAAGGUUCAUAGAGCCAUUCAAGCUCAUGACUCUUGGUCAUUAAUGUGGGCCGCUUUGGUGGUGAUGUUUUGUGUGGUUAGAGAAUGUAAACAAGUUAUCUCACUGGUUGAAACUAUGAAAUCAUUUUUUUUCCAGAUCUGUCCGUCACGUAGAGAGAAGACUUACACAGAAGUCUUUUGGUCAAUGCAUAGGUUAGUUUUGCAAUUGAAUUUAUGUGUCUUUGAUAAAAUGCUUCUCUGGAAGUCUUCCUUUUUUUUGCUUUCAAAUUUUUUUCGAAAAUACCAGAAAAGAUUCUCCAGUAAAUCGUCUAGGAUAAACAUGUUAAUUUUGCAUUUGAUCAGAUUGUGUCAGAAAUUUAACUUUUCCUAGACGACUUACAAGGAAGUCGUCCAACAGAAAAAUAAAACUUAAAUAUUUAAUUUUCACAAGAUGACUUUCAAGUAAGUCGUUUUAGGUUACUUUUGCAAUUGAAAAAUAAAACUUAAAAUAUUUAAUUUUAUCUGGACGACUUCCAUGUAUGUCUUCCGGUAGACAACUUAGACGGAAGUCUUCCAGGAUUUUAUUCUGAGAUUUUGGUCAAAUCUUGGUUAUUACAGAAAACCUGUCUUUUGAAAACAAAAAAACUAAUAAGCUACUUUGCCAGGACUUGAACAAAUCAAAAGUUUUUAAAAAUUGUCAUGGCUUCACACUAUUCCUUUUCAUUGUUUCAAUUUUUUUUUAAACACACUAUUUAAAUUGAGUUUAUUAUAAAUAAGAGUUCCUCAUUUAUUGACCGUUACUCAAUAAAUAAAUAUUGAUAAAAACCCAUACAAUGAUCUCAUUAUUUUUUUGUAUAAAUUUUGAUUGUGUAACUAAAUCUAAAGUUGUAAAACGUAUACACCCUUGAUAUAAAAGUAAAUGCUCACACAACUCUCUCAAUUUUUUUUUAAAAAAUUAUCAUGUCAUUCUUUUACUUUUAUUAUUUUCAUAUUUUUUUCAAGGGCAAAGAAAAAAAUAAACUAUGAUCCUCAAAUGAAGAUUUUGUAUUUUUACAUCAAUCAUUCCAUUAAAAGUAUACAUAUACAAAUAAAUAACAAUAUAUCUAUGUACAACUAAACAAGGAAAAAAAAACGCAAAGCUAACCGCAAAACUAAUUCAAAAGAAUGUAGGCACGGGUCGACGAUCUAUUUCCACAUCAGAACUUUCAUAUAGCAUCAGAUCCUCACCAAACUAUGACCUAAUGUUAGAUCUCUCUGAAUUGAAAGUUGUAAGCUUAUAUUUCACCAAAUUGAAAAUUACGAACUUAUUUCUCCAUUAAUCGAUAGUUCAAAACUUAAUUAUCCAUAGACCAAGGUUUGAACCAAUAUAUUAUUAACCAAACAAUUUUUAACCGGUUAAAAUUAAUUAAACCAAAUAAAUACAAUUCUAAAUAAAAACCAGACCCAUAAACAACCCGGUUUCUUUCUUCUUCACCCGGCUCGAUUUUGUUUCCUUCUUCUUUAGCCGAAACAGAAAAAAACAAGAAUAAUAAUUUAACUGCACAAUAACUCAGUUUUUUUCCCUUCGAAUCUAAGCCAAUCCAAUCUAUAAAUGGAAUUAGCUCCUGUAAUAGAUACAUCAGCACAGACGAGGAUAUGCUUCACGUUCCUGAUCUAAAAAAAAUACAUGAUUAAUCAAAAAUGAAAAAAAUGGUGGAUGAAGAACAGAAGAUAGAGUUCGUGAUUCGUGAAUCACAUAUUCCAGAUUUGAGGAGAAUCUUCGAGCUUUAGUUUUGCAAUUUGAGCUAACAACAAGAGGUUGAAAGAAAUGUGAGCCAGGUGAAAAAGAAACAAAUCGGGUCGGAUUGUUUUUGGGUUGGGUUUUUAAUUUAAAAUUGGUUUUAUUUGGUUUAAUUAACUUAAACUGCUUUAAAAUUGUUUGGUUAAUAAUAAAUAGGGUAAAACCAGAGCCCAUGGAUAAUUAAGUUAUAUGAACUAUCGAUUAAUGGAGAAAUAACUUUGUAACUUUUAAUUAGAGAAAAAUAAUCAACAACUUUGAGUUCAUGCAUGUCAUAGUUUGUUAAAAAUUUGAUGCUACAUGAUAGUUUUGAUGGGGAAAUAGAUCGUCGACCCAAUGGACACGAUAUAAUACUCCUAUUUAGUAAAGAUAUACAAAACAGUAGAAGUAAUUGAAGCGCGCGAAAUUUAAUCAAAAGUAUCUGCGUUCUCCCCACGUCGUGUUCCUCACUCCGUUAAACCGCUCUCCACGUCAUCAUCGCUAUUCGCUAGCGACUUCUUAAAUUCAACACACGCUCAUGGGCCCCAUGAAAGCCAACAACUAAUCACAAUCCUUGUUUUUUUCGUAAGCUUGAAACACGGAACUGGGCCCUACUGUUCUCACCUGUCCACAGCGUAAACGCCGCACGUCAAUCUUCUACCAACAAAUCCGGUAUUCUCCCCGAUGUAAACCGCGUCAUCCCACCUAAACCGGGUAAUACCGGUUCCUCACCGUCAAUAUAUUUCCUCGAACCGGUACUCAUCCUCGGCGGCGAAGAUUUUUCAUCUUCUUCCGGCGGAAGCUGCCCUCUGAUAUCGCUCGACCUUCUCGACGGAGCAAUGGCUUCCUUAUACGGCGCGUGUACUCCACUCGCCGUUAGGCUUUUGCAACCGCCACCGGUUCUGAAAAUAGCUCGGACGCUCGCGAAAAACCCGGGUUUCUUAACCAUAACCGGUUUAUCCUUAAGCGAAUCGGUUCGAACGGAUUUAUGUCUCUGCAUUUUGACGGCUACGGUCUCGUUUCGAUCUCACUCUCCCAAUGCAAGAGACCUUCGGAGAACCAGGCUCCGACAACGAAGGAUCCGAUUUCAACAGCGACCCGAACCGUUUCGGGAUCAUCAGAGUCUUCGCGAUUCUGCAGUUACGCCGCUUCUUCACUUCGUUGAAACACGUCUUCUGCGGUUUCGGUAAUCUGAUCACCGACGUUUUGGAUUUGAGAGAGAUCAUCUGAGAGCUCGAGUUUGUAUUCGUGCUCUGAGCAGGAAAACAGUUUCCUUUCUGUGAUUCUUUCCGCUCGAAGAAGGCGUUCUCGUUGAACCACUCGAGCUGUGCUUCUUUGGAUAAGGAGUAAGACUCCGGUGGAAAAUCGAUCGGACUCGCGGCGGAGUCGGAAACGGGUCGGACCAUCGAGUCAUUAACUGAGUCGUCGUUGUCGGAGACACUCGUGGGAGCUAAGUGACUCGGCCCAAACCCAUACUAUCCAGCCCGCUACAAGCAACAGGUCAAAAGCAACAGAAUAGAUUGAUGGGCUACGGUACACAAAGGCCCACUCUCAAACGUAGAGAACAAGUCGAAGGAGCAUGUCAUAUAAAUACAUGUUGUAGCUCCUAGGGUUCUCUCACGUUUUAUUUCUUGUUGUUGUUGGCUGCAGCUCUGUCUUGAGAUUGUGCUUGAACACCUGAGAUUGAGACAUAGCAGAGAUAGAUCGAUUAGUGCUUGUAAACUCCUAUUUGAUUCUAGUGAAAUUUGUGGGUAAGAGAUCCCACACGAGACGUACUGGUCGAGGCCAGGAACUCGUUAAAUCGCUUGUGUACUAGACUAGGUUAAUCUGACUAGCUCAAAACGAUCAAUCUAUAUCCUUCACAAGUGGUAUCAGAGCGCUGGUUAAGAGCAGAUCAAAAGUCUACAAGAAGAGUUUGAUAAAGUUCCAGUUACUAGACAAGUCAAAAGGAGAGAAGGCAAGUUUGAUACUUAUCUUUUUGCGAGAAGUAAGAAAGUCCGGAUCACACGUUCUGAGUUCUGAAGGUCCUUGAAUUGUUACCUGAAAUAAAACAAGAUCAAGACAAGUCAAACAUGGAACCAGUAUCUGGAAAAUUUGUAGUUGAAAAAUUUGAUGGUAAAGGAGAUUUUGGUUUGUGGAAACACAAGAUCUUAUGUCAACUAGAAUUAAUGGGACUUGACUCGGUUCUAACUGACGAUGAGGUUUCUACAUCAGAUUCAACUAAGGCUGAAGAUGAGGAGGAUGAAUCUACUAAUAAGGGUAAUGAAAAAGAGUCUAAGCCAGAUCCAAAGGCUGCUGAGAAGAACAGGCGGGUGAGAAGUCUCCUGACUAUGAGCCUUGGGGAUAAGAUUCUUAGGAAAGUAAUGAAGGAGAAGACAGCUCUUGAUAUGUGGAAGGCUUUGGAGAGAAGCUAUCAAACCAAGUCUUUGCCAAACCGAAUCUAUAUGAAGCAGAGAUUCUAUAGUUUCAAGAUGGAGGAAAGCAAGAGCUUAGAUGAGAAUAUGAAAGAUGGAAUGAUUCAGUUCUAUAAAGGAGAUCAGAAGGUGCUUGUUGGAAAAUACAAGGAUGGUUUGUAUUACUUGGAUGGAAUAGUUUCAAAGUCAGAAGUUGUAGAGGCUAAACUCGACACUAAUUUGACGAAAGUGUGGCACUCUAGACUUGGUCAUAUGAGUCAGAAGAAUAUGGACGUGUUGGUAAAAGAAGGAUACUUAACUAAGAAGGAUAUUCAGACUCUGAGUUUUUGUGAGAACUGUGUUUUUGGAAAAGCUCAUAAACUAAGCUUCCCAAAAGGAAAACACACGUCAAAAGAGACACUAGAGUAUAUACACUCUGAUCUUUGGGGAUCGCCAUCAGUAACACCAAGCUUAGCAGGCUGUCAGUACUUCAUCACCUUCAUUGAUGACUAUUCUCGAAAGGUGUGGAUAUUCUUCUUAAAGACAAAGGAUGGUGCUUUUCAAAGGUUUAAAGAAUGGAAGGCAAGCGUUGAAAAUCAGUCUAAGAAAAGUAUUAAGUACUUAAGGACUGACAAUGGACUAGAGUAUUGUAAUUCACAGUUCGACACUCUAUCCAAGGAAGCUGGCAUUAAGCGACAUAAGACAUGCACGUACACACCACAACCAAAUGGUGUGUCAGAGAGAAUGAACAGAACCAUUAUGGAAAAAGUUAGGUGCAUGCUGUCUGAAAGUGGAAUGGAGGAAAUAUUUUGGACUGAGGCUGCAUCAACUGCAGUAUAUUUGAUAAAUAGAUCGCCAAAUUCCUCAGUAAAUUUUAGACUACCUGAGGAAAUCUGGUCAGGAGUUAAACCAGAUUUGAGCAAUCUGAAGAGAUUCGGAUGUACAGCCUAUGUACACGUGAGAGAAAGCAAGACAAACCCUAGAGCAGUGAAAGCCAGCUUUGUGGGAUUUCCUCAAGGAACUAAAGGUCUUAGAACCUGGUUGCCUGAAGAAGAAAGAUGUACCAUAAGUCGGAAUGUGAUAUUUAAUGAGGACGAGAUGUUCAGAGACUUGUGUGAUAUCCAAGCAAGAGACCUUCGGAGAACCAGGCUCCGACAACGAAGGAUCCGAUUUCAACAGCGACCCGAACCGUUUCGGGAUCAUCAGAGUCUUCGCGAUUCUGCAGUUACGCCGCUUCUUCACUUCGUUGAAACACGUCUUCUGCGGUUUCGGUAAUCUGAUCACCGACGUUUUGAAUUUGAGAGAGAUCAUCUGAGAGCUCGAGUUUGUAUUCGUGCUCUGAGCAGGAAAACAGUUUCCUUUCUGUGAUUCUUUCCGCUCGAAGAAGGCGUUCUCGUUGAACCACUCGAGCUGUGCUUCUUUGGAUAAGGAGUAAGACUCCGGUGGAAAAUCGAUCGGACUCGCGGCGGAGUCGGAAACGGGUCGGACCAUCGAGUCAUUAACUGAGUCGUCGUUGUCGGAGACACUCGUGGGAGCUAAGUGACUCGGCCCAAACCCAUACUAUCCAGCCCGCUACAAGCAACAGGUCAAAAGCAACAGAAUAGAUUGAUGGGGUACGGUACACAAAGGCCCACUCUCAAACGCAGAGAACAAGUCGAAGGAGCAUGUCAUAUAAAUACAUGUUGUAGCUCCUAUGGUUCUCUCACGUUUUAUUUCUUGUUGUUGUUGGCUGCAGCUCUGUCUUGAGAUUGUGCUUGAACACCUGAGAUUGAGACAUAGCAGAGAUAGAUCGAUUAGUGCUUGUAAACUCCUAUUUGAUUCUAGUGAAAUUUGUGGGUAAGAGAUCCCACACGAGACGUACUGGUCGAGGCCAGGAACUCGUUAAAUCGCUUGUGUACUAGACUAGGUUAAUCUGACUAGCUCAAAACGAUCAAUCUAUAUCCUUCACAAGUGGUAUCAGAGCGCUGGUUAAGAGCAGAUCAGAAGUCUACAAGCAGGGUUUGAUAAAGUUCCAGUUACUAGACAAGUCAAAAGGAGAGAAGGCAAGUUUGAUACUUAUCUUUUUGCGAGAAGUAAGAAAGUCCGGAUCACACGUUCUGAGUUCUGAAGGUCCUUGAAUUGUUACCUGAAAUAAAACAAGAUCAAGACAAGUCAAACAUGGAACCAGUAUCUGGAAAAUUUGUAGUUGAAAAAUUUGAUGGUAAAGGAGAUUUUGGUUUGUGGAAACACAAGAUCUUAUGUCAACUAGAAUUAAUGGGACUUGACUCGGUUCUAACUGACGAUGAGGUUUCUACAUCAGAUUCAACUAAGGCUGAAGAUGAGGAGGAUGAAUCUACUAAUAAGGGUAAUGAAAAAGAGUCUAAGCCAGAUCCAAAGGCUGCUGAGAAGAACAUGAGGGUGAGAAGUCUCCUGACUAUGAGCCUUGGGGAUAAGAUUCUUAGGAAAGUAUUGAAGGAGAAGACAGCUCUUGAUAUGUGGAAGGCUUUGGAGAGAAGCUAUCAAACCAAGUCUUUGCCAAACCGAAUCUAUAUGAAGCAGGGAUUCUAUAGUUUCAAGAUGGAGGAAAGCAAGAGCUUAGAUGAGAAUAUCGAUGUUUUCUUGAAGCUAGUCUCAGACCUAGCAAGCGUCCAGGUUAAUAUCUCAGAAGAAGAUCAAGCGAUCUUCUUGCUUAACAGUCUGCCUAAGGCGUAUGAGCAGAUGGCUCACUCCCUGAAAUACGGAAAGGGAAAAGACACCAUCACUGUUGAAGAAGUAACUGAAUCUGCAUACUCUAAAGAAGUUGAGUUAAAGGAAGCAGGACAGUUAAACAAGGCCAAGACAGCAUCUGAAGGUCUAUUCGUAGGACAAAGAGGAAGGUCUGAUAGGAGGUCUAACAGUGGCUAUGCAAAAGGCAGAUCAAAGAGUAGAGGAAAAUCCCAAUCAAAGUUUAAGAAGAAGGGAUGUUUCUCAUGUGGCAAAGAUGGACACUGGAAGAGAGAUUGCCCAGAUCGUCAAGGCCCAAAGGUGGAGGAUUCUGCAAAUGUAGUCACAGAAUUCAAGGAGCCGUUGAUACUCACUGCAAGCGUUCAACAUGUAAAAGAUGAAUGGGUGUUGGAUUCAGGAGCGAGCUUUCACAUUACUCCAAACAAAGAACUACUAUUCGACUUAGAAGAGUUCAAGGGAGGUAAGGUGUUUAUGGGAAACAACACUCAAUGUGAUGUUCAAGGCAUGGGGAAGAUCAAGGUUCUGAAUUCAGACGGCUCAGUGAUUAUUCUCUCAGAAGUCAGGUAUAUGCCAUCUAUGAGUCGAAACUUGAUCUCAUAUGGGUGUUUGGAUAAAGCUGGAUGUCAUUACGAAGGAAAGGAUGGAAUGAUUCAGUUCUAUAAAGGAGAUCAGAAGGUGCUUGUUGGAAAAUACAAGGAUGGUUUGUAUUACUUGGAUGGAGUAGUUUCAAAGUCAGAAGUUGUAGAGGCUAAACUCGACACUAAUUUGACGAAAGUGUGGCACUCUAGACUUGGUCAUAUGAGUCAGAAGAAUAUGGACGUGUUGGUAAAAGAAGGAUACUUAACUAAGAAGGAUAUUCAGACUCUGAGUUUUUGUGAGAACUGUGUUUUUGGAAAAGCUCAUAAACUAAGCUUCCCAAAAGGAAAACACACGUCAAAGGAGACACUAGAGUAUAUACACUCUGAUCUUUGGGGAUCGCCAUCAGUAACACCAAGCUUAGCAGGCUGUCAGUACUUCAUCACCUUCAUUGAUGACUAUUCUCGAAAGGUGUGGAUAUUCUUCUUAAAGACAAAGGAUGGGGCUUUUCAAAGGUUUAAAGAAUGGAAGGCAAGCGUUGAAAAUCAGACUAAGAAGAGUAUUAAGUGCUUAAGGACUGACAAUGGACUAGAGUAUUGUAACUCACAGUUCGACACUCUAUGCAAGGAAGCUGGCAUUAAGCGACAUAAGACAUGCAUGUACACACCACAACAAAAUGGUGUGUCAGAGAGAAUGAACAGAACCAUUAUGGAAAAAGUUAGGUGCAUGCUGUCUGAAAGUGGAAUGGAGGAAAGAUUUUGGGCUGAGGCUGCAUCAACUGCAGUAUAUUUGAUAAAUAGAUCGCCAAAUUCCUCAGUAAAUUUCAGACUACCUGAGGAAAUCUGGUCAGGAGUUAAACCAGAUUUGAGCAAUCUGAAGAGAUUCGGAUGUACAGCCUAUGUACACGUGAGAGAAAGCAAGACAAACCCUAGAGCAGUGAAAGCCAGCUUUGUGGGAUUUCCUCAAGGAACUAAAGGUUUUAGAACCUGGUUGCCUGAAGAAGAAAGAUGUACCAUAAGUCGGAAUGUGAUAUUUAAUGAGGACGAGAUGUUCAGAGACUUGAAAGAUACAGUUCAAGAAAAUAGAGAACAAGAAGAAGAAGCUCCAGGAAAGAAGGUUAAACGAGUUACAUUCAAUCCAGAAUUAAUUCAAGGACCUUCAGGAAGGAUUACGAGUGUUGGGAAUCCAGCUCAAAGUGGAGUAACUUCUGAUAUUGAAGCCAAGUCAGACUCUGAACCUAAAGAAAACGAAGCGUCAGAAACUCAGGAGGAACAAGUUGAUCUGGAAAACUAUGUUCUGGCCAGAGACAGGGUUCGAAGGGAGAUCAAACUACGAUCAAAGUUUGAUGACUAUGAUUUGGUCGCAUAUGCUUUAGCCGCAGCGGAAGACCUAGAUAUUGACGAGCCUAAGACAAUUGAAGAGGCUAAGAGGUCGAAGUACUGGAAGCAGUGGCUGAAAGCUAUGGAAGAGGAAAUGAGUUCUCUUGAUAAGACUGGUACAUGGCAAACCGUUGAGAAGCCAGAAAAGAAAAAGAUCAUUGGAUGCAAGUGGGUUUUCAAGUUCAAAGAAGGAAUACCAGGCGUGGAGGAACCUAGAUUUAAAGCUAGACUUGUUGCUCAGGGUUUCUCGCAAGUUGAAGGUAUUGAUUAUACAGAGGUUUUUGCACCAGUAGUGAAACAUGUUUCGAUUAGGAUCAUGCUUUCAUUGGUAGCAAAUGAAGAUUUUGAGCUUGAACAGCUUGACGUUAAGACUGCCUUCUUGAACGGAGAGUUAGAGGAAGAAAUUUUCAUGAACCAGCCAGAGGGAUUUGUGGAGAAGGGGAAGGAAAGGAAAGUGUGUCUGUUAAAGAAAUCUUUAUAUGGACUAAAACAAUCCCCGAGACAGUGGAACAAGAAAUUUGAUGAAUUUAUGAAGACUCAAGAUUUUCGCAGAAGCUUAUAUGACCCAUGCGUCUACAUAAAAGGAUCAGAGGUUUCACAGAUGAUCUACUUGCUUAUCUACGUUGAUGAUAUGCUAAUUGCUUCAAAGGAUUUAUCUAAGAUCAAAGAGCUGAAAGAGAAUCUGAAAAAUCGGUUUGAGAUGAAAGACUUGGGAGCUGCAAGUAGAAUUCUUGGGAUGGAUAUUAUCCGAGAUAGAAAGAGCGGAUGGGUGAAGCUAUGUCAGAGAAGUUACUUAGAACAAGUUCUAAGAACGUUUAACAUGUCUGAAGCCAAAGCAGUGGUCACACCAACUGGAGCUCAAUAUAAGCUACGAAGUCUAAAUGAAGAAGAGCUAAGAACAGAAAAAGAAUUGAUGAGCGAGAUUCCAUAUGCAAGCGCAGUCGGUUCUCUAAUGUAUGCAAUGGUGGGAUCAAGGCCCGACUUGGGAUAUGCAGUGGGUUUAGUCAGUAGAUAUAUGGGUAAUCCAGGAAGAAUCCAUUGGGAAGCUGUGAAAUGGGUUAUGAAAUAUCUAGCAGGAACGUCGAGUUUUUGCCUAAAUUUUACUAAGAGCUCUAACUUCAGAGUGGAGGGCUUUUGUGAUGCUGACUAUGCGAGUGAUCUAGAUAGGAGAAGAUCGGUCACUGGAUACGUUUUUCAAGUGGGAGGAAAUACUAUAAGCUGGAGGUCAGGGCUUCAACAUAUAGUUUCUUUAUCUACUACAGAAUCAGAAUAUAUGGCUUUGACAGAGGCUGUUUAGGAAGCUAUAUGGUUGAAAGGAUUUUGCGGGGAUUUGGGGUUUCAGCAAGAGAAUGUUAAAGUGUUUUGUGAUUCGCAGAGCGAUAUACACUUGGCCAAAAAUGGAGGUUUCCAUGAAAGGAUCAAGCAUAUAGACACUCGAUUGCAUUUCAUACGAGAUGUAAUUGCUCAAGGAGAUGUUGUUGUUGAAAAGAUACAUAUAUCUAAGAAUCCAGCAGAUUUUUUGACAAAAAGUUUACCAGGUAAUAAGUUCCGGGACUUCCUGGAGCUUCUGAAAAUCGCCUAAGAAGAUUGUGGUCCUUGGAGGUUCCGUUUUGAUGACGUUUGAGAACCUCGCAGAUAAGGACAGAAGAUGGAAAUCGUCAGAUCAAUUUAUUGAUCGAAGGAGAACAGAAUCAAGUAAUAAAUCUGUUUGGAAAGUUGUUACCUUGAAGUGUUUGGUCAGUGGUUGAGGCUCAUUGGUUCUGUGGCCGUAACUGAACAAGGAAGCAGUUUGAAUACAACAAAAGGCACAGAAGAGUUUGAGUUAGUUCGUGACAUUUUUUUUUAAAAGACAAGCUAGAACUAAUCAACAAGAUUCAGAGGCAUUACGGUGAAAACAUCUACACAAUGUACUAAUUUUCUUAACAGGAAUUUGCUACUCUAGUGGAAAUAUUCAUGGUUAUGCAGUCAAGAGAAUAAGUAAGUGAAGGUUGGACCUAUCACAGUUACAGGGUUCUCGGAUGGAAUCUAAGGAAAGGAAGACGGGUAAUAUCUCUAGCAGGAAUCCUUAACCUGUAACCUGUCGGAUUAUCAGAAGCUUGGAGCUUAGUCACUGGAGAUUGACUUGGCUGAGAGGUUCUCUUGAUGAAUUCUAAAGAAAGAGGAACUUGUGUUAAUACAGAACACACAACAAAAGUUAAAUAAAGGUAAGACACGGUGUCUUACCCGAAUCAAUUGGAGUUGUAGACAGAUAUGGUUCAAGGACCGGGUUAUUUCUCAGACUCGACUGAAGAAGACACCAUUGAACAAAGCUCUGGAGAUUUUACGACUUGAGUUGAGCGGUCGUAUAGAAGAGACGAGAAGCUACUUCUUGAUGCUUAGACCCAAUUUUGGAUCUACGCAUAAAAGAAUAAAAAGCUAGAAAGUCAGUUGUGCAGAUCGAAAGGUGCAAUAAGGUUCUGAAACUGAUUGUACCUGUGAUUGGAGGCAGAUUCUAUACGGAGUGGCUAAAAGAAGAGUUAAUUGAUGAAAAGAUGAGCACACGCCAUUAGAGGCAGAUGUUCGGAGCUUCACUAGAGAACAUAGAAGAAGGAGGGAGAUCGAUGCUAAUUGAUCAGGGGAACGAAGCUUGUUCUCCGGUUGAUCUGGAUAGGAACGAUCGACAAAAGCCUGAAGAUCGCGAUAGAGAAAGGAGCUGCCAUGGCGUCUUUCCCACCAGGGUUUGGUGAGUCAAAGUGGAGAUUGUGAGCUAAGUGACUCGGCCCAAACCCAUGCUAUCCAGCCCGCUACAAGCAACAGGUCAAAAGCAACAGUAUAGAGUGAUGGGCUUCGUACACAAAGGCCCACUCUCAAACGUAGAGAACAAGUCGAAGGAGCAUGUCAUAUAAAUACAUGUUGUAGCUCCUAGGGUUCUCUCACGUUUUAUUUCUUGUUGUUGUUGGCUGCAGCUCUAUCUUGAGGUUGUGCUUGAACACCUGAGAUUGAGACAUAGCAGAGAUAGAUCGAUUAGUGCUUGUAAACUCCUAUUUGAUUCUAGUGAAGUUUGUGGGCAAGAGAUCCCACACGAGACGUACUGGUCGAGGCCAGGAACUCGUUAAAUCGCUUGUGUACUAGACUAGGUUAAUCUGACUAGCUCAAAACGAUCAAUCUAUAUCCUUCACAACUCGCAUGUGAUUUUCCGGUCGGAUCCACCCGAGCAAACCGAAGUAACCAAGGUUUCAAGAUCGACGUGGUUCAUUUUAUUUAAUCAAAACAGAGCGAUGAUGAGAUUGGCUUUGAUCGGAGUGAUAGUUUCAGUCUUUCUCAGAGAAGAGGAGAUAUACAAACAUGGGUUUCUUCUAUAUAAAUAUAACCAUUAACCGAUAGCUUCUUUUACACGGGAAAUUACAUUCAUCAUUUUUUCCAUCGAUAAAAGGACAUUUUCAAAAAUACAUUCUUCAUUAAGUGACAAAAUACUCUUAUGCCAUUGUUCUUUAUAUAUAUAAUAGGUAAAUAUUAAAAAAAAUAAAAAUCUAAAGAAAUAAAAAAUAAUUUUUUUAAUUUUUUUUCAAAUUAUACUAUUUCGAAAUUCAAACCCUAACCCUAAAACUCAACUCUAAACCCUAAACCAUCAAUCCUAAACCCUAUUUUUUUUUGAAAUACGAAUCCUAAACCCUAAACCAUCAAUCCUAAACCCUUUUUUUUUUGAAAUACGAACCCUAAACCCCGAAACAUCAACUCUAAACCCUAAACCCCGAAACAUCAACUCUAAACCCUAAACCCUAAACCUUCAACUUUAAACCCUAAAACAUCAACUCGAAACACUAAACCCUAAACUUGAACUCUAAACCCUAAACCCUAAAAAGUAAACGCUAAACCCUAAACCCUAAAAAAUUAACCCUAAACCCUAGAACAUCAACUCUAAACCCUAAACCCUAAACUUCAACUCUAAACCCUAAAUUCUAAACCCUAAAUCCUAAACCUUAAAUCCUAAACCCUAAACCCUAAAACCCUAGUGUUGAUGUUUUAGGUUUUAGAUUUGAAGAUUUAGAGUUUAGUGUUUACGUUUAGGGUUUAGAGUUGAUGUUUUAGGGUUUAGAUUUGAAGGUUUAGGGUUUUAGGGUUUAGGGUUCGAAUUUCAGAAAAAUAUAAGGUGUAGGGUUUAGGGUUUAUGUUUAGUAAGCAGUACGAUAGUCCGUUUUCAUAGAUAGAGAGACUUAGUAAAAACAACAAACACACACGUGCAUGAAAUAAAAGAGUGACGGUCGGACGGGUUAGAGCAUUCCCACGAUGGCUUCGUAAAACCUAACCGCCAUCUACUCAACUUCACUACCAAUUUUAUCAGGGGUAAUGCAUUUGCAGACGCCGACACCUGCGACGGCGUGAGCUUGCACGAGAAGAAGGGCUGACACAGCAGAGUCAGCAUGAAAAGUAUUUUGCGGAAUGCUACGAGGUCUCUCAAUGGAAAAUGCUCUAGCAUCUUUGUGCAAAAGCUCUUUACCCCCUUGUUUCAGAAGGUAUGGAAACAUCUGAGCAAUGGGAGUAACCUCUUUCACCAUCAUGCUGUCAGUCCUGAGUGCUAUGUUGCAGUCCAUCACAACAAUUGACCAUCUUGUGCAAUCAACGCAAACACUAACCCAGUGUUUUUUGUCGAGAUUGAAGGGAAGAUAGUAACGCUCAGCAUCGGGAUAAAUUCGAACUCGCUCAAGUAUAUUGCUGGGAAACCAGAAGGACUCUUUCUUGGACGUCUUAGAAAACUUGGUAAACAGUUUUAAGAGCUGGGAAACAAACUGAGUGUCCAUGAACACAGAGUGGUUGGACUGGUUUGGGGGUGAGUUUAGCGUAAACUGUGAACUAAUAUGGCCAAUGAGAACAUCAACCACCUGUUUUUGAAAAUUACAAUAUUAUUAAGGGACAAUAUUACUAGCAGCACAAAAAUUACAUUGCAGGGCAGAUGAACGAACCUUUGGUUGCAAGGGAGAUGAUCUUUGAACAAGCUCAUAUAGGUCAUUGCUCUCUAGCGUUGAUUGGCCAAUGCGUAUUGUACUAAACGAGGACGGCCAAGAAAGUUUGUUAGACGGUAUCUUAAAUAAUUAUACAGAUAACAAUUAAUUUAACCAUCCAGAAUUUGAACUUACAAUGGUGACUUCAGUUUAUCGAGGGAAGAGAACUUAGCAGUGUAAUCAAUGUUCCCGCAUGUGUUGUCGGGAUCUACAAAUGUUACUCGGGCCCGAUUGAGGAGACGCAUGUCGCAUUCAUACUGUCCCACCAGAGACUUGGGUAGGGCCUUAAGUCUCUUACUUUUCCGGCAGGCACCCAGCUGAUCCUCCUGUUCGCAAAUUUCUUUGCCAACAUAGUUUCCCCUUCAGUGACAGCCUCCUUCGGGUGCGGGCAUUCCUCAUGAGUUAGCCCUAGGGAGAAGGUUGGUUUUGGGAAUGGUAACUCAUGGUCAAGAUUCUGCAAAAGUAAUUAGACUUAAAUUAGGCAGAGGGAGCAGUGUGGCGCUGUGCAACCUGAAACAAAGUUGUACGUACCGUAUCUGGUGAGCUCUGACUAUGAUCAACAUCGUUUUCACACAUGCUGGCCCCUUCGGUGACAGUCUCUUUCCAGUGUGGACGUUCCGCCUGAGUUAGCCCUAGGGAGAAGGUUGGUUUUGGGAAUAGUAACUCAUGGUCAAGAUUCUGCAAAGUAAUUAGACUCAAUUAGGCAAAUGGAACAGAACUGGCGCCGUGCUAUCUGAAACAAAGUUGUACAUACCAUAUCUGGUGAACUUUUCCUAUGAUCAGCAAAUUUUCCCUCUCAGCCAAGGGGAUAUUGUGGUGGGGGAUUGUCAACGACCAACGAUGCGGAUGGGUUACUUGCAACCUAUUGACCAGAAAAUAUCACAAAAGACUUAAUAAAUUAUCAAAUGUGUAAGCAUAGAGCGAUUGUCAGUUACCAUAUCUUCAGCUCCAGAUUUCUGAGCGCCCCCACGCAAUGUCUGAUAUUCAGUGUGUAUAGAUGACUGAAUCUCUUGUGCUCCAUUUAGGACCUGCAUGAGAUCAGUAUUUUAUGUAAGAUUCAUCGUGUUAAUCGGCUAGUAUCAUAGUGUGGCCGGGUAUUGAGAAACUUACAUCGACAGCAAAUGUAUUUGCUUGAUUUGAGAAUAGGAUUGCAUCGGGAGGAUCAUCAGUUAUCAUCUCUUCAUGGCUGUCUCGCCGUGUCUGAUUUUCGGUGUGUAUCACUGGCUGAAUCACUUGUCCUCCGAUCAACCCAUGCGUGUGAAAUGUAUAUAACGUAAGUGACAGUGAGUUAGCCGGUUAAUAUAUUAUUUGUCAGGGUAUUUUGUAGCUUACUCGUCUGUGGAUGAUGUUUUUUGGUUUGCGAGUAUGGUGUCGUGCGAGACCAUUUCUCAGGAAUGACGCGCGGUGUCUGAUUUUCACUGGGUACAUCUAACUGAAUCCCUUGUCCUCCGUUCAGCCCUUGCAAAGUGAUGAAUAUUAUGUGUACAAGAAAAAGAAGUAUCCGGUUGACAUAAUAUUUGUCUGGUUAUUGAAAAACUUACAUCGACAGUCAAUGAUGUUGUUUGGUUUGCGAAUCGGAUAGUGUCGUUGAUAAUAUCAUUUUCGGCGGAUUCAGUAUGAAUACCUACAUGGUGUAGUGAAGUGCGCCUGAUGUCUGGAUGUUGGCCAUCUCUAGCGACAUUGGAAACAUUUACAGUCUGCGCUGAAGAGCUAACUGGUAUCUGGCCAGAAGAAACCUCCAAUUUACUAACCAAUUGUUGGAUGCUUUCUAGGACAUUGGUUUGGAAGGUGAUGAAAGAUUCAGAAAGUGUGCUUAAUUGCCUCUCAAUCCGAGAAAUAUCUUCUCUAACUUUGUCUCUGACCAUCGAUGCAAUUGAUUCACAAUCUAUGACCUCUGAGGUUGUUGUCUGUUUUAUCUGAUUUGGCUUCACUGUUUUCCGGUUAAUUGCCUCUGUUUUUUGCAUCUUCGCGCAUCCUAUUGACCUCUAGAUUAGUUACGCCACCGGUAAAGCUUGACUUGUUGAAGGGAAAUUGCUGCUCGAGUAGACUCAUCAAAUUAUCCACGAUAGGAUCCUCCUCGUCGUCCGACCAGCCAAGAUCAGGUGACGCUUUGAAGUGUUCUUUGUCUUCUACUAUUAUAGAAUGAACUGCGACCUACCACGCAAAGUAAAAAAGUAACGAGAAGUCAGUGUUGGUUGCAAUGGAGACAGUGGCUCAAAUUGUACUAUUUCACAUUUUGACUGAGAACGUGAAUAAGUAUACGUAAUGGGAAUACGUACCUUUCCUGCUGCGUCGGUGUCGCGAGCAUGACCCGGGCUGAUGCUUCUUUUCCCAUUCUUAUCUUCAUCUACUAGAUCAUCGUCCUCGCCGCCGUCACCUUCUGAGCCAGAUGAGGAUCCAUCGUUGACAACCUCUGUUAGAGCGGGGAUGGCUUCGACCAUUACAAGCUGUAGUGAAAGCACGAAUCCUUUCAGAGCAAUGGUGUUUUGCAACAGUGAAACCUCCUUCCUCUCUUUAAUACUACUCAUGAGCAUGUCAAAGGAUACUCUGCCCCAUGGGUAUGCAAAGAAAUCAUCUAUGUCUUUGAUAAGCUCUGCGUGAUCUUGUGAGAUACGCGGUGUGUGCGUGGUUGGUAGAAUAACAGCAGCUAGUAAAGCUAAUAGAGCGUAUUUCACACGAAUGCAGCUAUCUUUGACGGUUCUUUUCUUUAGCAUUCUUACAACAGAAGUGACGGGGACCUCCUUCAGUGUCCCAAAAAGCUCCCCCCAGUAUGGUUUUUCCGAGAUAAUUUUCUUGGCUCUUUUUUUUGUGUGUUUGGGAAGCUUGCGACAGUUUAGCCCAGUUACAUAGGCGAACUCUCGAAGAGAAAAACGUACAGGUUUGCCUGCGAAGAUGAACCAAGCUUCGUGUUUGCUUGAGACUAAUAGCUGCCUGGAGAUUAUGAAACGGCCAAAACGUCCGGAGAAAGAAGGCUUCUCCCCAAUCUCAAUAAGCUUCCCGAACGAUGAGCCCCUGAUGGUGUCUACUUCUUCAGGAUCGAGAGCGUUGAGUAUUUGCCUAAUGGCAUAGGGUUUGUGGUAUGGCGUUACUCUAACGCCGACUGGUUCAUGGUCCACCGCGAAAAUCCUGUCUGGAAUGCGUAGAGGUGGAGAUGAGCGAUCUUCUUCUUCCAUUUUGUUACUGAUUUUGUAGAAAUUGGGGUUUGGUGAUGAACCUCGAUGAUAACGAUGAGAGAGAUGGAUGAUUGUAUCGGGGAAAGAGGAAUGAGAUUUCAGAGAGUAAAUAUAUGAAUAUAUGUGAGAAGAGAAAGAUUCACUAAAUCUAUUAAGAUUUCUUAAAUAUUAAGGACUGACAAAAUCUCAAACUACGUACUUCAUAUCUUCUAUUUUAGAUUUCGUAAUCUCACGCCGAAUUGGUACAUAUAGGGGUAGCAGUGUCUAGAAAAUUUAUGAAUAGUGGUCAGAAAAGUGUCUUUUGGUGUGGUGUUAAUUAUGGUAUAAUACCUUGGUAUANNNNNNNNNNNNNNNNNNNNNNNNNNNNNNNNNNNNNNNNNNNNNNNNNNNNNNNNNNNNNNNNNNNNNNNNNNNNNNNNNNNNNNNNNNNNNNNNNNNNNNNNNNNNNNNNNNNNNNNNNNNNNNNNNNNNNNNNNNNNNNNNNNNNNNNNNNNNNNNNNNNNNNNNNNNNNNNNNNNNNNNNNNNNNNNNNNNNNNNNNNNNNNNNNNNNNNNNNNNNNNNNNNNNNNNNNNNNNNNNNNNNNNNNNNNNNNNNNNNNNNNNNNNNNNNNNNNNNNNNNNNNNNNNNNNNNNNNNNNNNNNNNNNNNNNNNNNCAGCUUACUUCUCAAGUCUGGCAGCUUACUUCUGCUUCAUGUCAACACUCCCCCUCAAGCUUGACCAUAUGGAACAAGUCAAGCUUGGAAGCCAUGAAGUAUUCUCUCAUUAAAACCUCAACUAGGUAAAACCCUUUGGGAGAAAACCCAAGUCAAGGAAAAAGAGUAGAACACUUCAUGAAGGAGAUAUCAGUUACAUGAGAGGUCUAUGAGUCCCAAUUUUGGAUGGAUAAACUCACAGACUUUAGUGCUUGCUGCCUUGGUGAAGAUAUCAGCUAACUGAUCUUCACUUUUAGUAUAGCAGGGUAAAAUGAUCUUCUGCUCCACAGCUUGUCUCACCUUGUGACAGUCAACUUCAAUGUGCUUUGUCCUCUCAUGAAACACUGAGUUUGAUGCUAUAUGUAUGGCCGCCUGAUUGUCACAGUGCAUUGUGAUUGGUGUUGUUGUCUCUAUGCCCAAAUCCUUUAGUAAGUUUCUGAUCCAAAUGAACUCACUAGUAAGCUUCCUCAUUGCUCUAUACUCUGCUUCAGCACUUGAACAAGACAUCGCCUUCUGCUUUUUGCUAUCCCAUGUGACCAGGUUUCCUCCAAUGAAGGUGCAAUAGCCUGUAGUUGAUCUCCUAUCAACUCUGUCUCCAGCCCAAUCAGCAUCACAAUACCCAACAACUUCAGUACUCUUGUUACAUGCCAUCCAUACUCCUUGGCCAGGCGCCUCUCUUAGGUACCUUAAGAUCCUCUCCACCAUAUUCCAAUGAUGCACCUUAGGAGCUCCCAUGUGUUGACUCACUUGAUUCACAGCAAAACACACAUCUGGUCUGGUGAUGGUUAGAUAGAUGAGCUUGCCCACCAUUCUUCUAUACUUCUUGAUAUCUCCAAAUGGUGUAGACCCAUACUCCCCCUCUCUCAGCACCUUGUAUCCUUCUUCUAAUGGAGUCUUGGCCUUUUUACUCCCAAGGUUUCCUGCCUCCUUUAAAAUAUCAAGUACGUACUUCCUUUGAGAUAAGAAUAACCCCUCUUUAGAGCGGCAGAUCUCAAUCCCAAGAAAAUACUUCAACUCUCCCAAAUCCUUGAUAUCAAAGGCACUUUUAAGAAAUGUUUUAGUUGAGAGAAUACCUUCCUUGUNNNNNNNNNNNNNNNNNNNNNNNNNNNNNNNNNNNNNNNNNNNNNNNNNNNNNNNNNNNNNNNNNNNNNNNNNNNNNNNNNNNNNNNNNNNNNNNNNNNNNNNNNNNNNNNNNNNNNNNNNNNNNNNNNNNNNNNNNNNNNNNNNNNNNNNNNNNNNNNNNNNNNNNNNNNNNNNNNNNNNNNNNNNNNNNNNNNNNNNNNNNNNNNNNNNNNNNNNNNNNNNNNNNNNNNNNNNNNNNNNNNNNNNNNNNNNNNNNNNNNNNNNNNNNNNNNNNNNNNNNNNNNNNNNNNNNNNNNNNNNNNNNNNNNNNNNNNNNNNNNNNNNNNNNNNNNNNNNNNNNNNNNNNNNNNNNNNNNNNNNNNNGGCAUACUGAUUCUCAGGCUCUCCAUUACUCCCCUAAGGUUAUUUGCUCUAUCUGAGGCUGAUUGAGAAAGAUCUUUGAGCUCAUCCCAACUCUUUCCAUCAUAAUAGCCUCUAGAUUCUACAAACUUCACAUCCCUUGAGACAAGGACCCUUCUUGACUCUGGAUCAUAGCACUUAUACCCCUUCUGAGUUGGAGAGUAACCAAUGAACAUAGCUUUUGAGCUUUUAGCAUCAAGCUUGUUCCUCAGCUUCCCAGGUAUCAUCACAAAACAGAGGCAUCCAAACACACGCAAAUGGUCCAAAGAUGCUUUGGUCUUAUUUAGAACCUCAAAAAGGAGACAUGUCGUUGAGGACUUUAGUUGGAGUUCUAUUGAUCAGAUAAGUAGCAGACAUCACAGCAUCACUCCAGAAUCUUUUUGGAACAUUGGUGUGGAACAUCAUUGAUCUUGCUACCUCCAUCAAAUGUAUGUUCUUUCUCUCAGCAACUCCAUUCUGUUGAGGAGUGUAAGGACAGCUUGUCUGGUGAGUAAUCCCAUGUUGAGCAAGAUAUUGCUUGAAUGCAUGACUUGUAUACUCUCCACCAUUAUCUGACCUUAGAAUUUUCAUCUUGGCAUUGAAAUGGUUGCAGAUAUGGGUCUGGAAAUUCUUGAAAGCAUCCAACACCCUGUCCUUAGACGGAAUCAGUGUCACCCAAGUGUAUUUGGAUUUCUCAUCAAUGAAGGUGACAAAGUAUUUGUGGUUCUCUCUGGACACACAUGAAACAGUCCAUACAUCAGAGUGAACUAGGUCAAAACAUCUUUCAUAGAUGGUGCUAGACUAUGGGAAGACUGUUCUACAAUGCUUUCCCAAUAUGCAAGCUUCACAAUCAUCAUUCUUGAAGACCACACCUGGAAGCAUCAAGUUUAGGGCUCUUGUAUGAGGAUGUCCCAACCUAGCAUGCCAUAGUGUGCUAUCAACCCCGCUGGAUGUACUAGCCAAACACUGAGAAGUGGAUGGUCUAGACAUCUCUGUCUUCUGAAGAUGAUAUAGUUCAUUGUGAACGUGCCCCUUUCCAAUCACUUGGCCUGUCUUUAAGUCUUGAAAUUCAACCUCAUCUGGUCUGAAGACAACCUGACAACUCAGAUCAACAGUAGCCUUUCUCACAGAUAGCAAGUUUGAUGUAAACUGAGGCAUAUACAAGGCAGUAGAUUCCCUAUCAAACAACCUCAGGUUCCCUAUCCCUUCUAUCUUAAUCUUAUCACCAUUUGCUAUUUGAACAUUCCCUGAGGCAGGCUGGACAUCACUCAUCAAGUUUCUAUCACUAAUCAUGUGAUGGCUUGCUCCUGAAUCUAUAAUGAUAGGUUUAGGGUCAAGAGAGUGUGUACCAGCCUUCUUGAAUGAGAUAAAAGCUUGGAUAAGGGAAUGUAGGUCACUCAUGGUUGCUGGACCAUCAGUGUUGGCUGCACUAUCAGUACUUCUCCAUGUUCCUUCUUCAUUUGAACCACCAAUGACAGAUGAAUACAUGGUUCGACCUUGAAUCGAUGGAUGCUCAAACUCUUUGAUUACAUUCCUGGCUUGAUUCAAGUCACUUCUUCUUGGCAUAUUGUGGUUCUUAUGUUGUUCCUUAGCCUUCUUGUACUCUGGAAACAACACCAUGUUGGAGUUCUCCCUCAUGGAGAGAUAUGGACCAGUGGACAAUAGAUUGUUCCUACUGAUUUUGAGAUAAACUGGACUUUGAUGAAGCUUUUCCUGAUAUGGUUGAAGCUUUCUUGAGUUCCAGAGAAUAAGGUACUCCUCUAUCUUGAGUUCUGGUGAGGUUCUUCCCUUUUGAAAGACUUUUGGACCAGUGGAUAAAAGGAUGUAUCCAACAGAUUUUGAAGAUAAUCUGAGAAAUAAAGAAAGAAAUUUGCGGAAGCUUUUGUGAGGUUCAGGAGCUUAAUGCUCUGAUACCAUGAAAGAAUGUGAGGAAAAAGAGAUUUAGAUGAAGAACAUUGAAGAACAGAGAGAGAGAGAAAGUAGAUCUCAAAAUGUAAGAGAGAGAAGGAGAGAAUAGUUUCCUUGAUUUAAUUGUGGAUAUGGGUACAAGUAUUUAAAGGCAAGUUGCCUCAGUACACAAUAUAAUAAAAUAUUCAUUGUUUUAAAAUAUCUUCAACAAUCUUCUUCUCUCUUCUUCUUCUCUUCAAUAAAAUUCGAGCUUAUAAAAACCUUAUAAAACCUUAUAAAGCCUUAUAAAAGCUUUAUAAAACCUUAUAAGUCUCUAGCAUAAUUCUCAAGUCUGGCAUUUUACUUCUCAAGUCUGACAGCUUAAUUCUCAAGUCUGGCAGCUUACUUCUCAAAUCUGGCAGCUUACUUCUGCUCCAUGUCAACAUAAGGCUCUCACAGGGAAAAAAGAAGUAAAUUCAGUGAAGAGAUGGCAUAGAAAACGCACACAACUUGGGGUAAUGAAAUACUUGUACUGUUCAGAAAACAUUGGGCAUCUAUAAAUGGUGGUGUCUGGUCUGUUAAGCUCAGAAAAAACUCAGAGAAAAUUGUAGAGAUUAAAUCUGAAGAAAGGUUAGCUUCAUCUUUUUUCAGUCAUCCCGACAGUUUGUUAUGACAGUUAAUUUGGUGCAGCGUAUUUAUUAUAUCGUUUAUUAUUCUUCAUUUGUCUACCAUCUUUUACUGUCGUGAAUCAGUUAAUGUUCAGGUGUACCAAACUGAAUCAAUAAUUUACAGCAUUUAUGGCUCGUAACAUAGCUGAGUUUAUGAAUAUGAAACGCAGAAGUUCAAAGUUACUGAUUAUUAUUUUAUUUUACUGUUUUGUCGUAGGACAUGGGGAAGAUGUUGCGUAUGUGGCGUGGAGAGUGGAGGAAGAAUGAUUCCCAGUACUGGCAUUUUGUUCCGGAACAAACCGAUUUCGGUUUGUCUUUGUACAUGGAUGAGGGUGAGAGCUUCGCGACUGUUGAGAGGAUUGUGAGGACCCAUUAUGGUGUCAGUGAGACCACUCCUAUGGUUAUCACAUACGGAUUACCUUACUGGAUGGUUGUCCCAAGUGGUCAUACUCCACCUCUUACCAUAGGAAGUACGACCGAGCUCGUUGACCUGAUGGCCGGAAGACCUUGGAUGGUGGAGUUCACAUUGUUGGUGACAUUGGGGGCGAAGAGUGUUGCACAAUACCAUUUCAACCGCCGCUCACCGUUUUACAUCGGUUCCUCAUCUUUUGUUGUUGACCAGAUCUUUUGUUGUUGACCAAAAGCAAGAUGCAAACGCAAAAGCAUCUUACGAGAGUGAGUAUAUCAUAUAGAGUAUAUUGCAUAGACUAUAGUUUAUAAGGUUAUAGCAGUUGGCUAACAUAGUGGGUGUGGAAAUAUCAACGUCUCAGGGUUGGUGUUUGGCAAAAGGAUGGCAACAAGUGAGAAGGUCAUGAACGAGAUCUUCGGUGAGGAAGAAAUGGUGGUAUUUUACAGAGUUGCAAUGGAGAUGGAGUUGGCUGACAAGGAAAAGACUCGCCAGAUGGACGAGCAGGCACAACCAGGGCCUUGGCUGAUUCGUCUUGACGAUUACUCUGAUAUGGAAGACGCCAGCAAAGGUGUUGGGCGUAUGGAUUCAACCAUGGGAGGUCUGGAGAGUAAGUGUCUCUAACCAAAACAUUGUUGUAUCCUGCUAAUUAACGUUUAAUAUUGGCUGGUUACCAUAUUCGAAUCUGUACCAAUAAAACUGGUUAGCAGUCAAAACAUAAAUCAUAGCUGCGCAAAUUAAAAUAGAGUCCGGUUACGUUUCUGUGUCGCUGGUUAAAUUAAUUCAUCAACGGCUAAACCGUGCCUAUAAUUAGCCAUGUACAAAUGAUGUUAGCGACUUUGGCUUAAUUAAUCAAUAGGCAGAUCGUGAUUUGUUGGGCAUAUGGUGAACAGAUUAAUUUGGAACCUUAUAAGAUAGGCUAACAAAUAUUAUAUCAUCUUAUUUUGUUUGGUUAAUGUUAAUCAGAACUAAAUUAUUCUAUUUUGCACAGGGGGACAAGGCUCUCUGGAUAAAGGAAAGGGCAUCAUUUAGGAUUCUGUGGGUCAGACCAAAGCACCCGCUGUGUUGUGGGACGUAGGGAUAGAUCUUCUGACUUUCCCUGAGUUUUGCAACCGUGAGCGUGAUGCUGCUAUGGAGGCAAGUGGGAAUGCGUUUUGGGAGAGUGUUUUGCGUGAGGAGACCAAGUCAACUGAUGAGACAGAGUCAACUGAGGAUUUACCUGACUGCGAUGAAGGUGGUGCUGUUGGUCUUGGAUUCAAAAAAGAUGGAGCUGUUGGGAAGGAGGGAGUUGUUGUGGUCAUGGAUGAUGAUGGUUCCUCAUCCACCAGCAACACUGCAGUGAUUUGCACUCAGGUUGGUUCAAAGGCAACAUCAGACCGCAUGGAUGUGGGGGGUGUGGUCGGAACUGCAGUGGGUGUUGGGUCUGUUAACGUGGUCCCAUUGGAGGACAAAGGUAUAGAACAAGUUACAUUCUGUUUGUUGACUUAUUAGUUUUAGCUUACGUAAGUGUUGAUUUAUAUACGUUGGGUUUUCCAUGCAGGGGGACGCAACGCAGAGAAAAUCCCACCGAUAGGUGAUAACCUUUCUGCUGGAAGUCAGGGGCUUCCUCCGCCAGCUCUGAUGCUAACCUUAGCUUGCGGGGAAGGGGAAGAAAAUGUGGGAACAAACUCUACUAAGACCACAGAGGGAUCAACUCAUGCAAGCGACAAAGAGGGUGGGUCUGGAAAAGCUAAAGUCCAUCACCAGCUUAUGUGUUAUAAUGUUAAAUUAUGUCAUCUUUUGUUUAUGUUUCGCUAAGGAGGGUACGGAUUUUGGAAAAUGGCUAACAUAAAGUUUGGCCGGUGUUGUAGCAUUUUGUUGGGGUAAACUUUUGGGUAACCGUUUAUGUUUAAUAUGAACCUAUGUAAGAAAGUUGUGUAACUUUUCUAAUAAUGCAUGGAUGGAAAUGCAAAGUUAUGUUACAUUUAUCUGUGUACAAUUUAUUUUAACCGUUUCAGCAUUAGACUUAGCUAUUUAUGAAAAAUGCCACUUUACCAUAUUGUUCUGGAAAAUUAAUUAAAGAGUUAAGAAUGUCUAACCAUGUUUUUUCAGUGUUAUUGCUCGUAAUGAUGAUGUUAGUUGUAUAACUUUUGAAAUAAUGCAUUGAUGGAAAUGCAAAGUUAUGUUACAUUUAUCUGUGUCAACAUUAGACUAAGCUAUUCAUAUGAAAAGCCGCUUUACCAUAUUGUUGUGAAAAAUUAAUUAAAGAGUUAAGACUGUCUAGCCAUGCUUUUUCAGAAUUAUUCCUCAUAAUGAUGACGUUGUUGUCCGCUUCCAUAAUAUAAAUGUAACAUAACUUUCGUCUCUAUUACAUCACUAUUAACAAAACUAGGGGGUUUUCUGGGCUAUGCCCAGAUUUUUUCCUAUAAUAUUAAUUUAGUUUAAUUUUUAUAUUUAUUCUAUAAAUAAACAAUAUGAUAUAUAUUGGAACUGGUUAUAGAAUUAUAAAAGUAAAUGCAAAUUUAAAACUAUUUGAAAUAAUUUCUUGUUUUUAUUGAAAUUUUAUAUAGGGUAUUAGUAAGAUUAAUAAAAAGUUAACUAAAUUAUUAGUUAAGAUAUAUAUAUUCUUUAUCUUGAAAUUUUCACUAUUCAAAAUUUGUUAUUUUAUUAUUGUAAAUUAUAUAUCACCUGAUGAACAAACAUAUUAAAAUGAUUUAAAAUUAGUUUAAUCUGAAUAUAUGUAUUUUUUGAUUGAAUGAUUAUAUUUAUUACCACACUUAUUUAAGUUUAAGUAAAAUAAAUUUUAAAUUAACAGUCUUUUCAAUUUUUUUUUUUUUGUUAAUGUUUCUUUUGGCUUGAAACCCAUUAAAUUUAUAACUUUUAAGGAUAUUAGGACAUUUAUCUUUUUAUUUCUUUUGUUCUUCUCCAUCUAAGUUGAUGUAUUUGCAUUUUAUUUAUAUAUAUAUAUAUAUAUGUAUAAUUAGUUCAAAUAAUGUCAUACUCGUAUAUGUAUAAUACUGAUAUUUUUUCAGAAUGGGUUGGUGAUCAAUAUAAUUAUUAAAAAAGUAUAAAAAAUUGCAUUGUGGUUAAAAAUCUAUAGUAUAGUUGUCUUUGGAUGUCACAUGCUAAUACAUGAUAUAUAACUGGAGUUUCCUCCUCAAAUAAUCUACGAAAUAGGCUUGCAUGAUCAUUAUAUCAUCCAUCUAUUACAAAUGCUUCUUGUUUUUUUGUUUAUUGUCAUUAACCUAGAAGAGCAAAGCAUUAACAUACGUUUUAUUUUUAUGCUUACUCAAGUGUGUUCUUAAGAAUGAUAAUUAAGUACUAACUAAUAGCGCUUAUAAUCACUCUUGUGUCUUUUGUUUUUUCAUAAACCCUCUGCUCACAUCUCGGUCAUCCAACCUCUAACUUUACCUGAAAUAUGUAUAUAACAUUAAAUAUUUACUAUAGUGGGCAUUCAUUCUUGCUAAAAUGAGGAAGGUGACUUCCUUCGUCUUGUUUAAGUAUAAUUACUCUUUCUUUCUUCUACCACAGUUUAAGCCAUGUAAGAGAGGAACUCGGUGGCCUUGGUAUAACCAAAAUAUUAUGACUGUAAGUUAAAAACAUUUCCAUAUUUUUAAUCAAGAUGAAUCAUGUAGACAUAAGAUGAAUCACAAAAUAGGUUGUUUGCCCGCAUGUACUUAUUAGUUUAUACUACGGGCAUAGCCUCCGCGCAAGCGCGGGGUGAUGGAAAUUGUUGUUGUUUUAUCUUGAGUUGUUUAGUUUCGAUAUUUGUAUAUCAAAAGGGUUGACAGAUGGUCAUGAUCUGGGGGGAGGUGGUAUUGUGUUGCUGUUGUGGAUGUUCUGUGUAGGAAAAGCAACAUGGUUGGUCUUCUUUGUGGUGGGAGAUAUUUUCGAUACAUGUGCAUACCCAUACGUAGGAAUAUAUUGUACUAGGGUCGGCCCGCCCUACGGACGAGAAAUUAUAAUAAAUACUAUUUUAAAUGAAUUUAUAUUAAUGUUAUGAUUUAAAAAAAAACAUAAUAGAUAAAACGUUAUUAUAAACACAUAAAUAAUGCAUAGAAUUUUGAAUAAUCAUUUUUGGUUUGAAUUAAAGUGACAGUAAACUUCUUUAUUCUUUAUUUUUCAGAGAAACAUAAUUAGAAAAAAAAUGUAAUAAUAUAUAUAUAUAUAUAUAUAUCUUGUUAUUAUUUUAUUUCACUUUGGCAUAAUAAAAGAAAAUUAAAGUUUAAAUAAAUAUUACUAUAUUUAAUUCAAGAAGUUUCAAGUUUUAAAAAAAAUUACACUAAUUAAUUUUUCAUGAUAAUAAAUUAGUCUAGCUCCAAGCUAAAUUGGUUAAAAAAAUAAAGUAAUUAAAUUUCAAUUUUAAAAUACUAUAUAAAUAGUAUAAUAAUAUCAUAAAUAAUAAUAUAGAUUUUUCUAAUCUAAACAGGAAAUGAUUAAACAACAUGUGAUAAAUACAUCAAUUUAUUUAAUCUUAGAAAUAUUUUUAAACAUCGUCUCAACAAAACAUAGCAAACCCAAAGGGAUAGAACGAAAGAAAAAAAGAAAAAAACUCGUUAAGCAACAUUGAUGCAUUAGCAUUAUUCAAAUAGGAAAUACCUAUGCCAUGCGUGCUUUCUCAGCCAUCUUCAAAGAUGCUCGAGCCGGAGGCUUAUUAGUGUCGAGAUCACUUGGACCUGCUAAUGUAGUCGGUGCUCCCUCAAGAGCUCUACCACCAACGUCCACCUUAGCAGAGACUGAGUUCAUUCCAGGCAUAUCAUCUCCAUCGUCAUCAUUGCCCGUCUGAUCAAACCCAAUGUAUUAGAAUUAUUUUGUAGUACGGAAGUAAGCGGCAUGAAAUAUGCAUAAAACAUACAGCGGCAACCAAUUCAAGGAGUGGCAGAUGGUCAUAUUCGUAAUAGUAUACUGUACAAAGUUAACCAGACGAAAACAUAACCAUCUGUGACAAAAAAAAGAGUUGCCUCGAGAAUAAAAUAAAACAUAGAAAAAAGACCAAAGUGAAUCAAAAAUCAGAAAAAUGAAGAAUCACAUCGUUAUAUCACAAUUAUCACUUUUAAUUGGAAGCAUAUUUACACUGCAGAUGAAGACUUGUACAUUAACUUUUCCUGUAAUUAAUCAUCUUAUCUUCUAUAAAACAAUAUAUUCAUCACUCACCAGCAAGAAUUGAAACGCAAAACACAACACAAACUUGAAAAAGAUCAAAGCUAAUACCUUGAGUUGCAUGAAGGCCAGGGAGAUCAUGCUCCAUAGACUGAAAACGAUGUAGAGAGCUAAUAACUUUGUUGGGGUCAAAAACGGUUACGACGGAAUUACCACCCGAAAAUCCUCGGAGAUCGUAUUUCCGAAAGAGAUAGUUAAAGGGAAGAUGUAACUUUCGUAAAAUAUAACCAAACACGAAGUUUUUACGAAGAAGUAUCCUUGAAGAUUCAAACCAAACUAACCAAGCUCGACCGUUGCGUAAUUACCACGCAUACACGCUGUCCGGUCGCUGCAUAGCAACCAAGUCCGAGCCAAAGCUCGGUCGCUACGAAGCGACCGAGCUCGAGUCAAAGCUCGGUCGCUACGUNNNNNNNNNNNNNNNNNNNNNNNNNNNNNNNNNNNNNNNNNNNNNNNNNNNNNNNNNNNNNNNNNNNNNNNNNNNNNNNNNNNNNNNNNNNNNNNNNNNNNNNNNNNNNNNNNNNNNNNNNNNNNNNNNNNNNNNNNNNNNNNNNNNNNNNNNNNNNNNNNNNNNNNNNNNNNNNNNNNNNNNNNNNNNNNNNNNNNNNNNNNNNNNNNNNNNNNNNNNNNNNNNNNNNNNNNNNNNNNNNNNNNNNNNNNNNNNNNNNNNNNNNNNNNNNNNNNNNNNNNNNNNNNNNNNNNNNNNNNNNNNNNNNNNNNNNNNNNNNNNNNNNNAUCAGGAGUCGCGCGGGAACGACCUUCCGGUCAAAACCCUAGCGAGAAAUCUCCCAUCGAAAAGGGGAACCCUGAAAGUCUUCCGCCCCCUGCAAAGGACUCGGAGGAUAACGAAGCCGAACACAUUGACCUGGAUCCUAGCGAUGUUUCCAACGACACCGACGAGGACGUCGACAGACAUCCGAGAAGGACCAGAAGCCGAUCUGCUCGGGAAGGCUCCCCGUUCGAAAAACCAAUGACGGAAGAGGAAGAAAUCGCCUAUCGGAACGAACAGGAGGAGCUGGCUGAAAGAAAAACCGAGCUCACUCGCAGUAAACGCCUACAGGCUCAGAAAUCUACUGACGAGACAUCGGAUAUCCGCGAGACAUCGGAUAUCCGUAAAGUCUCAAAUCCAUCAUGCUACUAGUGUUGCCCCCGAAAUCGAUCGACUGUUGGAAGGAGCUAGGAAGACCCCUUUUACCAAUCGCAUUUCGGACAUGAGGGUGUCCGAUCCGGGAAAAAUCAAAGUACCGAAGUACGAUGGUACGGCCGAUCCAAAAGCGCACCUUCAGGCUUUCCACAUCGCGAUGGGAAGAGCUAGACUGAAGGAUGGCGAAAAGGAUGCCGGCUACUGCCGCCUGUUCGUUGAAAACCUGGAAGGAGCAGCACUUGAAUGGUUCGCACGCCUUCGUCGUAACACCAUCGGGAGUUUCCGACAGCUCGCACCGGAAUUUCUCAAGCAAUACUUUGUAUUCAUAGACAGAGAAACUUCUGAUGUUGACCUCUGGAGUCUCUCCCAGAGGGAAGACGAACCCCUCCGCGAGUUUAUCAGUCGGUUCAAACUGAUAAUGUCAAGGGUCAGUGGGAUAAGCGACAAAGUGGCCAUCGACGCGCUGAGAAAGACGCUCUGGUACAAGUCGAAAUUCAGAAANNNNNNNNNNNNNNNNNNNNNNNNNNNNNNNNNNNNNNNNNNNNNNNNNNNNNNNNNNNNNNNNNNNNNNNNNNNNNNNNNNNNNNNNNNNNNNNNNNNNNNNNNNNNNNNNNNNNNNNNNNNNNNAUUCUAGUUUUUCCCACCGUGAAUUGAACCCGAGUGGCGGUAGUUACAGCCGUAACCCCUUUACCACUAGGCCAACUCAGUGUUGGUUACUGAUUAUAAUUUAAGUUGAUAAAAAAGUAUAUUUCAAAUUGUUAAAGGACUAAAUACUUGGGGAAAUUAUAAUAAAUGAUUUAUAAUAAUUAAAAACUUACUCACAUACAACAACAACACACAACCCUAAAAAAGUCUGAACGUUUAGCUAUUUUCCAAAUUUCCCGAAUAAAUUUCAUUUAAAGAAAUGCAAUGAAGAAAAGUUAAAAAAAUGUUUAUGUACAGUUCAUACUAAAUGUUUCGUUCAAAGCUAUUAAAUCGUUUAAAAUGGCCCCUGAUGGCUAUCUAGCUUUGCCUUUGGUUGUCGUUUUUCCUUUUAUUCAUACUAGGGGGUUUUCCGGGCUACGCCCGGAUUUUUUCCUAUAAUAUUAAUUUAGUUUAAUUUUUAUAUUUAUUCUAUAAAUAAACAAUAUGAUAUAUAUUGGAACUGGUUAUAGAAUUAUAAAAGUAAAUGCAAAUUUAAAACUAUUUGAAAUAAUUUCUUGUUUUUAUUGAAAUUUUAUAUAGGGUAUUAGUAAGAUUAAUAAAAAGUUAACUAAAUUAUUAGUUAAGAUAUAUAUAUUCUUUAUCUUGAAAUUUUCACUAUUCAAAAUUUGUUAUUUUAUUAUUGUAAAUUAUAUAUCACCUGAUGAACAAACAUAUUAAAAUGAUUUAAAAUUAGUUUAAUCUGAAUAUAUGUAUUUUUUGAUUGAAUGAUUAUAUUUAUUACCACACUUAUUUAAGUUUAAGUAAAAUAAAUUUUAAAUUAACAGUCUUUUCAAUUUUUUUUUUUUUGUUAAUGUUUCUUUUGGCUUGAAACCCAUUAAAUUUAUAACUUUUAAGGAUAUUAGGACAUUUAUCUUUUUAUUUCUUUUGUUCUUCUCCAUCUAAGUUGAUGUAUUUGCAUUUUAUUUAUAUAUAUAUAUAUAUAUGUAUAAUUAGUUCAAAUAAUGUCAUACUCGUAUAUGUAUAAUACUGAUAUUUUUUCAGAAUGGGUUGGUGAUCAAUAUAAUUAUUAAAAAAGUAUAAAAAAUUGCAUUGUGGUUAAAAAUCUAUAGUAUAGUUGUCUUUGGAUGUCACAUGCUAAUACAUGAUAUAUAACUGGAGUUUCCUCCUCAAAUAAUCUACGAAAUAGGCUUGCAUGAUCAUUAUAUCAUCCAUCUAUUACAAAUGCUUCUUGUUUUUUUGUUUAUUGUCAUUAACCUAGAAGAGCAAAGCAUUAACAUACGUUUUAUUUUUAUGCUUACUCAAGUGUGUUCUUAAGAAUGAUAAUUAAGUACUAACUAAUAGCGCUUAUAAUCACUCUUGUGUCUUUUGUUUUUUCAUAAACCCUCUGCUCACAUCUCGGUCAUCCAACCUCUAACUUUACCUGAAAUAUGUAUAUAACAUUAAAUAUUUACUAUAGUGGGCAUUCAUUCUUGCUAAAAUGAGGAAGGUGACUUCCUUCGUCUUGUUUAAGUAUAAUUACUCUUUCUUUCUUCUACCACAGUUUAAGCCAUGUAAGAGAGGAACUCGGUGGCCUUGGUAUAACCAAAAUAUUAUGACUGUAAGUUAAAAACAUUUCCAUAUUUUUAAUCAAGAUGAAUCAUGUAGACAUAAGAUGAAUCACAAAAUAGGUUGUUUGCCCGCAUGUACUUAUUAGUUUAUACUACGGGCAUAGCCUCCGCGCAAGCGCGGGGUGAUGGAAAUUGUUGUUGUUUUAUCUUGAGUUGUUUAGUUUCGAUAUUUGUAUAUCAAAAGGGUUGACAGAUGGUCAUGAUCUGGGGGGAGGUGGUAUUGUGUUGCUGUUGUGGAUGUUCUGUGUAGGAAAAGCAACAUGGUUGGUCUUCUUUGUGGUGGGAGAUAUUUUCGAUACAUGUGCAUACCCAUACGUAGGAAUAUAUUGUACUAGGGUCGGCCCGCCCUACGGACGAGAAAUUAUAAUAAAUACUAUUUUAAAUGAAUUUAUAUUAAUGUUAUGAUUUAAAAAAAAACAUAAUAGAUAAAACGUUAUUAUAAACACAUAAAUAAUGCAUAGAAUUUUGAAUAAUCAUUUUUGGUUUGAAUUAAAGUGACAGUAAACUUCUUUAUUCUUUAUUUUUCAGAGAAACAUAAUUAGAAAAAAAAUGUAAUAAUAUAUAUAUAUAUAUAUAUAUCUUGUUAUUAUUUUAUUUCACUUUGGCAUAAUAAAAGAAAAUUAAAGUUUAAAUAAAUAUUACUAUAUUUAAUUCAAGAAGUUUCAAGUUUUAAAAAAAAUUACACUAAUUAAUUUUUCAUGAUAAUAAAUUAGUCUAGCUCCAAGCUAAAUUGGUUAAAAAAAUAAAGUAAUUAAAUUUCAAUUUUAAAAUACUAUAUAAAUAGUAUAAUAAUAUCAUAAAUAAUAAUAUAGAUUUUUCUAAUCUAAACAGGAAAUGAUUAAACAACAUGUGAUAAAUACAUCAAUUUAUUUAAUCUUAGAAAUAUUUUUAAACAUCGUCUCAACAAAACAUAGCAAACCCAAAGGGAUAGAACGAAAGAAAAAAAGAAAAAAACUCGUUAAGCAACAUUGAUGCAUUAGCAUUAUUCAAAUAGGAAAUACCUAUGCCAUGCGUGCUUUCUCAGCCAUCUUCAAAGAUGCUCGAGCCGGAGGCUUAUUAGUGUCGAGAUCACUUGGACCUGCUAAUGUAGUCGGUGCUCCCUCAAGAGCUCUACCACCAACGUCCACCUUAGCAGAGACUGAGUUCAUUCCAGGCAUAUCAUCUCCAUCGUCAUCAUUGCCCGUCUGAUCAAACCCAAUGUAUUAGAAUUAUUUUGUAGUACGGAAGUAAGCGGCAUGAAAUAUGCAUAAAACAUACAGCGGCAACCAAUUCAAGGAGUGGCAGAUGGUCAUAUUCGUAAUAGUAUACUGUACAAAGUUAACCAGACGAAAACAUAACCAUCUGUGACAAAAAAAAGAGUUGCCUCGAGAAUAAAAUAAAACAUAGAAAAAAGACCAAAGUGAAUCAAAAAUCAGAAAAAUGAAGAAUCACAUCGUUAUAUCACAAUUAUCACUUUUAAUUGGAAGCAUAUUUACACUGCAGAUGAAGACUUGUACAUUAACUUUUCCUGUAAUUAAUCAUCUUAUCUUCUAUAAAACAAUAUAUUCAUCACUCACCAGCAAGAAUUGAAGCGCAAAACACAACACAAACUUGAAAAAGAUCAAAGCUAAUACCUUGAGUUGCAUGAAGGCCAGGGAGAUCAUGCUCCAUAGACUGAAAACGAUGUAGAGAGCUAAUAACUUUGUUGGGGUCAAAAACGGUUACGACGGAAUUACCACCCGAAAAUCCUCGGAGAUCGUAUUUCCGAAAGAGAUAGUUAAAGGGAAGAUGUAACUUUCGUAAAAUAUAACCAAACACGAAGUUUUUACGAAGAAGUAUCCUUGAAGAUUCAAACCAAACUAACCAAGCUCGACCGUUGCGUAAUUACCACGCAUACACGCUGUCCGGUCGCUGCAUAGCAACCAAGUCCGAGCCAAAGCUCGGUCGCUACGAAGCGACCGAGCUCGAGUCAAAGCUCGGUCGCUACGUAGCGCGAAAAAGUAUGUAAAUCUUUGCAAAAUGAAUAAAAUAUUUAAAUAUUAAAUCUUCUUAUUAUAUUUAUUGAAUUUUUUUAUUUAUAACAUGAGUUUUGAAAGAGGUAGACUCUUCGGCCUCCCCAAAACAGAGAAGAAGAAUCAAGUUCAAGACAGAAACAUUUGGGCUUUGUAGGAUUCAAUGUGUACCAUUACUCUCUCCGUUUUGAUUUAAUUGUCGUUAUAGGGAAAAAAAUCGUUUCAAAAUAAGUGUUGUUUUAUAGUUUCAAUGCAAAUUUUAUUAACAAGAUUCUCUACUUUAUUUUUUUUAUUGGUUGCAAUAUGGUUAGAUAUAUAGGUAAUUGUGUUUUUCUUUUGGAAAUAUACAAAAUUAUAUAUUUUAUUAAUUUGUGUGCAUAAACAUAGAACGACAAUUAAAAUGAAGCGGAAGGAAUAUUAAUUAACUAGACUAAUUUAUUGGCUCAUUAUAUGUUAAAAUUUCUAAAUCUAAUAACUUCACAGACAAGCACAUUAUUUUAUUUUAUUCUGGAAAGCAUUGUCCAGAGCUUGUCCCGUGUGUUGAUGGGUAUAGUUCUGUUCUUGACUUGUCUGUCUAUUAUCCUAAAGAGGAUCUCAUGUGCUUCGAAGUUUCUCUCGAUGUUUCGGUGAACUGAAACACGUAACGUGCAAGGAACAUCCGGGUUCGAAAAAGUUGAGACUGUGACAUGAAGAGAACGACAUUGCUCAACGCAGGCAAGGACAUUAAUUAAAGAGAUGAAAAAUAAUGGGAAUGUUGAUUUUUAUAUAUACCCUUUGAAUUUUUGUGCUGCAUGGUUCCUUACUUUCCGUCGCUUUUCAGUGAUGCGUGGAUUCUCUCACAGAUAACCUCUUCUAUUAUGUGAUUUUUCCUUGUUUGUUAAUGUUUCUGGCUCUAAAUGGUGACCUAGAGAAUUAAUGGGAACAAUGAAUUCCUAGCCUUAGUUCAUUUUACUCUCCUCAUUUGAAUGGGCGACUGCAUUUGGGGUUUUCUAGCCUUAGUUCAUUUUACUCUCCUACUGAGCUUUACAUUAUAGAAUGGGUAUUAUGAAAUACAUGACUGUGUUGUUGUUAGCAUUUAAAAUAUAAUGCAUAAAUUUUAGCAAAAAUAUAUUAGGUGGUUAAUGAAUAAAUAUUGUUGAUGACGGAAAUGUUUCUCCGUACGGACUUGGCUUGAUGCAUAAAGCGUAUAUAUGGAUGUGUGAAGAGCAAAAAGACGGCUAUCUGAAAAUGGAUAAAACAAAGGACAUAACAUAACUCUAACCAAAGUUUUUUACUGAUGAAACGUGUUUCACCUUAUACAUUAAUAAAUAUAGGAAGAAUAAGGAAAAGAAGUUAACUUUUGCAGAGUUUGCUUGGUUGAUCUGUAUCUUGGCAUGAAGCCCUUGCUUGAGCUACACUCAACCCCGUUUCUCCACAACCGUGAAUCCAUAUCACCUGUAAUCAAAAAAUUAUUGACCAACUCAACCACAUCCUUCUUAAUGACAUUCCAGGAAUGCUGGAAAAAAAGGGCUGUCAUUCCAUCUGGGCCAGACACUUUCUCCGGAUGCAUCAUAAAUAACGCUUGUCGAACUUCUUCCUCCGUUGCUCUUCGCAGUAACAUUUGAUUCAUCUGAGGGGAAAUAGAUGGACCUAUCUCCUCCAAAAAACUAUCAAACUCCCUUUGGUUUGUUGAUCUAAACAAAUCCUCAAAGUAAUCUACUGCCACCUUCUCAACAUUGUUCUCUUCAGUGACCCAAUUACCCGCUUCAUCAUGGAGGCCUACUAUUUUGUUUCUGACCCGACGUUGCUUUGUCAGAGCGUGGUAAAACUUAGUAUUUAGGUCCCCAGAUGAAUACCACAUAUUUCUACUCUUCUGAUGCCAAUAUUCCUUUUCAUCCUUAUAGGCCUCUUGUAAUUUCCUAGAUAUCUCAAUAAUAUCCUCUUGUGACCUAUUAUUAUCAGUUUGUACUUCUUCCAACGCAUUUUGGAGAUUCUGAAUUUUGUCCUUCCCAUAUGGUUGAUUAUUUUUCCGCCAUGAUGAAAUUUCAUGACGACAAUUAUCAAUCUUUGUGAUGAAAUCCUCUGAACGGCCUUCCUGAUUUUCUGUCCAUCCUGAUACUAUUGAUUCCAUAAGCCCUUCUUGACCAAUCCAUCGUUUAUCAAACCUAAACUGUCCUCUUUUCCUUCUUGGUACUUUUUCUUCCAAAAAGGCUACCACAGGUCGAUGAUAGGAUCCCACCAAUCUCAAAUAUUCUGUAUAAGAAUAUGGAAAAAGAGUAUGUUAUUCCUCAUUAGCCAAAGCUCUAUCCAGUCGGCAUCUAACCGUAAAUGCUCCAUGCCCUUUACCUCUCCGACCUUGCCAUGACAUCUUAUUUCCCCGAGCCGAAAAUUCCAAUAAACCACUAUUCCUUAUCAUAUUAUUAAAAGGGAUAAAAGAAGCUGUACUCCGUAGAGACGCCCCAUCCUUUUAUGAUUCCCAGUAAUCUCAUUUAGAUCGCCAAUAAUAAACUAGGGUUCAGAUCGUGCUAAUCCGUAUCGAGUUAAGCGUUCCCAUACCUGUUCUCUUAGCUUUUGAACCGGAUCUCCAUAAACGAAAGUAAGAAAGACUUGUUUCCCAUUAGACACCGCUUCUAUGUCAAUCAUUCUAUUACUAGAGUAUAAUAUUUUUACUUGAUAUUCAUUGUUAUAGUAAAGAGCCAAACCACCACUUCUCCCGCUCGGAUCCACAGUAACCAAGCUAUCAUAUCCAAAGUGAGCCUGAAAUUUUUGAACAAAUUCAAACUCCUGUUUCGUCUCUGACAAAAAUAAAAAAUCUGGUUUAUGCUUAUGCCGUAUUUCCUUAAGAUAACUUAUGGUCCAGUGACUUCCAAGUCCUCUGCAAUUCCAACUUAGUAUUUUCAUAAAAAAAAUAUUUUUAUAUUGCUCAUACGAGCUAGAGGAUUCAGGCUUGAUGUCACCCAAAGACCGAAACACGCCAACAUUCCAUAACCACCAUACCAGAGCAAUUGUUACACAUUCAACACAUACAAAACCCCUAUAUAGUUCCAUCACACCUUGACGUAAUGCCACAUUCCGAUAACCAUUAUUAUUACAACUGUGAUUUAAUAACAAAGGCCCCCUUGAAACACCCGAGUUCAGUCUCAUUCUCGAUAACCAUGAUCUCGAAAUCAACCGAGGAAAUCUAUUAAGACAAGCCCAUGUCAUAAAGAAUUUAAUCCCUUGCAGUUCAAAUAUAUCCACAUAUCCAAGGCAAUGCAAAUUAUAAUAAUUACUCUUCGAAUCUUCCCUACUAAUUCUCUCCGUAGAAUUCUUAUACUGAAUCUUAUUUAAAAAAAUAGCUACUGUGGCCAUAAGAACCAAAAUCGCAAGCAUUUGUUCAUACUGCUUUUGGGCCACACCCUUUACAUUCAAAGCCACUAAUACCAACCCAUUACCUAGCCAAUUUGGCUUUACACACCCGAUCAAGAUAAUGGUAAGAAAAAACCAAUUAUUAGUGACAUUAUGUGUACUAGAUCUAAUCCAACUCUCCCAUACAUUCCAAAAGUCAUCGCCAGAGAAUCCACCUAGCACCAUUAUACUAAGAGAUACCUGUAGAUUAACCAUGGAAAACCAUCUAAGAUGAACCCAAUGUUGAAUCCAUGAAAGUUCCUUUUUAUUCCCAAACCACAUAACAAGAUUAAAAGGACAAAGAAGACACCUUAAACCCAAACCGCAAAAAGAAACCGUGCUACCAUUUGAACCAACUACACCAUACUUGCUCAUAGAACUUAUUUGAAAAAAGUAAAACCCAAUACGAAAAUUAAAACCCCGCCCACUUAAAACAACAGAGAAAACUUGAUUCAUAAAACCUAUGGUUUUGGAAUUCCACUCUUCGGGAAUUAGGGUCCCUUGCUCUCCUGCUGCUUGACGUUAUCUCCAUGACGUGUGCCUGUCUUGGUCGGAGCUCGUUUCCGCGGCGAAGCAAGCGCAGACGCAAUCCUCAUCUUCGUGCUCACUGCGGUACCCAAUGAGGCCUUAAGCAGUCUCUUGCGAGAAGCAUGCUUCUUCCCUGUUACUUCAUCAACCUGCUCCUUCUCCUCAGCGUUAGUGCCUAUCUCCAGCUCCCUCUGGGUGUUAUCACCCUCCUCCUGUUCCUUCAUCAUCUCCUCCAGCUCACUAUCAGAAACGUCUGGUAAGCUAUCUGCCGCAUCCAAAUCAAUUCCGUGCUCCAAAAAGACAGCUCGAAACUCAUCCAAAUGGGUGCGUAUACUCAUAUACUCCCACUUAAAAAAUCGCCAUUAUUGUAAUCGAGUUUUUAAGAAACUUCAAAAACUUUUACUACAAUAUACGUUGUCCUUUUUAUCGGAAAACGUUUAACAAGUUGUUCCUGGAAUUCUUGAGAGGGAAGUAUUUUGUCGAUCACCACAGGAUCCCUAAUCUCUCCAUCUUCCUUCGCCUCACUCCUUACUGUACCAUGAACCUGUUGAGCCCCUGUGUGUCCUGAUAAAGUCCUACCAUGGCCCUCUUGAGUAUCAACCUGAGUCUCAUCUCUCAGUGAACUUCUGUAUCUCGAGCCCUCGCCAUCUCCGCGGUAGCCUUUGUGGCCAUUAGAGGAUCCCUUGUUUCCUCUAUCAGCCGCCUUAACCCAUUUCAAGUCAGCCUCAUCAGUCAUCUUGCCCUUGCCCUUCCCAUGGUAGUCGCGGCCAUCUCGCUCUUUGUAUUGUUGUUUCGGAGCUCCAUUGAUGACUACCCCCUUAUAGCUCCGUGCUCGAUCGUCAUGCUUCCCCCCAUCAUACCAACCCCCGUUCCCUUCUCUAUCUUCCCUUCUCUUCUCUGGACUCGCCAUCGCGACAGUCUUCUUUGACAGAGGACAUAGCUCCUCUUUAUGACAGAGACUCGAACAAACAUCACAGUACCCGAACAGUUUCUCAUACCUCAAAGAGAUCUUUACUUCCUCGCCAUCGUAGAACUCACCCCCUUUGAAGUCCAAAGUGGUUUCAAAGCAUAACUCUUGAAACGCAUCCACCACCACCUGAACUCGACAAUGUUCCACAUCCACUGCUACUAAUCUUCCAAGUGCCUCGCCGAGGCUUUCAAAAGUUGGGGCCGUCCUGAACUCCAUUGGAACACCAAUCACUUGAACCCAAAAAGUGAUUUCGGAUGGGAAUAGUUGAUUCUUCUUUGGUUGCCACCGCGCCAAAGCAAGCAUCCAGUAAUCAAAAUGAUAAGGCUGAAGCUUCAUGACCGCAUCAAUAUCAUUCUCCGUUUCAAAAUCAAAUUGAAACUUGCCAAACCCCAAGUCUGUCCCAAUCACCCGAUCCUCCAACUUCCAUAUCUUAGGUACAUUCUGGAUCAAAGCCUUCAUGUCUUGCUCCGGAGGAUUCAUACACCUUCCAAUCAGAGUUUUGGAGUAGGUCUUGAUGAGCGCCGAGUUGUCGAAGUGAGGCACCGUAAUCUUCAAUCUUUUUCGAGCACUCUCUCCUUCUUUCAUAUCCCCACCGUUACCCACUAGUUGCCCCUGUGUCAUGAUGAACAAAAUGAGAGAAAGACCUUGUUUUGUUCUGUAGAAAAACGUACAAGAUUGAUUCGAUGAGUUCCAAUAAAACAGAGACCCAAUAUCCCCUUUAUAAUAAAUCCCACUUUCCAAAUACCCGAGCCAAGGUUGAUCCCCUUUAAUUCCAUAUAUCUCCAACUGAUAUUCUUUGUGAAAUCUCGUUCCCAAUCUUCUCCAUGGAAUCUUAUUAUCAUAAACACUAGAAAUCACAACUCUCCAUAUCGCUUUUGUACUUCCCCCAUUCUCCUUAAAAGAGAAACAAUACAGAAUCUUUAAACAGCCAGACUCAAUACCUGUAGAUCUCUGUGAUUUCGUCUUGAUGAUGAUCGAAAUCGUAAUCGAGAUCUCUGAAACACGAGUCCUCCUUAAUUUUCCAAAAUAUCCAUUCCGUAUAUCCAAAUCAAAUCCCCUGGCUAUCUACAACGUGAUCAUGGGAACCCCAUGGCUCAACGCCAUGCAGGCGGUUCCGUCAACCUUCCACCUGGGUCUCAAAUUCCCAACCCUAAGCGGAGUCGCGGCCAUCUGGGGGUGCCAAAAACAGUCGCGGCUAUGCUUCCUCGCAGAGCACAAGUUAAGAAAAAUCACGACUUGUGCAGCUGUAAACGGCAAGCGCACGAAGAUAGACCAAUCUUCGGCCAAAAGCACCUCGGGGAAAAACGAAUUAAAAACGUCUACCAACGCAAACGCAUCGGACGUCGAAGCUCGACACAAGUCUGAAGCCCACGCUACAACUCAACCGGAACAUCCGGAAAAUUGCGUUGACCCAGCCACGAUCGACAAGGUCAAUGCGGACAUCACGACAUCUACCGCCGAGUAAGAACACUCGCGGCAUGAAACAGAACUACGAGAUGACUUGAUCCUCGAAAGGGGUAUGUAGGCAGCUCGUCAAAAGACGAGUUCAGCUAUCCCCCUCUCUAAAAAGGGGGGGGGGGAGUGGGUGCGUAUACUCGUAUACUCCCACAAUCGCCAUUAUUGUAAUCGAGUUUUUAGAAACAUAAAAAUUUUUACAAUAUACACUGUCUUUUUAUCGAAAACGCUUACGCUUCAGUUUACGCUCGUCUGCGGCCCCAUCCGGCCCAAAAAUCGUAAAGAUUAUCAUCUUUCAAACACGCAAAAAUACACGUAUAAUCCUCGAAAUAACUGCGAGACGUCGCAAAAGUUAAAAUUCGAGGACAAUGCUAACAAAUUGUCCGAACGCGACCACCAAAAACCUUACACCCCGUUCGUCGAUUGGCCCCGACGAACACGCCAGCCGUCUUAAACAAACGCAAUUCGAUCACUCUUUUGAUCUUUAAAAACGUCCAGCACAAGGACAAAAGCGCGCUACAACAAAAAUCCGAAAUUUUGGUUUAGCACUUCCAGUUAAUUCUGAGAAGAUGCUCGAUUCGUACCAUACAAGUCAUAUAAGCCGAGAACAUAUCGCGGACUUUAAAUCGGUGCGAAUCAGGAAGAAAUCGCAACAGGAAAAACGAUAGCCGGCUAGUCACCGCACAAACCUUAACCGAAAGUAAACCUAGGUCUUGCCCUAAACCCAACGCUCUGGUCUCAAACAUCUCAAGGCAUGAUAUCUAAAAGAUACGAGAUCCUAAACCAUGUCUCUCCGUUCGUAUCUCAAUGUUCUCGAAAAUCGUAAAGAUAAAUAAUUUUUACGAAAAUCACGAACGAACCAACAGAUUGAACGUCUCAUCGGAAUUAAAUAUGAGACGACAACUCAUAUUUACUUCAAACCUACUCAGGAAAACUCGAAAACGAAAACAUUCAUCAUAUAAAUAACCGCGUAAAGCGGUAAGGGGAUUCAAAGCCACCAACGGCCAAUCCCGAUAAACGAUAAAAACGGCCAAAACAGGCCCGUACAAAUCUCUCGGCCACAAUCGGCCAUAAACAUGAAACAGAAAGACGAGCAUCUCUCUUUCGAUAACUAUUCCACCUCUCAUAAUCCAAAGUCAAAGUCCCCGGACAACGAAGCACCGAACGCAUCCGCGGGACGAUCCACUUCCUCGCCAUCAUCGGGAAACCCAGUCGAAACCUCCUCGGUAUCAGGGGAAACCGGGAUGGAAUCCCAGAACCCUUGAAUCCGCUCGUCGAUCGGAGGGAUAAGCGCCUCAGCGUGGGCACGUUCAUUCAUCCCACUCUUCAUCAAGCUCAUUUCCUCCUCAAACGCAUAGUCAUCGGCUCGCGUCCUCCAAAGACUUCCGACCGAACCGCGGCACUCACGAAAGUCACCCACCAAGGUAAAGGCAUUCUUGAGGUUCCCAUACUCAACCUGGAAUUGAGAGGCACGAGUCUUCAUCACCUCGACGAUUUCCCUCUUGCCUUUCCUUUCCGCUUUGCGGAUGGCCCGCGCAUGAUCACGAGUAAGUUGCGCCUCUCGCUCCAACAUCUCGCCUUGCACGCGAGCGAGAUCCCGCUCCGCUUUCUCCGCUUUGAAGCGGUAGACCAUGGCUUCUCUAUGGCCCGCCUCAAUGGCCGAGCCCAGCAAGCUCAGGCCCUGCAAAAUCGAUUGACAUGUUAUAAAUAUAUAUAUACAUAGGACAAUCACCAAAAAAUUCUCAAAAAACUAACCCCAUUGAUGAUGCGAGAUCCUUCCGCAACGACUCUCGGCCUCGCCGAUUCUUUCGUAGGAGGAGGAGCAUCGAAACCCGGUGGCAGAUCAGCAAAGAAAUCAUCGAAAUCCGGAAUAGGGACCUCGCUCGAACCACUCCCAUCGCCGUAAGCAAGGUUCGGAUCCCAUCCUGGAAGCAUAGAGUCAUCCAUCGAAAAUUCUAUGUCGCCAAGAUCGACAUCUUUUCCCUUCCGAGAGCUCGACUCCGGCACAGCUGUUGGAGCUUCGACGGGAUUCUGGUCGUCAGAUUCGGAGUCGCUUCCCGUGUCCGCAGCCAAAGCAGGACCGGGUUGCACGAAUCUCAGUGCCUUCCGAACCCUCUUCGGCGUAAAAGAAGUCCAGAAGAAGGGACCGUUCCUGAGAAGAUCCCUCACCGCAAUGAUGUCCUCAGGGAACGGAGCAAGAGGGUUGAUGAAGGGACGAUCAUUCGGCAACCUCCGGAACAGUGGAAUGCAACUCUCUUCGACGGACGCAGCGUCUAUACGAACAAAGAAAAAGAACUUCUUCCACGAGUUGAAGUUCGAAAUGAACUUCUUAACCACUGACAUAAAUUUCCGAGGGACCAACCUAUGCUUAUCCGUAUCUGUGACAAGUUGAAGCCUCAAAAGCGCUUCAUAAUGAUCGACGGAAAGGGAAAGGCCAUGCUCGUAGCUUAGGAUCAGGAUCCCAAUAAGAUGCUGAAUGGCAAGGGGAGUCAACUGGCUUAUCGCAACUUUGAAACGGUCCAACACUCGGACGAGAAUUUCGGGUAUUGGGAACCAUAGGCGACAACGCACUACGAACGCCUCGUAGCAAGUGAAGUAACCCUCUGGGGGGCUGUUAGCACAUUCCCCACGGCGAGGAACCCGGAACUCCACAGCAUCCGGGAUAUGGUAGAACGAUCGCAUGAUCGCGAGAAACUCGUCGGUACUCCUGCUUGCAUCCCCUCUCUCGACUCCACGAUGGGUCAGGACCGGGAACGACUUCUCCUUGGGAGUGGUCAACGAGCCAUAAUGAGCAACCCACCAUGCCUCGUUCUCGGCAGGAUGUACCGAGUGAGGCACGAACUCCAUCUUCGGAACAAUGAGCUGUUCGUAAGCACUCGCGGAUGAAGACCCUUUUUUCGCAAUCUUUUUCUUGCUCGACAUCUUUAAACUUCUCCUAAGAAAAUAGAGGAAAAGGGUGGAGAGAAAGAAAGAAAUUUUUUUUUCUUAAGAAAGAUCUUACAGAAAGACAAGAAAGUGAAAAAAUUAUGAAACAAGUUACCUCCCUUCUUAUAAGCAUGAGGAUUUACUGUUCAAGCUCGGACUUUCGGAUAUUAAUUACAUACAUCACGCCUAACUUGCCUAACAUGCCUAACCGCACGCUAGGAUCCUACGAUGCAUGAUCCUAACGGGCUAGGGGGCUAACUGUUGGGGUCAAAAAUGGUUACGACGGAAUUACCACCCGAAAAUCCUCGGAAAUCGUAUUUCCGAAAGAGAUAGUAAAAGGGAAGAUGUAACUUUCGUAAAAUAUAACCAAAACGAAGUUUUUACGAAGAAGUAUCCUUGAAGAUUCAAACCAAACUAACCAAGCUCGACCGUUGCGUAAUUACCACGCAUAAACGCUGUCCGGUCGCUGCGUAGCAACCAAGUCCAAGCCAAAGCUCGGUCGCUACGAAGCGACCGAGCUCGAGUCAAAGCUCGGUCGCUACGUAGCGACCGAGCGUUCGUCCCGCUCGGUCGCUACGUAGCGGCCGACCGUUCCUCCUGCUCGGUCGCUACGUAGCAACCGGGCUCGAGCCGAAGUUCAGUCGCUGUGUAGCGAUCGAACCCUUCCGAACAUCGAUACGAUAUCAAUCCAUGCAUUCUCGUCAAACCUUCGAAUGCUAUCUCCCGAAGACCGUAGCAAGCUCAGUCCAUGUUUUCCGCUAUUCAAAUUCAUCGAUCAAACUUCGCGGAUUAGAAACCGCGAAAAGUUCGUUCUUUAUCAAAAAGAAUUUGUAGUAAACAUGUCGAGUCGGAAGACGGCCCAAAGGGAUCUAAAACACGACUCGAGGCCCAUCCUACGAUUUCUUAACCAAAAGCCCGUAAACCGCAGCACGGUUUACGCUUGGUCCACAAGGAAGGAUAAAUGUCAAGUUUCCGCGGAUAAAUACGGAAGUUUUGAAGAUAAUUGGAAGAUCGGGAAAAUGGAAUAUCUCCAUUUUUAUGCUAUGACGGCUUAAGGGCAGAAGAGUAAAAGCGUAAACCGACCUUGGAGCUAGUAUAUAAGGAGUCCUAGACGAGGAGCAUGACAGGGGAUUUUUCAGAGCAAACUUAGCACUUAGAGCAAUUUAGGCAAUUACUCUUUGUAUUGUUGUUUCGGAGCUCCAUUGAUGACUACCCCCUUAUAGCUCCGUGCUCGAUUGUCAUGCUUCCCCCCAUCAUACCAACCCCCGUUCCCUUCUCUAUCUUCCCUUCUCUUCUCUGGACUCGCCACCCCCCGGCUUAUACCUUGUUGUAUACGCUCAUACGCAGAUUCGGAAUAAGAUCUACUUUGCUCUCUUUUUCGAUUUCUUAUUCUUAUCGUUGUUAUUCUCGUGUUCUGAUUGCUUGAUUUCUCAUACCUCAAAGAGAUCUUUACUUCCUCGCCAUCAUAGAACUCACCCCCUUUGAAGUUCAAAGUGGUUUCAAAGCAUAACUCUUGAAACGCAUCCACCACCACGUUAUGAUGAUUCAGGCCCUGCAGCACAAAUUUUCUCUCGCCAUGAACUUAACACUUUAUGCUUCCAAAUAAUCAAAUCUAACUUUCUUUGAAGCUACCAUUUUCUUAGUCAAUAAAUCUUCGCCUUGUACACAUUGCUGUGAGUACCUUUCACAAUCUAUAAUUUUAAAAAUAUUAAAUCAUUCAUUUUAUCAAAAACAAAAGAAUAAUUAACCAAAUUAACUAAUUUAAAAGGUAUCUAAAGCUAAGAAAACAAAGUGUUUAGAGUCCUACAUACCAGAGGACACUGACAGCAUUAGUGUUGUUGCAGGUCAGGCAAGUAAAGGCUGAGACAGUCGGUUGAAGCUUCGGUCCACCUGGAGCAACAGACGUAACGACACCUUUUGUCCAUCUUCAUGCCGGUGGAGCAAGACGGUUGACAUUCACGUCGACUGGCAUGAAUGUUGACUGCAAUACAUGUGUAAAGAAAGCAUAAUAAACAAAUGGGUUCAAGAUUUAUCAUUCAAAAGAGUUUGAAUAAGGAUCUUAACACAGAGUAUUGGAUAUUUUAUUAGUUUAAAGCUAGAAAUAGUUUAAAAUUUAGCAGUUCAUGAGGUUCAUGAACAGAAUACCUCAGCAUCGAGGAGGAUCUGUUGAAGAGAUAUGAAGAGAGUAUGGGUUCAAGGAGAGCAAUACUCACAUCUAUUUAUACGGUUUAGAGACCGCCUUUCGCAAACCAUUGAAGAUGGAUCGUGGAAGGGACAAUCAAUUCGAUGUACCACAACCAUUAAUAGAACCGUUUCAGAUCGAACGAAGAAACGCGAAAGUCCCUCAUCGCCGCCGCGUCGAAGAGGAAGAAGGAGCUGCUUUUUUUUUUAUCUGGAUUAGGGUUAGCGUAACUUGCUUGGCAGAACAGAACGCAAGGGGCCAACAAAAAGCCCACGUCACGAAAUAAAGCCCAAGUCACGUCUCGUUAGUUUUAAUGAAACGACGCAGAGCGACACGUGGCACGCGUACAGGAGGCGAGUUUCCAGGCUGGAUCCGACGUGGACUCCUAGGAAGGAGGCAAACACUAUUAUAUAAUAAUAGAUGUUUUUGUGGUAAUGUUAAUCGUACAUGUUUUUGAUAUUUAUUAGACUUUGUCUUAUUUAUGGACUUGUUAACUGUUGUCUAAUUGGGAACGCUUAGUUCCAUAUUUUGAUGGGCCGUAGUUUUUUUUUUGACAACAAAAGUAUCUACAGACUCAUGUGGACUCUGUAAACCAAAAUGGCAACUCUGCAUCCAUGUGUACGACGAACGACGGUUGUAUCCGAGCACUGCGUGCCAAGCGAUCCGCCAUUGUAUUAUUCGUCCUAGGAACAUGAACAAUAUCCGAGUUGGUGAAGCUUCUUCUCAAAAGCUUAAUAUCCUCCUGGUAACUUUCAAAUGCUGGCCAUUCCUCUGGUUCUGAAACCAUCUUCACCAGUUGGGAACAAUCCGUUGCAAACGUGACCCCAUACUGUCGCAAGUUUUUCAUACAUUCCAUUGCAAAGAUUAAUGCUUCCAUCUCCGCAUGAAGAUGUGAGAGACUUGCCCUUACAUUCCUUGCCCCUAGUAAACCUUAAAACCCUGGAAUGGUACUGAACCAUCCUUGUCCUCUGAAAGAAUCUUUAUCUUUCCAAGAACCAUCCGUGAAACACCAUCGUCCUGCGUUCCCUAAAUGUGAUCGGAUCUGUACUUCAGGCGCCACCCUUGGAUUAUUGAUCCUCUGUGCCUCUGCCCAAAGUGUUGAUUCCAAUUCUGCUAAUUUAAGCGUGUCCCUCGGAUCCGUAUCUAUAUUAUUGAAAACCUUAUUAUUCCUACCCUUCCAAAUGUACCAUAAUAUCCAUGCAAACUGAUGAUCCUCCAUUUUUGGGUUGACUCUCCAAAAUAAGUGAUCCAUAUUAGCGAAUAGAGAACCAAUAGGGAAUAAUGUCGGGUUUGAUGGAAUCUUUGAUAGUGCCCACACUUGACGUGCCGGAGGACACUCGAAGAAAGCAUGAUUUAUUGAUUCCUCUGGGUCUCCACACCGUACACAAACUGUAUCUCCUUUUAUUCCCCUUGAUUUUAAAUUCUUUGUCACUGCUAUACAACCUGUCAGCAACUGCCAUAGAAAAUGCCUUAACUUUGGAGGGCAUUUCACUUUCCAGCAGAAUGCCUUGAGAAUAUCCACAUUAGGGCCAUAAAACUCCGGUGGUUUUUCCUUAUCUGGAUAUAUCCUUUCGACAUGAUACCCUGAUUGUACCGUAUAUCUCCCAUUAUUAGUGAAAUGCCAACCAUUCCUGUCUUCCAUUUGAUUUCUACUCAGAGGAAUACUCUCAAUCAAUUUCGCAUCGUUGGGUUGCACCAAAGUCCUAAGUGCCUGUAAAUUCCAAGUGCGGGAGUCUUGAUGAAUAAGGGAAUCCACUGUAAGGUCCGGGUAACUAUUGUGAAGGUUUUUGUUAGCUGGUCUCGAGCGAGUGGAUGGGAGCCAAGGAUCAUUCCAUACUGAAAUAGAUGACCCUGUGCCCACCCUUUUAAUUAGUCCUUUACAAACCAGAGAUCUAGCAGAGAUGAUACUCCUCCAUCCAUACGACGGGGAGUAUGAGCGAAUCAGUUCCAGGGGUGAAGCAUUCCUGUAAUACCAUCCUUUAAAAACUCGAGAGAAAAGAGAGUUUGGUUUCUCUAUCAGCCUCCACAAUUGCUUUCCAAGCAUUGCCGUGUUAAAAUCAUUUAAAUCUUUAAAACCUAGUCCACCAUUAUCCUUAUGUUCACACAAUUUAUCCCAUGAUUUCCAGUGCAUUCCCCUUGUACUUCCUCCUGGGCUCCACCAAAAAAAAUCUACUGCACUCGUUAGUUUCUUCACUGUAGCUUUCAGUAAUCUGUACACCGACAGCACAAGAAAAAAGUCUUUAAAUGUUUUGUAAAUGUAUGUCUCAAAAUAUUUUUAGCACAGAUUGUAUGAACAAUAGAUGGACAAAUGGAUUCAUAUAUUUUCUGCAAAUUUGUCCACAUUUAGGUUAUUUGUGUCUUCAGGGAGCUUUGGCCCCAAUAAGGAUCCGGGUUCGAAUCCCGCUGGCCACCGUCGAUUAAAAUGAGGUGAAAAAAGCGGUUUUCCAGGAUGCCUUCGGCGAAAAUGUACUUAGGCGCUAGUCGGGUUUCCUCCGGGAUGUUCGGAUUACCUGGAUUAUAAAAAAAAAUAACAAUAAUAACUGAAGUAGUAAAUGUACUGAAUGACUUCUUACAUUUAUGAAAUUCUUAUGGAUGAAGACUAUUCCACUAAUGUAGAUCCCACUUUCACUAAUUUAAAAUAGUAUAUAUGUUGCAAAAUAUAGUUCCAUUUGUUGAUAUGUGAUCACACGUUUCAUAGCCCAAAUAAAGCGUUUCACUAGUAUGCGAUGAUGAAAAUUACAUUUGAUGUUCCUAGUCCCCAUUAAUACAUUUAACUCAAUCUUUAGUAAGGAGCCAUUCUUGUCCUUAAAACUGACAAGUCUUUUCCAAAGAGUCAUCUAUGCAGCAUCAACAUCUAUUUGAAUCAAUUAAAGAGCAUUUUAAUAACUCCACUUGAAUGGACAUGAUGUAAACCAUAAUUAAUCCCGAAUAAUUGGCCAACCUUUUUGCGCUCUAGAUUGUUAUCAUCAUAAAUUUUAUCAUUUCUAUUUUCAUUCAUGCUAUAGUUUUCAUAUACAUUCUAUUUGAUUUAUAGGGUGGAACCCUUCUAUUUUUUUUAUUUUUUUUUUGUUCGACUGUCCAUUUAGGCUAGAUCAAGUGGUGGUAGACGAGUCGAUUCUACGUAGAGUAUCUCCGUCUAUACGGAUCUGAUCUAUAAGGAAAAAAAUAUAUCAUCUACGUCUUGCUUCUUUCGCUAGUACAUAUGCUCGACCAUUCAUAUUCCGAAAAAUAUGAGACAAACUCACAUCCUCAAUGGGAUGGGAUGGGAAAGACAAUAAACUCAAUGAAACGUUUUUACUUUUCAAAUUUCGUUGAAAUAAAACAAAAUUGUCUGUAAAAAGAACAAUCAACUUUGGUUGACAAGCCAUUUUAAUUAUAAAUUUUGUUAACCAUAUCAUUUUACUCAUAUUGUUAGUCAACUAAAGUUGAUGAUUUUUUAGAAAAAAUAUAAAUUAACAUUUUCCCAAAAAAAAAAAAUGGAUGCUAACUUUUAGAAUAAAUUAUUUAAUAACUAUAAAAUGUUAUACUAUGAAUAUAAUAAAUAAAAACAUAUUUCAUUAUUUUAUUCACAAUAAAUUUAUAUAAUUUUCAUUUGUAUUCUAAAAUAUUUAGUUAAUAUUUAUGAAGAAGUUUAAUAAUUAUUUACGACAAUUAUAUGAUUUUGUAAUUAUCCAUAUGGUCCUAAUUGAAUUAUGUUUCAUAAUUUUAUUGUCAAUAUUUUGAUUUUUUUUUUUUUUUGCAUAUUUGUUUAAAUCUCAGAUGAAUAAAAUUAAUGGUGGAUGGAUUUUUUAUGAUUCCAUUGAUGUACGUAGCAACAUUUUGGAUUUUAACAGUUUCCGGUAAAACUUAUUUCUCAUUAAAUUCAGAAGGAAUUUAUAACAAAUUUAUAGAAAUUAUAUACAUUUUCUUUCGAAGAUCUUUAUUAUAAACAUAAAUAAUCACAAGGAAUCCAUCAACCGAUAAAAAUUUUCAUUUGAGAAUCACAAGUUGAAUUAACAUUUUACUAACAAAAUUUUCAACAUUAAACACCCUGUGUUUGAUUUUAUAUUUUAUGUUCCCAGACUAAAACAUAUAAUAUUUAUUGACAAAAAUAAUAAAUAUGUUGUAAACUUAAGGAUUUAAAACUGUAAGUUUCUGUAUAUUAUUAAUGAAUAAAUGUUCUCUUUAUAUAGGGGUUACAAGAGAAAUAAAUGGAAAUAUAAUAUUAGGAAAGAUUACAAAUCAUAAACAUAAACGAAUUAGGAAAUAGGCAAGUUGUAGCCGCCUCUCUCUCCUCUCCAAGAUUCGCGGCAACCUCUCUCUCUCUAGGGUUGGGCCGUCUCUCUCUCUAAGUGUAUGGGCCGGUUAUGGACCGGGCCGGUUAUGGACAUGCACCAAUUGGUUUAUAACACUCCCCCUUGGAUGCCAUAACCAUACAAGGAUUGUAAUACACUUAAUGUUGCCUCAUUAAAACCCAGUGGGACAAAACCAUGAUGAAGGAAAAAGAGUACAACACGUACUACUCCCCCUGAUGUGAACCUCAGUGGAGGUCCUUCAGCCUACGCAUCCCAAUCUGAUGCGUGAGCUUCUUGAACGUGCAAGUAGGAAGUGCCUUGGUGAAUAGGUCAGCUGAAUUGUCAUUGGCUCAUACUUGGACGACCUGGACCUCACCGGCUUUCUGAAGCUCGUGAGUAUAGAAGAACUUAGGCAAUAUGUGCUUCGUCCUAUCACCUUUUAUGUAACCGUCCUUGGGCUGAGCAAUGCACGCAGCAUUGUCCUCAUACAUCACUGUUGGCUUUUUGCACUUGGCCUUCCCGAAAUCAGCUCGGACGUGUUGGGUCAUCGACCUCAACCAAACACACUCGCGGCUGGCCUCAUGUAUGGCCAAGAUUUCCGAGUGAUUAGAUGAAGUGGCCGCGAUGGUUUGUUUCAUGGAACGCCAUGAUAUGGUCGUACCUCCAUGUGUAAAGACAUAUCCUGUCUGUGAUCGAGCUUGAUGUGGAUCUGAUAAAUAACCAGCAUCAGCAAAGCCAACUAAACCAUUUUUGUUAUGGUUAGUAUAAUAUAGACCCAAGUAUUUCGUUCCUUGCAGAUAACGAAGAACAUGUUUGAUCCCAUUCCAAUGCCUCUGGGUCGGACAGGAGCUAAACCUAGAUAGUAGGUUCACAGCAAAGCUUAUAUCAGGCCAUGUGUGAGUUGCCAAGUACAUUAAAACUCCUAUGGCACUGAGAUAUGGCAUUUCGGGACCUAGUUCAUCUUCACCGUCCAUCUUGGGACGGAAUGGGUCAGUGUCCAGACCGAGAGACCUCACGACCAUGAGACUGGUCAGAGGAUGGCAAUCAGCCAUAUUGAAUCUCUUGAGUACCUUUUCUGUACAUGCCAUUUGAUGCACAAGGAUUCCAUCACUUAUGUACUCAAGCUGUAAUCCCAAACAGAAUUUCGUUUUUCCCGAGAUCUUUCAUCUCAUAUUCUUUCUUAAGGUAUUCAACCGUUUGGAAAAUCUCUUCAGAGGUUCCUAGGAUAUUUUAUAUCAUUAACAUAUGCUUGUAUACUUUAGUUCUCGAGAACCUGUUGCAUUUGACAACUCAAUACCCUCUGGGACUUAUAUAUAUAUCUCAUUAUCCAGUGGACCAUACAAGUAGGCGGUUUCUACAUCCUUUAACCGCAAGUCUAUUUUUCUUCUUUUAUGGCCAGACUUGUUAGNNNNNNNNNNNNNNNNNNNNNNNNNNNNNNNNNNNNNNNNNNNNNNNNNNNNNNNNNNNNNNNNNNNNNNNNNNNNNNNNNNNNNNNNNNNNNNNNNNNNNNNNNNNNNNNNNNNNNNNNNNNNNNNNNNNNNNNNNNNNNNNNNNNNNNNNNNNNNNNNNNNNNNNNNNNNNNNNNNNNNNNNNNNNNNNNNNNNNNNNNNNNNNNNNNNNNNNNNNNNNNNNNNNNNNNNNNNNNNNNNNNNNNNNNNNNNNNNNNNNNNNNNNNNNNNNNNNNNNNNNNNNNNNNNNNNNNNNNNNNNNNNNNNNNNNNNNNNNNNNNNNNNNNNNNNNNNNNNNNNNNNNNNNNNNNNNNNNNNNNNNNNNNNNNNNNNNNNNNNNNNNNNNNNNNNNNNNNNNNNNNNNNNNNNNNNNNNNNNNNNNNNNNNNNNNNNNNNNNNNNNNNNNNNNNNNNNNNNNNNNNNNNNNNNNNNNNNNNNNNNNNNNNNNNNNNNNNNNNNNNNNNNNNNNNNNNNNNNNNNNNNNNNNNNNCAAAGUGGUUUCAAAGCAUAACUCUUGAAACGCAUCCACCACCACCUGAACUCGACAAUGUUCCACAUCCACUGCUACUAAUCUUCCAAGUGCCUCGCCGAGGCUUUCAAAAGUUGGGGCCGUCCUGAACUCCAUUGGAACACCAAUCACUCGAACCCAAAAAGUGAUUUCGGAUGGGAAUAGUUGAUUCUUCUUUGGUUGCCACCGCGCCAAAGCAAGCAUCCAGUAAUCAAAAUGAUAAGGUUGAAGCUUCAUGACCGCAUCAAUAUCAUUCUCUGUUUCAAAAUCAAAUUGAAACUUGCCAAACCCCAAGUCUGUCCCAAUCACCUGAUCCUCCGACUUCCAUAUCUUAGGUACAUUCUGGAUCAAAGCCUUCAUGUCUUGCCCCGGAGGAUUCAUACACCUUCCAAUCGGAGUUUUGGAGUAGGUCUUGAUGAGCGCCGAGUUGUCGAAGUGAGGCACCGUAAUCUUCAAUCUUUUUCGAGCACUCUCUCCUUCCUUCAUGUCCCCACCAUUACCCACUAGUUGCCCCUGUGUCAUGAUGAACAAAAUGAGAGAAAUACCUUGUUUUGUUCUGUGGAAAAACGUACAAAAUUGAUUCGAUGAGUUCCAAUAAAACAGAGACCCAAUAUCCCCUUUAUAAUAAAUCCCAUUUUCCAAAUACCCGAGCCAAGGUUGAUCCCCUUUAAUUCCAUAUAGCUAGAAAUAGUUUAAAAUUUAGCAGUUCAUGAGGUUCAUGAACAGAAUACCUCAGCAUCGAGGAGGAUCUGUUGAAGAGAUAUGAAGAGAGUAUGGGUUCAAGGAGAGCAAUACUCACAUCUAUUUAUACGGUUUAGAGACCGCCUUUCGCAAACCAUUGAAGAUGGAUCGUGGAAGGGACAAUCAAUUCGAUGUACCACAACCAUUAAUAGAACCGUUUCAGAUCGAACGAAGAAACGCGAAAGUCCCUCAUCGCCGCCGCGUCGAAGAGGAAGAAGGAGCUGCUUUUUUUUUUAUCUGGAUUAGGGUUAGCGUAACUUGCUUGGCAGAACAGAACGCAAGGGGCCAACAAAAAGCCCACGUCACGAAAUAAAGCCCAAGUCACGUCUCGUUAGUUUUAAUGAAACGACGCAGAGCGACACGUGGCACGCGUACAGGAGGCGAGUUUCCAGGCUGGAUCCGACGUGGACUCCUAGGAAGGAGGCAAACACUAUUAUAUAAUAAUAGAUGUUUUUGUGGUAAUGUUAAUCGUACAUGUUUUUGAUAUUUAUUAGACUUUGUCUUAUUUAUGGACUUGUUAACUGUUGUCUAAUUGGGAACGCUUAGUUCCAUAUUUUGAUGGGCCGUAGUUUUUUUUUUGACAACAAAAGUAUCUACAGACUCAUGUGGACUCUGUAAACCAAAAUGGCAACUCUGCAUCCAUGUGUACGACGAACGACGGUUGUAUCCGAGCACUGCGUGCCAAGCGAUCCGCCAUUGUAUUAUUCGUCCUAGGAACAUGAACAAUAUCCGAGUUGGUGAAGCUUCUUCUCAAAAGCUUAAUAUCCUCCUGGUAACUUUCAAAUGCUGGCCAUUCCUCUGGUUCUGAAACCAUCUUCACCAGUUGGGAACAAUCCGUUGCAAACGUGACCCCAUACUGUCGCAAGUUUUUCAUACAUUCCAUUGCAAAGAUUAAUGCUUCCAUCUCCGCAUGAAGAUGUGAGAGACUUGCCCUUACAUUCCUUGCCCCUAGUAAACCUUAAAACCCUGGAAUGGUACUGAACCAUCCUUGUCCUCUGAAAGAAUCUUUAUCUUUCCAAGAACCAUCCGUGAAACACCAUCGUCCUGCGUUCCCUAAAUGUGAUCGGAUCUGUACUUCAGGCGCCACCCUUGGAUUAUUGAUCCUCUGUGCCUCUGCCCAAAGUGUUGAUUCCAAUUCUGCUAAUUUAAGCGUGUCCCUCGGAUCCGUAUCUAUAUUAUUGAAAACCUUAUUAUUCCUACCCUUCCAAAUGUACCAUAAUAUCCAUGCAAACUGAUGAUCCUCCAUUUUUGGGUUGACUCUCCAAAAUAAGUGAUCCAUAUUAGCGAAUAGAGAACCAAUAGGGAAUAAUGUCGGGUUUGAUGGAAUCUUUGAUAGUGCCCACACUUGACGUGCCGGAGGACACUCGAAGAAAGCAUGAUUUAUUGAUUCCUCUGGGUCUCCACACCGUACACAAACUGUAUCUCCUUUUAUUCCCCUUGAUUUUAAAUUCUUUGUCACUGCUAUACAACCUGUCAGCAACUGCCAUAGAAAAUGCCUUAACUUUGGAGGGCAUUUCACUUUCCAGCAGAAUGCCUUGAGAAUAUCCACAUUAGGGCCAUAAAACUCCGGUGGUUUUUCCUUAUCUGGAUAUAUCCUUUCGACAUGAUACCCUGAUUGUACCGUAUAUCUCCCAUUAUUAGUGAAAUGCCAACCAUUCCUGUCUUCCAUUUGAUUUCUACUCAGAGGAAUACUCUCAAUCAAUUUCGCAUCGUUGGGUUGCACCAAAGUCCUAAGUGCCUGUAAAUUCCAAGUGCGGGAGUCUUGAUGAAUAAGGGAAUCCACUGUAAGGUCCGGGUAACUAUUGUGAAGGUUUUUGUUAGCUGGUCUCGAGCGAGUGGAUGGGAGCCAAGGAUCAUUCCAUACUGAAAUAGAUGACCCUGUGCCCACCCUUUUAAUUAGUCCUUUACAAACCAGAGAUCUAGCAGAGAUGAUACUCCUCCAUCCAUACGACGGGGAGUAUGAGCGAAUCAGUUCCAGGGGUGAAGCAUUCCUGUAAUACCAUCCUUUAAAAACUCGAGAGAAAAGAGAGUUUGGUUUCUCUAUCAGCCUCCACAAUUGCUUUCCAAGCAUUGCCGUGUUAAAAUCAUUUAAAUCUUUAAAACCUAGUCCACCAUUAUCCUUAUGUUCACACAAUUUAUCCCAUGAUUUCCAGUGCAUUCCCCUUGUACUUCCUCCUGGGCUCCACCAAAAAAAAUCUACUGCACUCGUUAGUUUCUUCACUGUAGCUUUCAGUAAUCUGUACACCGACAGCACAAGAAAAAAGUCUUUAAAUGUUUUGUAAAUGUAUGUCUCAAAAUAUUUUUAGCACAGAUUGUAUGAACAAUAGAUGGACAAAUGGAUUCAUAUAUUUUCUGCAAAUUUGUCCACAUUUAGGUUAUUUGUGUCUUCAGGGAGCUUUGGCCCCAAUAAGGAUCCGGGUUCGAAUCCCGCUGGCCACCGUCGAUUAAAAUGAGGUGAAAAAAGCGGUUUUCCAGGAUGCCUUCGGCGAAAAUGUACUUAGGCGCUAGUCGGGUUUCCUCCGGGAUGUUCGGAUUACCUGGAUUAUAAAAAAAAAUAACAAUAAUAACUGAAGUAGUAAAUGUACUGAAUGACUUCUUACAUUUAUGAAAUUCUUAUGGAUGAAGACUAUUCCACUAAUGUAGAUCCCACUUUCACUAAUUUAAAAUAGUAUAUAUGUUGCAAAAUAUAGUUCCAUUUGUUGAUAUGUGAUCACACGUUUCAUAGCCCAAAUAAAGCGUUUCACUAGUAUGCGAUGAUGAAAAUUACAUUUGAUGUUCCUAGUCCCCAUUAAUACAUUUAACUCAAUCUUUAGUAAGGAGCCAUUCUUGUCCUUAAAACUGACAAGUCUUUUCCAAAGAGUCAUCUAUGCAGCAUCAACAUCUAUUUGAAUCAAUUAAAGAGCAUUUUAAUAACUCCACUUGAAUGGACAUGAUGUAAACCAUAAUUAAUCCCGAAUAAUUGGCCAACCUUUUUGCGCUCUAGAUUGUUAUCAUCAUAAAUUUUAUCAUUUCUAUUUUCAUUCAUGCUAUAGUUUUCAUAUACAUUCUAUUUGAUUUAUAGGGUGGAACCCUUCUAUUUUUUUUAUUUUUUUUUUGUUCGACUGUCCAUUUAGGCUAGAUCAAGUGGUGGUAGACGAGUCGAUUCUACGUAGAGUAUCUCCGUCUAUACGGAUCUGAUCUAUAAGGAAAAAAAUAUAUCAUCUACGUCUUGCUUCUUUCGCUAGUACAUAUGCUCGACCAUUCAUAUUCCGAAAAAUAUGAGACAAACUCACAUCCUCAAUGGGAUGGGAUGGGAAAGACAAUAAACUCAAUGAAACGUUUUUACUUUUCAAAUUUCGUUGAAAUAAAACAAAAUUGUCUGUAAAAAGAACAAUCAACUUUGGUUGACAAGCCAUUUUAAUUAUAAAUUUUGUUAACCAUAUCAUUUUACUCAUAUUGUUAGUCAACUAAAGUUGAUGAUUUUUUAGAAAAAAUAUAAAUUAACAUUUUCCCAAAAAAAAAAAAUGGAUGCUAACUUUUAGAAUAAAUUAUUUAAUAACUAUAAAAUGUUAUACUAUGAAUAUAAUAAAUAAAAACAUAUUUCAUUAUUUUAUUCACAAUAAAUUUAUAUAAUUUUCAUUUGUAUUCUAAAAUAUUUAGUUAAUAUUUAUGAAGAAGUUUAAUAAUUAUUUACGACAAUUAUAUGAUUUUGUAAUUAUCCAUAUGGUCCUAAUUGAAUUAUGUUUCAUAAUUUUAUUGUCAAUAUUUUGAUUUUUUUUUUUUUUUGCAUAUUUGUUUAAAUCUCAGAUGAAUAAAAUUAAUGGUGGAUGGAUUUUUUAUGAUUCCAUUGAUGUACGUAGCAACAUUUUGGAUUUUAACAGUUUCCGGUAAAACUUAUUUCUCAUUAAAUUCAGAAGGAAUUUAUAACAAAUUUAUAGAAAUUAUAUACAUUUUCUUUCGAAGAUCUUUAUUAUAAACAUAAAUAAUCACAAGGAAUCCAUCAACCGAUAAAAAUUUUCAUUUGAGAAUCACAAGUUGAAUUAACAUUUUACUAACAAAAUUUUCAACAUUAAACACCCUGUGUUUGAUUUUAUAUUUUAUGUUCCCAGACUAAAACAUAUAAUAUUUAUUGACAAAAAUAAUAAAUAUGUUGUAAACUUAAGGAUUUAAAACUGUAAGUUUCUGUAUAUUAUUAAUGAAUAAAUGUUCUCUUUAUAUAGGGGUUACAAGAGAAAUAAAUGGAAAUAUAAUAUUAGGAAAGAUUACAAAUCAUAAACAUAAACGAAUUAGGAAAUAGGCAAGUUGUAGCCGCCUCUCUCUCCUCUCCAAGAUUCGCGGCAACCUCUCUCUCUCUAGGGUUGGGCCGUCUCUCUCUCUAAGUGUAUGGGCCGGUUAUGGACCGGGCCGGUUAUGGACAUGCACCAAUUGGUUUAUAACACUCCCCCUUGGAUGCCAUAACCAUACAAGGAUUGUAAUACACUUAAUGUUGCCUCAUUAAAACCCAGUGGGACAAAACCAUGAUGAAGGAAAAAGAGUACAACACGUACUACUCCCCCUGAUGUGAACCUCAGUGGAGGUCCUUCAGCCUACGCAUCCCAAUCUGAUGCGUGAGCUUCUUGAACGUGCAAGUAGGAAGUGCCUUGGUGAAUAGGUCAGCUGAAUUGUCAUUGGCUCAUACUUGGACGACCUGGACCUCACCGGCUUUCUGAAGCUCGUGAGUAUAGAAGAACUUAGGCAAUAUGUGCUUCGUCCUAUCACCUUUUAUGUAACCGUCCUUGGGCUGAGCAAUGCACGCAGCAUUGUCCUCAUACAUCACUGUUGGCUUUUUGCACUUGGCCUUCCCGAAAUCAGCUCGGACGUGUUGGGUCAUCGACCUCAACCAAACACACUCGCGGCUGGCCUCAUGUAUGGCCAAGAUUUCCGAGUGAUUAGAUGAAGUGGCCGCGAUGGUUUGUUUCAUGGAACGCCAUGAUAUGGUCGUACCUCCAUGUGUAAAGACAUAUCCUGUCUGUGAUCGAGCUUGAUGUGGAUCUGAUAAAUAACCAGCAUCAGCAAAGCCAACUAAACCAUUUUUGUUAUGGUUAGUAUAAUAUAGACCCAAGUAUUUCGUUCCUUGCAGAUAACGAAGAACAUGUUUGAUCCCAUUCCAAUGCCUCUGGGUCGGACAGGAGCUAAACCUAGAUAGUAGGUUCACAGCAAAGCUUAUAUCAGGCCAUGUGUGAGUUGCCAAGUACAUUAAAACUCCUAUGGCACUGAGAUAUGGCAUUUCGGGACCUAGUUCAUCUUCACCGUCCAUCUUGGGACGGAAUGGGUCAGUGUCCAGACCGAGAGACCUCACGACCACAAGUUGUUCCUGGAAUUCUUGAGAGGGAAGUAUUUUGUCGAUCACCACAGGAUCCCUAAUCUCUCCAUCUUCCUUCGCCUCACUCCUUACUGUACCAUGAACCUGCUGAGCCCCUGUGUGUCUCAUCUCUCCGUGAACUUCUGUAUCUCGAGCCCUCGCCAUCUCCGCGGUAACCUUUGUGGCCAUUAGAGGAUCCCUUGUUUCCUCUAUCAGCUGCCUUAACCCAUUUCAAGUCAGCUUCAUCAGUCAUCUUGCCCUUGCCCUUCCCAUGGUAGUCGCGGCCAUCUCGCUCUUUGUAUUGUUGUUUCGGAGCUCCAUUGAUGACUACCCCCUUAUAGCUCCGUGCUCGAUCGUCAUGCUUUCCCCCAUCAUACCAACCCCCGUUCCCUUCUCUGGACUCGCCUUCGCGACAGUCUUCUUUGACAGAGGACAUAGCUCCUCUUUAUGACAGAGACUCGAACAAACAUCACAGUACCCGAACAGUUUCUCAUACCUCAAAGAGAUCUUUACUUCCUCGCCAUCAUAGAACUCACCCCCUUUGAAGUUCAAAGUGGUUUCAAAGCAUAACUCUUGAAACGCAUCCACCACCACCUGAACUCGACAAUGUUCCACAUCCACUGCUACUAAUCUUCCAAGUGCCUCGCCGAGGCUUUCAAAAGUUGGGGCCGUCCUGAACUCCAUUGGAACACCAAUCACUCGAACCCAAAAAGUGAUUUCGGAUGGGAAUAGUUGAUUCUUCUUUGGUUGCCACCGCGCCAAAGCAAGCAUCCAGUAAUCAAAAUGAUAAGGUUGAAGCUUCAUGACCGCAUCAAUAUCAUUCUCUGUUUCAAAAUCAAAUUGAAACUUGCCAAACCCCAAGUCUGUCCCAAUCACCUGAUCCUCCGACUUCCAUAUCUUAGGUACAUUCUGGAUCAAAGCCUUCAUGUCUUGCCCCGGAGGAUUCAUACACCUUCCAAUCGGAGUUUUGGAGUAGGUCUUGAUGAGCGCCGAGUUGUCGAAGUGAGGCACCGUAAUCUUCAAUCUUUUUCGAGCACUCUCUCCUUCCUUCAUGUCCCCACCAUUACCCACUAGUUGCCCCUGUGUCAUGAUGAACAAAAUGAGAGAAAUACCUUGUUUUGUUCUGUGGAAAAACGUACAAAAUUGAUUCGAUGAGUUCCAAUAAAACAGAGACCCAAUAUCCCCUUUAUAAUAAAUCCCAUUUUCCAAAUACCCGAGCCAAGGUUGAUCCCCUUUAAUUCCAUAUAUCUCCAACUGAUAUUCUUUGUGAAAUCUCGUUCCCAAUCUUCUCCAUGGAAUCUUAUUAUCAUAAACACUAGAAAUCACAACUCUCCAUAUCGCUUUUGUACUUCCCCCAUUCUCCUUAAAAGAGAAACAAUACAGAAUCUUUAAACAGCCAGACUCAAUACCUGUAGAUCUCUGUGAUUUUGUCUUGAUGAUGAUCGAAAUCGUAAUCGAGAUCUCUGAAACACGAGUCCUCCUUAAUUUUCCAAAAUAUCCAUUCCGUAUAUCCAAAUCAAAUCCCCUGAGAUUCGGUAACAUCGCCCAAUCUAAGAACCCCCACUCCGUGCCUUGCUGUUCCUGUAGAUCCACCCGUUCGCCGCCUCCAUUUCCAGGAUCCCAUCGCCGUGAAAUCAUGAAACCCUAGAUCGCCUCUUUAGUCGCCAUACUUUUUAUUUUUGGUAUGAAUUUUUUUUUUUUUUACCACUUUGAUGGGCCGUUGUUAAAAAUGGAAAAGGGAUGAUUGAGGGUCUAUAAGUCCAUUCUUAGGAGAAUGUAAAAAUGAAUAGUUGCUGGUCUUCUUGUCGUCUAGCUUACACGGAAGAGUUUUCUGCUGUGCCUGUUCGAGAUUGGCUUAUUUUACAGAUAUUAAAGAGGGUUUCAAGAAAGAAUCUAAGCAAAGCCGAACAGAGGCUCAAAUCUUUGCGGCCCAUUUUUUUCAAAUUCGAACAGAGGCUCAAAUAAGCUUGUAAGUAAAACAAUGUAGAUGUCCAUGCUAUGUUUAGUUCAGCCGAAGUUAACUUUCUGCACAUGUUUUGAUGCAGCAAGUUAAAAACAUUGUGUUAGACGCAUAACACAGACAGUGUAAACAAUCAGCAAUACUAUUGUCUCUUUUUGUACAUUUUAGGUUGACCAAUUGCUACGCAAACGCAGGGUACUGAUUUUUCUAUUGGGACACUUUUUUGUACUUUUUUUUGUUUUUCUAUUAGUCUACACAAUCUUUUUUUAUUAAGAAUGACUCUUUUGAAGUUUAUAACCAUUACGUUGUGCAUUAAAUCUAAAUCUCAGACAGUUGCGAGCGACAAAAAAAAAUGUUUAGAAAUAUCUUAUGUGUAUAAGUACCACGUUCUUUUUCAUUUAAUCACAAAAUAAAAACAUAAAUUAAUAGUCUUAAGCCAGUACAGAGCGAAAGUUCAAGCAUUGAGAAUUAUCAAUCACAGUGGUCAACACAAAUUCUUAACAGAGAAGGUGUGGUUAUUUCUGUUCUUCUCCAGUACUCCUCUUUAGAAGCUCAUUUCUUGGUACUUACCAAUUGAAUGAUGCUGCUUCUCUUCCAUGCUACUGUCAUUUUUGGCCCACUCGACCACCUGUGACGGUAAACAAAGAGUCAAUGGAUCCAAAUUAAGAGGUCUGAGAGAGAGAGAAAGAGAACAGAGUGCAACAUAAGAGUCUUACCAAAUGGCGUCCGUAGUAAUGAGUACUCGACCAUGUUUGUUUUUUGCGUUUGACGUUUCUUGCUUUGUCAUUAAAUCAACAAAAUUUUAACUUGAAUAUUUUCCAAUAUUCCUCUUUGGAAGCUAUGCAUAAACAAAGAAACAUGAAGGAUUGUGUUUGAUGUUUCUGAGGGUAGUAAAUCCAACACAACUUCUAUUACGACAGAGACCAAUGGCAUGUCACGUCCCUUUGUAGCUGUUGUGACUUGUAACAGAAUAAUAUUAAACCGAUGCAUAAGACCUAAACUUCAGUAAUUGCAUUAUUACCUGUUCAAGUCCUGAAAAGCUGUCUUAGCUCUUUCCGGUUGCCUCAACAGCUAAAACUUUUACAAGUAACUUUGUUGGAAUAUUAUCUCAAGCUUUCCCAACCGUGUCCCUCUGCUUGUGUCCAGAAUCUCAACCUGAAAGCAUGCUCAUCCAUAGAAGUUCCCUGAAAUUAAAAAGAAAUGUGUCUUUGCACUUCAUCAAAUUCAAGAAACUUGAAAUUUCAAAGAGAAAAAAAACUAUAUACUUGCACAUCUCUGUAGAGUCGAAUUCUACAAAACAAUAACUGCUUGAAACUUCUUUCAAAUAAUUGUCCACGGCUUAUUUACAUAUCCCAUAAACCAUAAAGAUGAUAAACAAACAUAAAACAAAGGAAACCCCAAGCAUAUGAAGUUAAAAACCUUCAAAAUUUUGGUAUCAAGCAACAGUAAACAAUUUCAUGAUCAACCCAAGGGUAAAGGAUUCCUAAACAAUCAAAAUUCUGAUCCCUGAUUUUUCAUACUCUAACUCAAACAUUUAUGGUAAGUCAGAGACAAAAAAAAAAAGAUUUACUACAAUGAGUUUGCCUCCAUUUUCUGGCCGCUUUGCAACCUUCAACGCAGCAGCUGGGAUAUUCCCACCUGCCAAAUUAUCUCAUUGAUCACAUCAAACACCUAUGUUUCAUAGUUUUAUACACUUAGAAAAGAAGGUUAUAAAGCAGUUGUACCAGCAAUCCCUCUUUAAGAGCAAGAAGUUUUACUGUUUCAAUGGCUUCCUCACCUGUCCCCUGAAUCAAAAAAAUAUUGCAAGUCUCAGAAACAUUGUUUUACUAUUCAAGGAAGUAGAUGAAUGCGCUUGACAUGUGGGAGACUUCGGAAGCUACAUGUAUAUUUAAACUUGUGGGACAUGAAUUUGGGGAUUGAAGAAUCCAAAAAAAAAAGCGGAAAUAAAAACCCAGAAACUGAAAAAAAUUAAGAGUAAUCUGAAGUUUUCAUGCCUUAAAAUGCAUGCCAAUCCAGCGAAAUUUCCAGAAUUGAAUUGAAUUGAAUCGAACAAUCCGCAAUUAGAGAAGGAAUGAUUAUGAUUUUACCGUCGAAAAUGGUGGCUUUGGAGAGGGAAGCAGAACGUGAAUCGCGGGUGUUGUGGUCAUGCAAUUGCUUCCCUAUCGUGACGGAGUUCGACGCUGCUUUGCCCUUUCCGUUGACGGUGUGAGACAACAAAUGUGACACUCGAUUAUCAUGAACCUUGUUUAUGCGUUUCUGAUCCACCACCUCCGACUUCCCCUCUCCUUAUAAUCUAUCUCUCCACAGUGACCGGAGAAUCUUAAAAAACAAAACAAAACAAAACAAAAAAGCCUAAGAGGCGAGGGGUAAAGAUUCUGAAUUGCUAGGGUUUCGAAACGGAGCGUCUAUUUACAGAGACAUGAAACGAUAAGGAAAAUAAAUUAGGGUUUGGAGAAAUGAGGAAGGCAAGGUCGAGUCGGCGAGUAUCAUGUAAGAGGCUUCGACUUUUUAUGGGCUUUCUGGCCCAUUUGUAUAACACGACGGAUUUUAAUAAACGCCAAGCACAACAUAGGCAACAAAGAGCUUACGUGACAGAACCUUGCAACAUGAUUGCCUGAUUUUCUUGUCCGACGUGGACAUGCUAUAUGAGGCUGAUAUUCACCUUUUAAUACUUGUUUGAUGUAACCUUUUUGGGUGUUCAGGAGAAGUUGGUGAUCAGGAAGGGAAGUUGGCUGUUGGAAUGAUUUUCAGAACAAGAGAGGAUUUCAAGCAGCAUAUGGCCUUAUAUGCAAUCAGCCAGAAGUUUUGUUUCCGAAAUGCAAAGUCCGAUCCAACAAUGAUGAUCCUAAAGUGCUGCGGAACGGGGUGUCCAUGGCGCGUCUAUGCGGUUCGGUUAAAGGAUUGUGAUGUGUUUGAGAUAAGAACCUACGAGAGUAGGCACCAGUGUUCAAUAGACGAGCGUGGAGGUUACCAGGAUCAAGCCACGGCUUCUGUUAUUGGCAUGCUAAUGAGGGCAAAGUUUGCUGGUACUGGGGCCGGGCCCCGCCCGGGAGAAAUAAGGCAAAUGAUGCGGGGGGAGCAUGACGUCAAUAUCUCAUACUAGAAGGCUUGGCAAUCGAGAGAUUUGGCAAUAGAUAAUGUACAAGGGUCGUGUAAUGCAUCGUACAUUCACUUGCCAUCGUAUCUGAACAAGCUUGUGACCGUGAAUCCAGGAACCAUAGCCAAUCUUUGCACAGAGCCCACAGAUGAUGGAGGACACCGCUUCAAGUACAUGUUUGUGGCAUUGGGAGCUUCUGUGAAAGGAUAUCAGUAUAUGAGAAAAGUGAUUGUGGUUGAUGGGACUCACUUGAAAGGGAAGUACGCAGGUUGCUUGUUGACGGCCUCGGCACAAGACGGUAAUUACCAAAUUUUCCCGUUGGCUAUUGCAUCAUGGGAAUGGUUUUUCAAGCAACUAAAAACGUUUGUGACGAACAUUGGGGGUUUAGUGUUUGUGUCUGACAGGAAUUCUUCAAUUUACAAGGGCCUAAGCAAGGUAAAGGUCACGAUCCUUGGCUUAAUGUAAAUUAUAUUAGUCGGUCCUAGCAUGAAUUUGUAGGUUAAUGAAAUAUGUAGCCAAAGUCUGUAUUUGUUAGCUGGUUAUAGUUUUACAGGUGCAGGCAAAUGUAGCCAUAAUCAAUAUUUGAUAGCUAGUUAGACUGUUAUAGGUACAUACAAAUGUAAUUCAGUUGGAGUGUUAGCUGGUUAGAGUAUUAUAGGUAUAUGAAAAUGUAGCCAUAAUUAAUAUUUGUUAGCUGGUUAGAGUGUUAUAGGUGAAUGCAAAUGUAAUCGGUGAGCAUUAAUCUUAAAUUACUAUUGUGCAUCCCUAGGUAUAUCCUGACGCAGGGCACUGUAUAUGUAUCGUCCACCUAAAGAGAAACAUCCGGACAAAUUUCAAAGGAAGGCACCUGCCUUACUUGGUUGCCAAAGCAGCGAGAUCAUACCGGCUAGAGGACUUCUACAAAACGUUCAACGAAACAAAAGAAAUGGAUGCUGGCUGUGCAAAAUACCUGUUGGAUAUAGGGUUUGAACAUUGGGCAAGGUCCCAUUUUCCUGGAGAUAGGUUUGACAUAAUGACGAGCAAUUUAGCGGAGUCGUGGAAUGCAGUCUUAAACGAAGCGAGAGAGUAUUCGGUUAUCCGGUUGGUUGAUUACGUUAGAGGGAAGCUGACGGAGUGGUUUGCAAGCAGGAGAACUUCAGCAAAUAGGAAUAACAACGCCCUAUCGCCCCGUGUGCUCGGGAUUGUGACAAGAAACUUUGAGAUGACAGGGGGUUAUGAGGUAACUAAUAUUGCUGAUGGCGAGUUCGAGGUGCGGGACAAGAAGGGAGGAAGCUUUCAUGUGAAACUUGCUAACAAAACUUGUAGCUGUUUUGCGUUUCAGAUGCUCUGUAUCCCAUGUCCACACGCGAUAGCUGCGGCAUUACAGUCUGGUGUGUUGGUUGAGACUUUAGUGAUGGAAGCUUACAACGUAAGUAUGCUGAGGGGUGCUUAUCAGGAGAGGAUAGUACCGGUUGGGGAUUACAGUGGAUUUCCAGAGAAUGAUGCUAUUUUCAAUGGCCGGCGCCUUAGUCCUCCAGCAACGAGACGCCCCCCGGGUAGGCCGAAGAAACAUAGGUUCUUCUCGCGUGGAGAGAAACUGGUAAUGUCUAUCAAUCCAAACUUAUCUUUGUUUGUAUAUAUUUUCAUUACAUAAAAUAAUAUAUGGCUGGGUUGGCUAUCGGUGUUGUGUGAUUUAUCAGAUGAAAUGCGUCCGUAGGAGAAUUGUAUGCAGCAGGUGCAAGGGUCUGAACCAUAACAAAGCGACAUGCAAGCGUCCAAUAUAAGAAAAAGUAGCAAGCCGAGGGAGGGAGAUGGUUGCGUGGGAGAGUUGUAUGGAAAGAGGAUAGUUCAGUGGGCUAAAAUAAAACUAUUGUUAUGUAUUAUAUUGUAGCUUUCUGCUUUCUACGGGUUGUUGGAUUAGUGGUAAUAUCGCAAUGUUAUGAUAAAUAAAGGUUUUCUUCCCUAAUAAGUUUGACGCUUGUCUGGACAAGUAAGAAGUGUAUAUUCAGAAAGAUGGUUAUGAUAGUGGUUUGAUGGAAAAUAAAUUUAUAAACCGUAAACAAGAACAUUUAGAUUGGAAAACUUAUAAGACAUAGGCGACAAAUUGAGAUUGAAGCUUUUCCGGGACAAGUAUGGAAAAGUAUACAAGACACAUAUGUUUCUGAAAAUAGAUGGUUGGCUGGUUAAACAAUAUUAAAUUAAGUCUACUCUAAAGGUUAGACGGUUUAUAUUAACAUUGGACGGUGAACAUGUUAAAAGAUACAUAAAAAAUAGCUAAACCAUACUUUUCAUGCGCAUAUAUGAUUUUACAACACGUUGGUUUCUAUGGGGUAUAUUGGUAGGAUGAUUAACAUGUUCAAAUGACGGUAAAAAGAAAAUUUAGACGGGUAGUGCCAAAUUACGAGUCGAUAACAUGGUUCAUUGGUAAAAAAAAUGGUUUGGAUAGAUAACAUGUAUUAAUAAUGGCUAGCAUGUAGUUUUGCUGUCUAGACAGUAUGUUCAACUUAUUUUGAUAAGGAUAUAGAUCACUAUAUUUAUCGUAUCUCCGACCGUUUUCGAGUAGAACCAUGUAACUAUACUGGAAUUGAGUAGUUGUAAAACAUACAACAAUCAGAAACAAUGUGGUGACUUGUCAUGAAUCGACUACUUCUGAACAUAUUGCAUUCUUUUCAUCACAUGUGUUAGAGAUUUGUAACCAAUGAUGAAAAGAAUAUUGGCUACGCAUUCGAUUUCAAAUAGCUGGCUGAUAAUUUAAGGGAAGUCCAUAGUGUAUAUAUGGCUACAGAAAAUAUAACACCUUCAUUAAACUUAUAUCGACAUUAUAAGAGUUCGAUAAACAUGAUUCUCUUCAUUUUUCAUAAGAUUUAUUGAAAAGAAGAAGAGACCUAAUAAAAAGCAUAAGAGUUUGAUAAGCAGUACGAUAGUCUGUUUUCAUAGAUAGAGAGACUUAGUAAAAACAACAAACACACACGUGCAUGAAAUAAAAGAGUGACGGUCGGACGGGUUAGAGCAUUCCCACGGUGGCUUCGUAAAACAUAACCGCCAGCCUCUCAACUUCACUACCGAUUUUAUCAGGGGUAAUGCAUUUGUAGACGUCGACACCUGCGACGGCGUGAGCUUGCACGAGAAGAAGGGCUGACACAGCAGAGGCAGCAUGAAAAGUAUUUUGCGGAAUGCUACGAGGUCUCUCAAUGGGAAAUGCUCUAGCAUCUUUGUGCAUAAGCUGUUUACCCCCUUGUUUCAGAAGGUAUGGAAACAUCUGAGCAAUGGGAGUAACCUCUAUCACCAUAAUGCUGUCAGUCCUGAGUGCUAUUUUGCAGUCCAACACAACAAUUGACCAUCUUGUGCAAUCAACGCAAACACCAACACAGUGUUUUUUGUCGAGAUUGAAGGGAAGAUAGUAACGCUCAGCGUCGGGAUAACUUUGAACUCGCUCAAGUAUAUUGCUGGGAAACCGGAAGGACUCUUUCUUGGACGUCUUAGAAAACUUGGUAAACAGUUUUGAGAGCUGGAAACAAACUGAGUGUCCAUGAACACAGGGUGGUUGGACUGGUUUGGGGGUGAGUUUAGCGUAAACUGUGAACUAAUAUGGCCAAUGAGAACAUCAACCACCUGUUUUUGAAAAUUAAAAACAAUAUUAUUAAGGGACAAUAUUACUAGCAGCACAAAAAUUACAUUGCAGGGCAGAUGAACGAACCUUUGGUUGCAAGGGAGAGGAUCUUUGAACAAGCUCAUAUGGGUCAUUGCUCUCUAGCGUUGAUUGGCCAAUGCGUAUUGUACUAAAAGAGGACGGCCAAGAAAGUUUGUUAGACGGUAUCUUAAAUAAUUAUACAGAUAAAAAUUAAUUUAACCAUCCAGAAUUUGAACUUACAAUGGUGACUUCAGUUUAUCGAGGAGGGAAGAGAACUUAGCAGCGUAAUCAAUGUUCCCGCCUGUGUUGUCGGGAUCUACAAAUGCUACUCGGGCCCGAUUGAGGAGACGCAUGUCGCAUUCAUACUGUCCCACCAGAGACUUGGGUAGGGCCUUAAGUCUCUUACUUUUCCGGCAGGCACCCAGCUGAUCCUCCUGUUCGCAAAUUUCUUUGCCAGCAGCAUUUUCGCACAUAGUUUCCCCUUCAGUGACAGCCUCCUUCGGGUGCGGGCGUUCCUCUUGAGUUAGCCCUAGGGAGAAGGUUGGUUUUGGGAAUGGUAACUCAUGGUCAAGAUUCUGCAAAAGUAAUUAGACUCAAAUUAGGCAGAGGGAGCAUUGUGGCGCUGUGCAACCUGAAACAACGUUGUACGUACCGUAUCUGGUGAGCUUUGACUAUGAUCAACAUCAUUUUCACACAUGCUGACCCCUUCGGUGACAGUCUCUUUCCGGUGUGGACGUUCCUCCUGAGUUAGCCCUAGGGAGAAGGUUGGUUUUGUGAAUAGUAACUCAGGGUCAAGAUUCUGCAAAGUAAUUAGACUCAAUUAGGCAAAUGGAACAGAACUGGCGCCGUGCUACCUGAAACAAAGUUGUACAUACCAUAUCUGGUGAACUUUGCCUAUGAUCAGCAACUUUUCCCUCUCGGCCAAGGGGAUAUUGUGGUGGGGGAUUGUCAACGACCAACGAUGCGGAUGGGUUACUUGCAACCUAUUGACCAGAAAAUAUCACAAAAGACUUAUAAAAGUAUCAAAUGUGUAAGCAUAGAGCGAUUUUCAGUUACCAUAUCUUCAGCUCCAGAUUUCUGAGCGCCCCCACGCAAUGUCUGAUAAUCAGUGUGUAUAGAUGACUGAAUCUCUUGUGCUCCGUUUAGGACCUGCAUGAGAUCAGUAUUUUAUGUAAGAUUCAUCGUGUUAAUCGGCUAGUAUCAUAGUGUGGCCGGGUAUUGAGAAACUUACAUCGACAGCAAAUGUAUUUGCUUGAUUUGAGAAUAGGAUUGCAACGGGGAGAUCGUCAGUUAUCAUCUCUUCAUGGCUGUCGCGCCGUGUCUGAUUUUCGGUGUGUAUCACUUGCUGAAUCACUUGUCCUCCGAUCAACCCCUGCGUGUGAAAUGUAUAUUAAGUAAGUGACGGUGAUUUAGCCGGUUAAUAUAUUAUUUUUCAGGGUAUUUUGUAGCUUACAUCGUAUGUGGAUGAUGUUGUUUGGUUUGCGAGUAUGGUGUCGUGCGAGACCAUUUUCUCAGGAAUGACGAGCGGUGUCUGAUUUUCACAGGGUACAUCUAACUGAAUCCCUUGUCCUCCGUUCAGCCCCUGCAAAGUGAUGAAUCUUAUGUGUACAAGAAAGAGAAGUAUCCGGUUAACAUAAUAUUUGUCUGGUUAUUGAAAAACUUACAUCGACAGUCAAUGAUGUUGUUUGGUUUGCUAAUCGGAUAGCGUCGUUGAUAAUAUCAUUUUCGGCGGAUUCAGUAUGAAUACCUACACGGUGUAGUGAAGUGCGCCUGAUGUCUAGAUGUUGGCCAUCUCUAGCGACUUUGGAAAGAUCCAGUCUGCACUGAAGAGCUAACUGGUAUCUGCCCAGAAGAAACCUCCAAUUUACGAACCAAUUGUUGGAUGCUCUCUAGGACAUUGGUUUGGAAGGUGAUGAAAGAUUCAGAAAGUGUGCUUAAUUGCCUCUCAAUCCGAGAAAGAUCUUCUCUAACUUUGUCUCUGACCAUCGAUGCAAUUGAUUCACAAUCUAUGACCUCUGAGGUUGUUGUCUGUUUUGUCUGCUUUGGCUUCACUGUUUUCCGGUUAAUUGCCUCUGUUUUUGCAUCUUCGCGCAUCCUAUUGACCUCUAGAUUAGUUGCGCCACCCGUAAAGCUUGACUUGUUGAAGGGAAAUUGCUGCUCGAGUAGACUCAUCAAAUUAUCCACGAUAGGAUCCUCCUCGUCGUCCUACCAGCCAAGAUCAGGUGACGCUUUGAAGUGUUCUUUGUCUUCUACUAUUAUAGAAUGAACUGCGACCUAGCACGCAAAGUAAAAAAAGUAACGAGAAGUCAGUGUUGGUUGCAAUGGAGACAGUGGCUCAAAUUGUACUAUUUCACAUUUUGACUGAGAACGUGAAUAAGUAUACGUAAUGGGAAUACGUACCUUUCCUGCUGCGUCGGUGUCGCGAGCAUGACCCGGGCUGAUGCUUCUUUUCCCAUUCUUAUCUUCAUCUACUAGAUCAUCGUCCUCGCCGCCGUCACCUUCUGAGCCAGAUGAGGAUCCAUCGUUGACCACCUCUGUUAGAGCGGGGAUGGCUUCGACCAUUACAAGCUGUAGUGAAAGCACGAAUCCUUUCAGAGCAAUGGUGUUUUGCAACAGUGAAACCUCCUUCCUCUCUUUAAUACUACUCAUGAGCAUGUCAAAGGAUACUCUUCCCCAUGGGUAUGCGAAGAAAUCAUCUAUGUCUUUGAUGACCUAUGCGUGAUCUUGUGAGAUACGCGGUGUGUGUAUGGUUGGUAGAAUAACAGCAUCUAGUAAAGCUAAUAGAGCGUAUUUCACACGAAUGCAGCUAUCUUUGACGGUUCUUUUCUUGAGCAUUCUUAUAACAGAAGUGACUGGGACCUUCUUCAGUGUCCUAAAAAGCUCCCCCCAAUAUGGUUUUUCCGAGAUAAUUUUCUUGGCUCUUUUUUUUUUUUUUUGGAAGCUUACGACAGUUUAGCCCCGUUACAUAGGCGAACUCUCAAAGAGAAAAACGUACAGGUUUUCCUGCGAAUAUGAACCACGCUUCGUGUUUCUUUGAGACUUUUAGCUGCCUGGAGAUGAUGAAUCGGCCAAAACGUCCGGAGAAAGAGGGCUUUUCCCCAAUCUCAACAAGCUUCCCGAACGAUGAGCCCCUGAUGGUGUCUACUUCUUCAGGAUCGAGAGCGUUGAGUAUUUGCCUAAUGGCAUAGGGUUUAUGGUAUGGCGUUACCCUAACGCCGACUGGUUCAUGGCCCACCGCGAAAAUCCGGUCUGGAAUGCGGAGAGGUGGAGAUGAGAGAUCGUCUUCUUCCAUUUUGUUACUGAUUUUGUAGAAAGUGGGGUUUGGUAAUGAACCUCGAUGAUAACGAUGAGAGAGAAGGAGGAUUGUAUCGGGGAAAGGAGAAUGAGAUUUCAGAGAGUAAAUAUAUGAAUAUAUGGGAGAAGAGGAAGAUUCACUAAUUCUAUUAAGAUCUCUUUAGCAUUAAGGACUGACAAAAUCCCAAACUGCGUACUUCAUAUCUUUUAUCUAAGAUUUUGUAAUCUCACGCCGAGUUGAUACAUAUAAGGGUAGCAGCGUCUAGGAAAAUUAUGAAUAGUGGCCAGAAAAGUGUCUUUUGGUAUGAUGUUAAAUAUGGUAUAAUACGUUGGUACACGUCCUAAUUUCUCAUUUAUUAAUUGUUUUAUUAAUUUGCAGAUUACUAUUAUUAGUUGACUUUUAUUUUACUCAUAAUAAUGCGAUGCAGUGCUAUAUUAGUGGAUCUAAAUUCAUACGAUUAUUAAUCCACAAAACAUCCAGAUGCAGUAAAAAAAAUUAUAAGAUAAUUGAUAGGUUAUUCUUUCUUUUUUUUUUGUCGGCUACCCGUUUAAACUAGAUCACGUGCUGGUCAAAUGAACUAAUUUUUCGAAGAGCAUUUCUGUAUGUCCAUGUUUGAUUUAUAUGGGAGAAAAUACAACUUCUGGUUCUUGCUUUGAAUCCGUCCAACCAUUCCUACUUGGAGGAAUAUGAGCCAGGUUCACGUUCUCGAAGUCCUCAUGUAGUCUAUGUAACAAUUCAAUUUUCGACGCGAAUGCUGGCCAAUCCAUCGGGUUCGCAGUCAUAUCCAAUAGAUCUAAUAAGUUUGUCUGGAACCCGAUCGAGGUUAUCCUCCUGUCUCUCAUGCAUGAAGUUGCCCAUAAUAAACCUUCCAUCUCAACAUGUAAGGCUGAGAGGCUUCUGUUGCACGUCCGUAAUCUGAAAGAUUCGAACUAAUUUGAUCUUUAAAACUCCACCCUAGGCCACUGAAAUUGCUAUUAUCAAUCAUUGAAGUAUCAAUUUGGCAGGUACAGAUUCGAAAUAUCCAAGGGGGCACUGUCUGAACCUCUGAAGUAGGAGGGUCCUCAUGAUCCUUGUCCUCUUCCUCUUUUUCGUUAGCUUUUCUCCAAGAUUCCGCUUAAAUGGAUGCAAGUUGAAGAGUGUCAAUUGGGAAAACAUAGACUACAUGUAUUUUACUUAUGGACUCGAACCAACCCGAACAUGAAAGGGAUCAAACCGAACUGAAAAUUAUUAAAUACCUAGUCGGACUAGUUAGGUACAACUGUCUAGGACUCGAAAGAACCGGACCCGAUAUGAACUAACCAAACCAGACCCCAAGAUCCAAAUGCCCAAGUCUAUCUACUUCUCCAAAUUAAAGUUUAAAAUAAAUUAAAUUUUUGAUUAAUUUUGUUAUUUGCAUUUAGGUUGAUUGUUAUAUUAGAUAUUUAAACAUAUUUUAUCAACAUUAUGUAUAACUUAAUACAUAUUGUUUUAAGAACGAAACAGAAAAGAUCUAAAAUGUUCGAUUCAAAUUAAAAUAAAUGAUUAUAAAGAUAAUAAUCUGAAAUCUUAUGCAUAUAUAUAUAUAUACACAUAAAAACUAAAUUGUAACAUUAAAUGAUAUUUUAUUUUUGCUAAUUAAUAUGUUUCAAGUCAUCUCAUAAUUUAUAUAUAGAAAAAUAAAUAAAAUAUUAUUAUAAAAUAGUAUAUUAAUAUUUUAGUUAGAUCUUUGAUUUUGGAUAUAAGAAACUGGAUUAAUUUAGUUACUAAUUUUAUGAGUAUAUUUAGUUAUAUAUGUAUAUAUAUUCUUGCAAUUUUGAAUUAAAGUAUAAUUAUUUUUUAUUUUAAUUAAGACAAAUCAAAUUAUUUUUAUUUAUCGUAUUAGUUUUAUUUAUCGUAUUAGUUUAGUUCUUCAUUUAUGUACAAGUAUAUUUUGUAAUAUUAUAAUAAUUUGAUAUAUGCUGUUUUUUUUAAAAAUUAUUAGAAAAAAAUGAUCUGUGAUCAAUAUAACAUUUCAUAAAUGAACAUUACUGAUAAAAUUUUGAAAUCUAAUGAGCACAUAUCGGUAUUUACAAUAAUGAAAAUACUUCAUAAUUCUAAGUAAUUAUAUAAAUUAGAUUUUUUAAAAGGUAAGGUGAAAAUUAAUUUAAAAUAAGCUAAAACAUGAGAAUUCCGAUUUGUGAGGUUAAUUUUACAAGGUUAUAUUAGGUUCUACAAACAUAAAGCAAAAUAAAUCAGACUAAUAUUAGGCUAAAAGUAAAUUUAAGAUUUUAUAAUAUUUUGUUCACUAAAGGUAUCUAUAUUCUAGAGUUGUGCUAUUUUAAAAUAUUUAUAUAAUUAUUAGAUAAAAAAAUAUGCUAAUAGUAAAAAGUGUUUUAGUUUCCUUUUUUAAUAUUAAAAGAAAUGCCAAAUUUUAUUUUGUGAUUGUUUAUACAAAUCAUAUUAUAUACGUUAAUUAAAUUUUGUAGAUACUAUUUUAUUUUGUUUAAAAUUAUAAUAUAUUAUAGUCAACUAAAAAGUAUGCAAAAAAUAAAUAAAACAUCUCCAUAUUACUAUUUAUAAUUCAUUUUUAGUCAAUUAAAAUAUUUUAAUUUUCUCUUAUUUGAUUAUUUUACGGGGAAAUUGCAUGUUUACCACUUUCAUGCUACCACUUUUCACUUUUACCUUCACUAAAUAAACAUUUUCAAAAAUAUCUUCUUCAUUAAGUGUCAAAAGACUCUAAUGCCCUUGUUCUUUAUAUAUAUAAUAAAUAAAUAUUUAAAUAAAUAAAAAUCUAAAAAAAUAAAAAAUAAUUUUUUUAAUUUUUUUUCGAAUGAUACUAUUCCGAAAUUCAAACCCUAAACCCUAAAACACAACUUUAAACCUAAAUCAUCAAUCCUAAACCUUUUUUUUUUUGAAAUACGAACCCUAAACCAUCAAUCCUAAACCCUUUUUUUUUUUAAAUACGAACCCUAAACCCUUAAACAUCAACUCUAAAUCCUAAACCCCGAAACGUCAACUCUAAACCCUAAACCCUAAACCUUCAACUCUAAACCCUAAAACAUCAACUCUAAACCCGAAACCCUAAACUUCAACUCUAAACCAUCAACGCUAAACCCUAAACUAUCAACACUAAACCCUAAACCCUAAAAAGUAAACUCUAAACCCUAAACCCUAAAAAUUAACACUAAACCCCAAACCUUCAAAUCUAAACCCUAAAACAUCAACUCUAAACCCUAAACGUAAACCCUAAACCCUAAAUCCUAAACCCUAAACCCUAAAACCCCAGAGUUGAUGUUUUAGGGUUUAGAUUUGAAGGUUUAGGGUUUUAGGGUUUACAUUUAGGGUUUAGAGUUGAUAUUUUAGGGUUUAGAUUUGAAGGUUUAGGGUUUUAGGGGGUAGGGUUCGAAUUUCAGAAAAAUAUAGUGUUUAGGGUUUACGUUUAGGGUUUACGUUGUUGUUUUAGGGUUUAGAUUUGAAGGUUUAGGGUGCAGGGUUUAGAGUUGAUGUUUCGGGGUUUAGGGUUUAUAGUUGAUGUUUCAUGGUUUAGGGUUUAGGGUUGAUGAUUUAGGGUUUAAAAUUGAUGUUUUAAGUGUAGAUUUAGGGUUUAGGGUUUACGUUUAGGGUUUAGAGUUGAUGUUUUAGGGUUUAGAUUUGAAGGUUUAGGGUUUAGGGUUUAGAGUUGAUGUUUCGGGGUUUAGGGUUUAGAGUUGAUGUUUCAUGGUUUAGGGUUUAGAGUUGAUGAUUUAGGGUUUAGAGUUGAUGUUUUAAGUUUAAAUUAGUUAACCUUAUAUUUUUUUUGUCAAAGUUAAUCAAAAGGUUAUAAAUAUCUUUUACCCUUCAUUAAUGAUGAAGGUAAAAGCGGUUACUGUAAACAUGAAAAAUGGUACUUUGAAAAUGAUAUUUUUGGCAAAUUCCCUUAUUUUAUGUAAUCUUGUAAGAAAAUAGGUAGGGUUCGAAUUUCAGAAAAAUAUAGUGUUUAGGGUUUACGUUUAGGGUUUACGUUGUUGUUUUAGGGUUUAGAUUUGAAGGUUUAGGGUGCAGGGUUUAGAGUUGAUGUUUCGGGGUUUAGGGUUUAUAGUUGAUGUUUCAUGGUUUAGGGUUUAGGGUUGAUGAUUUAGGGUUUAAAAUUGAUGUUUUAAGUGUAGAUUUAGGGUUUAGGGUUUACGUUUAGGGUUUAGAGUUGAUGUCUAAACCCUAAACCCUAAAACCCCAGAGUUGAUGUUUUAGGGUUUAGAUUUGAAGGUUUAGGGUUUUAGGGUUUACAUUUAGGGUUUAGAGUUGAUAUUUUAGGGUUUAGAUUUGAAGGUUUAGGGUUUUAGGGGGUAGGGUUCGAAUUUCAGAAAAAUAUAGUGUUUAGGGUUUACGUUUAGGGUUUACGUUGUUGUUUUAGGGUUUAGAUUUGAAGGUUUAGGGUGCAGGGUUUAGAGUUGAUGUUUCGGGGUUUAGGGUUUAUAGUUGAUGUUUCAUGGUUUAGGGUUUAGGGUUGAUGAUUUAGGGUUUAAAAUUGAUGUUUUAAGUGUAGAUUUAGGGUUUAGGGUUUACGUUUAGGGUUUAGAGUUGAUGUUUUAGGGUUUAGAUUUGAAGGUUUAGGGUUUAGGGUUUAGAGUUGAUGUUUCGGGGUUUAGGGUUUAGAGUUGAUGUUUCAUGGUUUAGGGUUUAGAGUUGAUGAUUUAGGGUUUAGAGUUGAUGUUUUAAGUUUAAAUUAGUUAACCUUAUAUUUUUUUUGUCAAAGUUAAUCAAAAGGUUAUAAAUAUCUUUUACCCUUCAUUAAAGAUGAAGGUAAAAGCGGUUACUGUAAACAUGAAAAAUGGUACUUUGAAAAUGAUAUUUUUGGCAAAUUCCCUUAUUUUAUGUAAUCUUGUAAGAAAAUAUAUAGAUAUAUAGAAAAUAUUUUUACUACUUUGAAAAUAUAUUUUAUGAUGCUUAAAAAUAUGUUUAAAAGGGAAGAUAUUUAUUUUCUUAAUAUCAAGACUAUUUUUGUUUUAAAUUUUUUUUUAUGAAAUCACUUAUAUAUAAAUAUAUUCUCGUUUCAUUUAAGAAAAAUAUAGAUAUAAACAAAAUAUUUUUAUUACUUUGAAAUAUAUAUAUAUAUAUAUUUAAUGUUGCUUAAAAUUAUUUUUAAUAUAUCUUAAUUUUUUUCUUAAUAUCAAGAUUGUUUUUGUGAAUUUUCUUUUUUAUUAAAUCAAAUAUAUAUAUAUAUAUAUAUAUAUAUAUUAAAAAUUAAAUUUUUUAUAAAUGAUUCCUUUUUAUUAUAUAUGUUAUUUUUGAAAAAAAAAUAAAAGGAAUGUAAAUUUAAGAUUUACGAAAUAAAUUUUUGUAGUGAUGGUAUUUAGAUACAAUAUUUUUUAAUUCAUUAAGAGUAUCUUUGUAAUUAAUCAUCGUAAUAAUUUACGUGAGCGCUACACAUAUGAAACUGCUUUAUCUAACAAUAUUGUAGAGAUAUUUUGAUAAUGUUGUCAAUAGUCAAUAUAAUAUACUCUCCGUUUCAUUUUAAUUGAUGUUUAGAAAAAACGUUUUAUUUCAGAUUAGAUAAUGUUUUCAAUUAUUUUGCAAGAAGUUAAUGUGAUUUGUUGUUUGUGAUUAAUCAUAAAACAUAAAUAUUUAAUUUAUUUCAAAAAAAAUGGAAAGAAAAUAUAUAAGAAUGCAUCAUCAUAGCAAAAACAAAAGGAAUAAAAUUGAGAAAGCUGUUUUAAAAAGUCUAGAAGCCCCAUAUUUUGUUCACUCUCUAUUCCUUAUAUAUUAAUUGAGAAACAUUACAACAUUGUUUUGUAGCCACGUGUCGCAAUGAGAAUGAAAUUCAGAAUUCUUAGAAAAAUAGGUUGGUUUAUCUUAAUUUAUAGUAUACUUUUUAUUAAACUAACUAUCAAAUUGAUAAAUAGUGUAUAAAAGAAUAUUCUCGCAGUUUCAUUAAAUAAAAACUACGGAAUUACCUAAUAUGAUUAACGUAUAUAUGACCAUUAAUGAUUAUGAAUAAUAAAAAUUUGAUAACAAUUUUUGUAUCCUUCUUAAUUUUUGUCUAAUGUUAUAUUAUUAAAAGAAAUUAAACAAUCACAUUAACCAUAUAAUAAAAAGAAAUUAGAUUUUUUCUUAUAUGUUAUAUUUUGAAUUUUUUAAAUGACUAUAAAUUAUUAGAAAUUUUAAAAUACUACUUUGAAAAUUUUGUGAUCAAUGGCCGAAUUUGUUUUGUUAUAACAAGAUACAAAUGAUCCUAAAAUUAUAUUAAUAUGGAUUUUUAUUUAAUAAAUAUUCAAAUUAAAUAAUAUAUUUAUUCAGCUAAUGACUUAAAGCAAGAAAAUGGGCUGCAUCAAUUUAGUCGCCAAGUUGAAACCCUUCAAAACUAUGUGGAAGACUAAGGUCACAGUAAUACGAUUUUGGAAACAAUACUAAGCUGAUGGUUCUAAAACCAUUGAAAUAGUUCUCAGUGAUGUUAAAGUAAGUAUUAAAAAAGUUGUAGAACCUGUUUUAUAAUAAAAAUUUACUUGAUGACCACAUUACGGUUUUUAUAGGUAUAAACAGGGUGAUAAAAAAUUUAAUCUCAAAUCGAUCAGGAUCAUCAUAAAUUCAAAAUAGAUUUCACUCCACAAUUACAAUUACAAAUGGCUGUCCAACAUAUAGAUGAUUAUAUAAAGAAAACAUAUAUGUAUGCAUAUUAAAAAAAAUCAAAUACAUUUACAUAUUUAAUUUGUUAAUACUAUAUAUUUUUAAUUUUUAUUAUAUAAGUUUGCGCAGGUCUUAUCCUAGUAUUGUAAGUAUAGCAGAGUCCAAUACAUAAUAAAAAUCAUUCAAACUUGAACACAAGGUGGCAUGUAUUAGAAGCCUUGAGCACACCAUCCAAUUUUUUGCGCGUCCUACGUCUCUGUUUCAACUUGUCAAGCUGGCCCGGUUCAAUGGGACCUGUAGAGAAAGUCGCAUUCUUUAACCCUCUUGCAUUCUUUAGAAGAUAUGUAGCCACUUCUUCUUCCUUUUCUCCUUUCCAAUCGUAUCUUCUCCACACAAAUGUCUCUAGAUGUGACAACAAACAUUCAGGGACAGACUUUGGCUUAUUCCAUUCCCAGCCGAGAACAUGAUAGUCAGGAUUAAUCCUAUAUUUCUGUAACCAACGUGAAAAAGAGUAGUAGUCAAUGUAUAUAUCAUCAGUAUUAGACCAUCAAAAAUAGCUAGCUGAAUAAUAAAACAAUAAAAUUUCUUACACCAACGAGCUUCAGGACUUGUAGUUUCGGUGAAUGUUCGAGCAUCCACGUAAGUAGAUCAUACCAGCCUGGUUCAUGCGUAUAUAUCUGUAGAUACACCAGUUGAUAGAAGAUACAUCCAGUAGGAGGAUAUAUAGUCUAUCCAUGAGACGAAAUUAAUAACUUAUACAAAUAAUAUUAUUUAGUUUUGCUUUGUAUUUAUUUAGUUAUAUUCGAGUAAAUCGUUAUAUAUAUAAGUACAAAGAGGAUAUAUGUCAAUGCCAACUCAAGAUUCAUGAUCCGAGAGUAAACCAUAUAUGUUUGCAAUCUUCGUUUGAUGACGUGUUUUACUCGUACUCGUUAUACUAGUUUUGUGUGGAUAAGAUGUUAUACUUUUGGUCAAUGUAACCGUUGUAGAUUUUAAAGAAAAUAAUCUAAUUUUACAUUCUUAUUUAUAUAGUUAGAUUCGAGUAUAUCGAUUUAUUUACAAAACAAUAUAUGAAGAGGACAUGUGUCAAUUCCAAUUCAAAGUUUAUAAUACAAGAGUGAACCAUAUAUAUGAAAUAUGUGUUUGAUGAUGUUUUUUUGUCGUACUCGUUGUACUAGUUUUGUAUGGAUAAAAUUGUACUUUUGGUCAAUAUAACCAUUAUAAAGUUUGACUAAGUUAUAUGGUUAUUGGGCUUUUAUUUUUUUGGUUAACCCACUUUGCAUUUCUGAUGUUGAAUUAGAAUUUCUUAAUGGGAGGCUUUUGGUUAUAGUGUUAUUAUAAUUUUUCACAUUCAAAAGUGGGUGGAUAAUUCACCCCCAGUUUGAAGCAUAAAGAGAUGAACAUGUGAGACUGUGUGGAUUGUCCUUUUUAGACCAUGAAAUGAUACGGAGCCAAGAAAUAUACAUAAACCAUCAAUAGAUCUCAUUGCUUCCUACAUCAUGUCCAGUUAUUAUGGACUCCAAGUGUUGAGUCUAAAUCUGAAGAGAAGUAGAGUUUCAUUUUCACCAUACUUUUUAUACAAAGAAGUACUUUUUCUAGAGAGAAAAGUCUUAUAUCAAAAGAUGAUGCAUUUUAUGACAAACAAAAAUUGAUGGAAACUUUUAUAUAUCUUUGAUGUGAUAUAUUGAAGAUUUCCUGCUUAGCUUCAAAAGUAGGUAGGAUCCGAGAAGAGGUCAUCCUUAUUCUUAAGAAUUACUUGAUUGAGCUUUUGAACUUUUGAUCAAUGUAGUUGUUGCUGAGUUUGUGUGAGUCAUUAACUUGUUCGGGUUUUGUUUUUUAAGUUCUCCUUUUUAUGUUGAUUUAAAUAUUUUUGAUUGACUAGAGGCCGUUCUUUUUUUGAAUAAAUGUUAAAUUUUAUUCAUCCAAAAAAACUGUUUUAUAUAUGAUGUAACUAUGAGUUAGAAUGAUAAAAAAGUAUAAACUCAUCUUUACAUAUCAUCUUGUUCCAAACCAAAUUCUAAGGCCCUCCUCCAUCUUUUGAUCACCUUGGCGCCUAAUGGUAGAUAAUCUGUUCGUCACAGUCUUAUCAAUUGUCUUUAUCAACAGACUAUAUGGUGUUGCUGCUCUCCAUGCCUUCUCUUAUUUCUUUCCCACCAAAUUGUAUGAGCAGUAGCUUGGAAAGUGUACCUCAGCAAGAACAACCUUACGCUUUCCUGUCUACUAUCAAGCAAGAGAUUGAAAAUGUCUUCCCAUUCCUCUGUAUAUCUCGAUUGGAGUAACCCUUUCACAAGCUUCUGCCAGAUUUGACUUGAGUAUGAACAAGAGAGAAACAGAUGGUUACGCGUUUCCAUGCUUUGGGUAGUUAUGAUGAGGUGAUUCAUGUUAAGUAGGAAGGUUGCGAAUUGACUCAAGGUGAAUACUUCUGAAGGGACUUCAUAGAAACAAGAGAAUGUCAUCUAACUUAACUAAUACAACAAAACCAUAUCAUAUAACCCCUGUUCGGGAACGCGCUAGGCGCUAGUCGGGCGGUCGGGUUGGACCUAGCGCCUAAAAAAAAAUCGAGGAUUAAUCGAAAAUUAUGCGGGGCGGAAUUUUUAGAUUCUUUACUAUGUUAUAAAACAAGUUAAUCUUUAAUUGUGUAUAACAUUAAUACAUUUUCAUGUUUAAGAUUGUAUAUAACACACAAAUAGAAUAUAUAAACUUAAUAUAGUGUAAUUUUCAUCAAAAUUAUGAAUAUAAAUGAUAUUUAUAAAAUUUUAGAUCAAACAAAUAAAUAAAAAUAUUAUUAAAAAAAAAAUUAAAAAAACAGAUUAGGCGGCUAGGCGGUCAUUUAGGCGGUCUAGGCGGAGAAAAUCGGAUAUCCGAUUUUUUAAACCGAUUUGGCAUAAAUCGGGGCGGAAGAGUGACACGUAGCGCCCAGACGGCCGCCUAGAGCUAAGCGGCCGAUUUUUAGAACAUGGCUAAAUAAUAAUGAUUGUUAUGAAUUUGUUUUUUAGAUGAGGGAUGCUCGUUCGUUGGCGACAUGGAGAUAUUGUAAGGAGAGUAAUUGAAACGCCCGGUCCGUCCACGGCUAAUGGGCCAUCCACUAGAUUAUUGNNNNNNNNNNNNNNNNNNNNNNNNNNNNNNNNNNNNNNNNNNNNNNNNNNNNNNNNNNNNNNNNNNNNNNNNNNNNNNNNNNNNNNNNNNNNNNNNNNNNNNNNNNNNNNNNNNNNNNNNNNNNNNNNNNNNNNNNNNNNNNNNNNNNNNNNNNNNNNNNNNNNNNNNNNNNNNNNNNNNNNNNNNNNNNNNNNNNNNNNNNNNNNNNNNNNNNNNNNNNNNNNNNNNNNNNNNNNNNNNNNNNNNNNNNNNNNNNNNNNNNNNNNNNNNNNNNNNNNNNNNNNNNNNNNNNNNNNNNNNNNNNNNNNNNNNNNNNNNNNNNNNNNNNNNNNNNNNNNNNNNNNNNNNNNNNNNNNNNNNNNNNNNNNNNNNNNNNNNNNNNNNNAUAUUGCACCAUUACAAUGUGCGUUAAAUAUAAAUCUCAGGCAGUUGCGAGCGACAAAAAAAAUGUUUAGAAAUAUCUUAUGUGUAUAAGUACCACGUUCUUUUUCAUUUAAUCACAAAAUAAAAACAUAAAUUAAUAGUCUUAAGCCAGUACAGAGCGAAAGUUCAAGCAUUGAGAAUUAUCAAUCACAGUGGUCAACACAAAUUCUUAACAGAGAAGGUGUGGUUAUUUCUGUUCUUCUCCAGUACUCCUCUUUAGAAGCUCAUUUCUUGGUACUUACCAAUUGAAUGAUGCUGCUUCUCUUCCAUGCUACUGUCAUUUUUGGCCCACUCGACCACCUGUGACGGUAAACAAAGAGUCAAUGGAUCCAAAUUAAGAGGUCUGAGAGAGAGAGAAAGAGAACAGAGUGCAACAUAAGAGUCUUACCAAAUGGCGUCCGUAGUAAUGAGUACUCGACCAUGUUUGUUUUUUGCGUUUGACGUUUCUUGCUUUGUCAUUAAAUCAACAAAAUUUUAACUUGAAUAUUUUCCAAUAUUCCUCUUUGGAAGCUAUGCAUAAACAAAGAAACAUGAAGGAUUGUGUUUGAUGUUUCUGAGGGUAGUAAAUCCAACACAACUUCUAUUACGACAGAGACCAAUGGCAUGUCACGUCCCUUUGUAGCUGUUGUGACUUGUAACAGAAUAAUAUUAAACCGAUGCAUAAGACCUAAACUUCAGUAAUUGCAUUAUUACCUGUUCAAGUCCUGAAAAGCUGUCUUAGCUCUUUCCGGUUGCCUCAACAGCUAAAACUUUUACAAGUAACUUUGUUGGAAUAUUAUCUCAAGCUUUCCCAACCGUGUCCCUCUGCUUGUGUCCAGAAUCUCAACCUGAAAGCAUGCUCAUCCAUAGAAGUUCCCUGAAAUUAAAAAGAAAUGUGUCUUUGCACUUCAUCAAAUUCAAGAAACUUGAAAUUUCAAAGAGAAACAAAACUAUAUACUUGCACAUCUCUGUAGAGUCGAAUUCUACAAAACAAUAACUGCUUGAAACUUCUUUCAAAUAAUUUCCCAUGGCUUAUUUACAUAUCCCAUAAACCAUAAAGAUGAUAAACACACAUAAAACAAAGGAAACCCCAAGCAUAGGAAGUUAAAAACCUUCAAAAUUUUGGUAUCAAGCAACAAUUUUUUGAUUGUUUUAAAAAGAAUCUAAAAACAUAUAUCACAUUAAAGUUUGGGCAGUUCUAUCAGAUAAAUCUUUUUAUGUUUUUGUUACAAAAAUAGAUCUCAAAAAAGAAAAUGACCAAAAUAGAGUUUUUUAUUUUGAAAAUUUUAAUACUUUUUUAGUUUUUAAAAUUUGAAAUCAUACCUCUAAAACUCUACCCCUUAACUCUAAUCUCUAAACCCUAAAUCGUAAAUCAAAAACCCUAAAUUCUAAAUUUUAAACCCAAAAACCCAAUCCUUAAUAAAACAUCUCUAUUAUUAAAAGAGAAGUACCAUUAAAAAAUACCCCUAAGUUUUCUAACUUAUUUACACUUUCAUACCACUGAGAAUUAAAUUAAACUACUUAUUUUAAUGUUUGUCUUUUCCAGUUAAAUUAAUGAAUUUUUCUUAAUCAAAUUUAAACUUAAUGUCAUUAAAUAAACCUACCUAUUUUAAUGUUUGUCUUUUCCAGUUAAAUUAAUAAGUUUUCCUUAAUCAAAUUUAAAUUUAAUGUCAUUAAAUGAACCUAAAAAUACAUCAUAUUUAACGUAGCUUAUUACGUACGAGUACGACCCAAUAAUGAACUUGAAUUUUAUUUUUACGAAAACGUGAAUCACUUGACUUAUGAUUUUCUAAGCUUUAUAAAAAAAACAAAUCAAUAAAUACAAACUCAAAAUCCAAUAUCUUCUAUUAAUCAAAACAUAAUAUCUUCAAUGUCGUAUCUUUAAUGUACCUAUUAAAUAUAGAAACUGUAACCAUAAUUACACUAAUUAUAAGAAUAGAUUUGAUUCCAACCAAAUGAUCUAUUACUUCGGUAAUUGAUUUGCUUGCAGAAGAGAAAACAAUAAAUUUAAAAUUUAUAAGAAUAUAAAGAUAUAGAGAUUCCAACCAAUUGCCUAUAUUUGCGUAUGAUUUUCGCAUAAUAAGCUUCAAAUUGAACAUUGAAAAAGAUAGAGAUAUUUUUUUUAAACUUUUACCGAUACAAACUUAAACAAAACGAAGACUUAAAUGUAAUUUUUUUUGUUACACUUCCCGGAAAAAAACUGUUACAACAUGAGCUUUCAUAAUAUGACUUUUUAACAUAUUAAUGUUAUGGACAUUUAAUAAUUAUCUUGACGAAAAACAAAGACUAUAAAUAAUUUAUUAUUAAUAAAAUUAUGAAAUUAUUUACAAUUUGAUGACUAAUUCAUCGCCUUUUUUUAUAUGUUAAAUUUUUCAUAGAAGUUUAAAAAUCAUUUUAUUUUCUUUAAACAUGUAUAACUAAUUUAUAAUCUUUUAUGCCAUACUAAGUCAUAAUAUAAUAUUUCUUUAUAUUUUACAUUAAUAACCAUUGUUUUAACAUAUCAUCUACAAUUCUCUAAUUACGUCUAUUUGUUCAAUUUUUUAUAUGAUAUCGAAUAUUCAUCGCAAAUAGAUGGUUUAAGAUGCCAAAAAAAAUAUUUUCUUGAUGAAUAUAAUACAUCAAAUAUUACAAAUACAUUAUUUAAUUAAAUAAAUAACCAAAAGCCAAAAAUUCAAAUCAGGGAGGGUCUAGUUUUAGUUAUUUUGAAAUAUAUAGGGAUAUCUAAGGAAUUUUUCUUAAAGUUUUCCCACAUCUUAAUAAAAAAUUUAGUUUAUAGGCAUUAUUGCAUUUGUCGAAAAUAAAAAUAAAAAUGUGUUUUAAUUAAUCUGCGCACAAGAAAUUACCUCCGACGCGAAACAUCUCAGUCUUGACUCUCCGAACUCCCAACUAGGGUUUCUCGAUCUCUCCACCAAAUGCUUCUUCUGCAGCGAUGAUUUCUACAUAGCUUCCGCUGAUUCCAACUCUCUAAGCGGCAUCCAAUUUCAAUGGGACUUCCUCGUCUCGUUGCUGUUGCUUUUACACUUGCUCUAGUUUCAAUCUUUCUCCCUCUCCCGUUCUCUCUCGCUGGUGAGUUUUCCUUUUUCUGAUUUGUAUUAGCACAAAUUAUCUAUCGUUUUUUGAUAGAACAUUAGUUUGUUAGUGUGAUCCAUUUCGAAGAUUUCUUUUUUUUUUUUUGGGUGUGUGCAGGUGAGAUAACGUCUAUUGAAUCUGUGCCUGACCUUCAGAAGCUUAUGUAUGUUGCUGUUGAUGGGUAUCCUUGUGUGCGCCUCCUCAAUCUCUCUGGAGAGAUUGGCUGUUCCAGUAAGAUUCUUUUAUUAUUCGAUUAGUUCCCCCCCUGGUUUUUAUUUUUGUUUAUAAUAUACUCAGAUCCUGGAUUGAGUAAGGUGGUGGCUCCACUCAUUAAACUCAAGGAUGUUAAAGAUUUGGUUGAGCCGCACACUGUUUUGGUUACAGCUGAUGAAAUGGAAGAUUUCUUUACCAGGCAUGUUCCUUUGUCUCUUUUUUUUUUUUUUGCUAAAGUUCUAUUCGGUUUAGAACAAAUCUCUUAAUCUGUGGACUAGUGCUUUAACUCCCAUGCUAAUAAGCAUGUAGCCAUGCAUGAAAUAGGUGUUUGCUUAACAUCUGUCAAUAAAGUCACUUUUGUUGUUAGUGCAUCCGGAGCUAAUGAUGUUCUAUUCACUAGGAUCCUGUAAUUCAUUCUACAAACUAUUUUAGUCAUGGCAUUAUUGGUUAGAUUUUGUACCUCUUAAACUAUUUACGUUAGAAUCCUACAUUGCGCAUUCUGUUUUACUUCUGGCAUGAUUCAUUAGAUUUUGUACACCCUCUGUUAAAGUAGAAAUUACUCAUGAUUUAUUGCUAUUUUCAGGGUAUCAAAUGAUUUGAGUUUUGCUAGCAAAAUUGGUGGCGUUCUAAUUGAGUCAGGAUCUAGCUUUCAACAAAAGUUAAAAGGUACUAUGCCAAUCCGCAUAUUUCUAUUAUUCUGUCAACCUGAUGCAUUAGUAUUUGUUUCUUCUUUCCUGUAGGUCUUUCCCCUGAUAAAAUGUUUCCUCAGGCGGAGUUUUCACCAUAUAAAAACGUUGAGUACAAAUGGAAUCCAAUGGUAUAAUAUCAUAAACUCUGUCUGAAUCUUUGAAGUUACAUCUUCUUGUGAUGGAUGUAUGUGGGUUAGAAAAUAUUUUAAUCAGUUAUUACCAAUCCAUUGUCAAGCAUUUCCAAGCUGUAUGCUAUUUUUUACUGGAAUUAUACGACAUCAUAAAUCCUUAUCUUGUGGUUUGUUCUUGGUGUAUAAAACGGAAUGCUUGUAUGUGCUAAGAUUUUCACUUACAAAGAAGUUCAUAAGACAGUCGCACAUUAUCUACCUUAGUAAAAUGAUAUCUUUUUCAUGGAGAAGAAAGUGGUUUCAAUUUUAUGAAUAGUUGCAGGCAGUGGGUCUUUAGCCCUCUUAACCAUUCUAAAAAUGAUACAUUUUAUUUGCAGGCAUCAAGCAUUAUGUGGAAAGCUUAUAAUUUUCCUGUGUACUUAUUGUCAGAAAGUGGUAUAACAGCUGUGCAGAAGGUAAUCCUUCAAACUUGCAUUCUUAUGGAAAUUAUAAUUGUAUGACUGUUGGUCACUCUUAAGAGCAGUAUUCCUUGAUGGAAAAAUGUUGCAUGAGACCUGCCUCUCAAUGUCAUGUGAAAUGAUUACUCUUACUUUAGACUGAACUAGAUUCCAGAAGUUUUGCUAAACAAUGGUUACUGAAUCAUGAUAGAAAUACAAUUUGGUCCUUCAGUGUUUGUAUUAUGCAUCUGGGUGCAGCUGAGAGUUUAUAGCUUUUGAAGUGCAGUUUGUUAAUUUCCUUAGCGUGCAAUUGGAACCAACCACUGCCUUUCCAUUUGUCUUGCGGUAGUGGCAAAUUCAUGACCUACCUGUAGUUUUAGAGAUUGUUGGAAAGACUAAAAAUGAAGUGUUUACUUGCAUGUUAAUAACCUAAUAUAUUUGUGCAGUUCCUUUCCAAGAAAGAUAUGAAGCAUAAAACUUACACCAGUGACGUCGCUGAAUUCAAUAUGGUUAUGGAGGUAUUUGGCUUUAGCAAUCUAGCUCACUGGAGUCUCAAACGUCUUCAUGAAUUUUUACUGUGACUGGCAUUUUGACCAUUUAUUUUAUGGAUUAGACUACCAAAGCUGGCACACACAAUUCGGAGGCUUGUUUACAGGAAGGAACCUGCCUCCCAUUGGGCGGAUAUAGGUAACAUUUUUGGAAGGUCUAACUGCUCUCAUGUACUGUCUGAUUUCAAAACAUGUGAUAACUUUUCAACGGAUAAGCUUCGUUUUUAAUAUCUUUGUUAUGAAGAACAGUGUUUGGUCCUCACUUCCACCAAUCAACGUUUCGUCUUCCAACAAUCGCAAACCAAUUGUGCUAACUGUGGCCUCCAUGGAUUCUGCAUCAUUUUUCCGUGACAAGAGCUUUGGUGCAGGUUCACCGAUAUCUGUGAGAUCUUGCUAUUUAUUGCUUCUGGCUUGACCUGUAUAUGUUUUAUUUACUCUUCUUUUUAGAUUCAGUGUUCAACGACCCAUUUGAUUUUCAGGGACUGGUAGCUCUUCUGGGAGCAGUUGAUGCUCUUUCUCGAGUUGAGGGUUUAAGUAAUCUCAAAAAGCAGGUGCCAAUUAAUAAAUAUAAUCACCUAGGACUUUCUAAAACACUUCAGUGUGCCAUGUGAAUUUGUUCUGUAGCUUGCACGUCGCUGUUCUGUGCCUCUUAUAGCUUGACGUGUGUAUCCUGCAGCUUGUAUUUUUGGUUCUGACCGGAGAAACGUGGGGUUACCUUGGCAGCAGGAGGUUCUUACACGAACUAGAUCUGCAUUCAGAUGCUGUUGCAGGCCUUAGCGAUACCCUGAUUGAAACGGUAACAUUUUUUGUUUUGAUCCGAGGAAGUUGGUAGAGACAGCUAGUCUCUCAUGCAUGAAUACCCUUGUGGAAAAAAGUUGCAUAAGUGUUAUCGUUGCUGCAACGUAUUUUGUUCCUUAGUAGCAAAGAAAAAAAAAGUUUGUUGCUUACCGAGUGUUCCUUGUGAUAUUGUGACUUCACAAUUCCCAAAUUGCUGUCUUCUAUUAUCUAUCAGGUGCUCGAAAUAGGAUCUGUUGGGAAAGGUUUGAGUGGAGGGAUCAAUACCUUCUUUGCUCAUAAAACCAGGGUGAGAAAUUCCUGAUGCGCUAAAACUCUUACGUAAUUAAUUAAAUCAUGUGAAUCUGUAGUAGGCGACUUAACCUCCACAUUUGGUCUUCUGCUUUAGGUUUCUUCUGCUACAAACAUGACACUGGAUGCUUUGAAGAUAGCUCAGGAUUCAUUUGCAUCAAAGAAUAUCAAGAUUCUUUCAGCGGAUAAGACAAACCCUGGAAUACCACCAUCAUCCACGAUGGCAUUCAUGAAGAAGGUAUAAUAUGUUUUCCAAGUAUACAUAGAUGGAAAGACAAUUCAAAUUCGUAUUCGUAAUUUGAAAGAGAAAGCAACUCUUCAAAUAUAUAUGAGCAUGGUGUUUUGAUCUCAUUUCUGUUUACCGUAAGAAAUCAUCAAUUGAUAGGAAAAGUAUGCUUAUUGCUUGAUGUUAAUGUGGUUCUUAAUCAGAUGGACAGUUGAUCAAAAAAAAAAAUUAGAUGGUCAAGAGUGAAAAAGUUAUAUAAUUUUUCAUUGUUGCAGAACCCUCAGACUUCAGCUGUUGUUCUUGAAGACUUUGAUACCAAGUUUGUGAAUAAGUUCUACCAUAGUCACCUCGAUGAUUUGUGUAAGAAGAAGUGUCACAACCUGUCUCUUCUUUUCGCUCUGAAACACCAGUUUGAACUUUUUCUGAUCCUUACUGGUAUUUCUAUUGCAGCAAAUAUCAACUCCUCAUCUGUAGUAGCUGCUGCUUCGGUUUUAGCCCGUACGCUUUACAUUCUUGCAAGUGACAACAAAGAUUCAGCUCUGGGAUCUAUUUAUGUCAAUGCUUCUUUCGUUGAAGAGCUUCUAGCCUGUCUUCUAUCUUGUGAGCCGGGGCUAUCAUGCAACUUGGUCAAAGAUUACAUUUCACCGACGAACACUUGCCCAGGCAACUAUGCUGGCGUCAUGAGUGGAGAACCUUCCUCCAACCCUUACCUUGGUUCCGUCGGUGACGUUUCUAGAUUCCUAUGGAACUUUCUGGCUGAAAAAACAUCUGUCCAAAAGGGAAACACAACCUCGGUUUGUUCAAAAGGAAGCUGUAGCAGAACCGACCAAGUGUGUAUCAAAGCAGAGAGUAACAAGGAGGGAACAUGCGUGGUCUCCACGACCAGGUAAACUCUUUUCGCUUAGAACUGUGUCUUGUGUCCUGAAACUGAACAAAUCAUAAGCUAGUGAUGUCACAUUAGAACUGUGUCUUGGAAGAAUCUUUCUAGGUUCUCUUCAGGUUGAUUCGGUUGUUCUGGUCGUAUCAGGUAUGUUCCAGCGUAUUCAACAAGAUUGAAGUAUGCAGAUGGCGCUUGGACUAUUCUGCCCCAAAACACAUCGGAUUCUAUGGGGAUGGUUGAUCCGGUCUGGACGGAGAGCAACUGGAACACUAUAGGCUUGCAAGUAUACACGGUCCAGCACUCAGCAUAUGACAAUGCAGUCCUUGUAGCGGGUAUUACAGUCGCAACACUGGCUUAUAUUGGAAUUAUGGUUGCCAAAUCGUUCAUCACAAAAGCUUUGAAGCAGGACUGAGACUUAUGAUUGUAGCUCCCAAAACUGUAUGGUGGUAGAAACCUUUUCUCACAAUUCACAACUAAAGUUAUAUUGAAAACACUUGUUCUUUUUUUUUUUUUAAAGAUAGUUCAUAUUAAAUUCUCACCAUUUAUCAAGAAUAAGCAAAAGCUUGAAUAAGCAAAGAAGUUGUUUAAACAGUCAAAGAAGUACCAAGCGUGCUCCAUUCAGUCUUCUGUGCUAAUAAAAGACUUCCUUCCUCUAAACUUUUGAGUAUUUCCUUUCCAAAGCUGAAGACGUAUUGGCAAAUUUCAGCCCGUUGUGAUGGUGAGGGUGAUUCAGGAAAAUUCAAAGUCUUUUAGAGUUUUGCUCCAUAUCAGAAUAAGCAGUGCUUGACACGUUACCAAGAUAACCAUCAUCAGCAAGGAGCUGAUUUGAUAUUCUGAUAGAUCGAAUCAAGAGAGCGAUUCUUCUUAGGGUUUGGGCAAUCUUCGAAAUAUUUAAUCCAACUAGUGCUUUUAGACUUUUGUCGUGCACUUUUAAGCUUUUAAUGUAUUUUGGUUUACAAUCCAUGUCCUUGUCAUAUAAGCAAUUUUGUGAAAGUUUUCAACGAUGCACUCAACAAGAAACUAGAGAUAUCUUCACCAUCCACAUCUACUAGCUAGGUUUUUUUCGUUUCUAAAGACAAGAAUAACAACAAAAAUCCCUUUUCCUUCUCAUCUACUUCCACUGCUUAAUCUCAGCUUCCCCCAGAAGGUAAAAAUUUGGGAAUCUAAGGUUUGCUUUAUUGAAUUUUUUUUGUUUUCUCUUGAGUUCUUAAUUGAUUUUUAGACAGUGGAUGUGAAACGGGUUCAGAUCUGAGUGGAUCAGAAGGUGAUGAUAGAUCAUGGGUUUUGAAAUUUGAGAGGCAAUGAUUUCUGAUGUAAAGUAGAUAUGAGGAUUAUGUGCAAGAUGAUUUCAAUCAUUGUUGUUUUAAGUGGUCAAGUUCCAUAUUAUAUCUCGUUCUUGAUGUUGAAUCUUCAAACAGCAUGUACAAAAAUCAAAGUCUAAAGAAUAAGAAAAGUUGGAAAACAUUUAAAUCUUGAUAAUGAUGUUUUGGUGAGAUGUUAGCGAAGAACAUAAUGAAAUGGUGAAAUCAGCUGCUGAAACUUAUAUAUGUAUAUGGUUUGAUUCAUGUUUUUUUACAUUUUGACUAGUACUAAAGGAAUUGCUGCAAUGGUUAGUAGUGUGUUUUACUUAUUUUGUCGUUUGGUUAACAAUCUUGUCUUCCACUUGGAACGGAGAUCGAGUACUGUGGCCCGAAAUGCGAAGAUGUAUCUUACCCGCUAUCUAAAAACCAAGGCAGUAAGUAGUAUCAUUUGCGUAAAUGGCACGAUUGUAUCUUAGUGUGUUUUUGUUUCCGUAACUGAAUGUUGUUGCAGAUAUUGAUGGAGCUUACUUUGGAACAACAUUCCAUCAUUUGUUAUUUGUGACUUAUGGGAACUUAAAGCCGCAGAAACUGACUCAGAGCUUAAUAUGUUCCAAGAAUCUAGGGCUGGGCAAAUAUAUCGAACCCGAAAAUCCGAACCGAACCCGAUCCGAUAAAAAUGAAUCCGAACCGAUCCGAACCCGACAUAAAUACCGAAUGGAUCUUGUUUUUUGGUAUUUUGGGUUAUGGGUAGGCUUGGGCGUUCGGGUACCCGUUGGCGUUCGGAUCGGGUUUUUCGGAUUUUGGUUCUUUUUUAUAACACCUCCUAGAUCCCAUUCUAGUAAAUUUGCAAGUACUGAUCGGGUUCGGGUCGGUUUUGUAUCACAUCAUAGAACCCAUAAAGUAAUCAUAUAUCAUUCGGAUUCGGGUUAUAUUGGAUCGGUUCGGAUAUACUCGAAAUAAAAUCUAAAAUUUAAAAGUAAAACAUAAGAAAUAUAUAUUUAUUUAUAUAUAAUUAAGUAUUUAAGGUAGUUAUUUAAAUUUUAAAUACUUAUUGUUAGAUAACAUAUCAAAAUAAAUAUGAAAUUAAAUAUUUGAAGUAUAUAUUCAUGUUUCAUUUAAUUAUAUUGUAUAUUAUUUUGGACAUUCGGAUCAGUUUCUUCGGAUAUUUUUUCGGUUUUUUCAGCUUUUCGGGUUACUCGUUUGGGUUCGGUUAAUAACACUUCGGGUUCGGAUAUGUUUUAUACCACCUUACAAGACCCAUUCGGAUAUUUUUUACAUUUCGGACCGGAUACGGAUCGGGUUUUUCGGUUCGGGUUCGGUUCGGGUUCGGUUCGGAUUUCGGGUUACGGAUAUUAUGCCCAUGCCUAGUUAUGGGUAUUAUCCGAACCGAACCCGGACCUAAAUGGAUAUCCGAUAGAACCCGAAACAUUUAAAAUCACAAAAAAAAACUUCUACCAAAUAUGAUCUUAAUUCUUAAUAUGUAUCCAAAAUACUUUAAGAUAUUAUUGAACUUCUAAAAUAAUUAUCUAUUACAUGAAGGUUGAUGGUGGAAUGUGGCGGUUGAAGACUGAAGUUUAUAGAUUUUGGUUUUGUUUUCACUGAAUAAUGUUUCUCAUUUCAUGAGAACUUAGUUUUUGUUUUAUGAUUUCAUUUGUCUGAUUUUCUUUCUAUCACUAACUAUGUUUAUCUUUCGCUUGAUUUUGAAUGAUCACGUUUAAUGUUUUUUCUUAUUUUUGAAUCGAUUUUACUUAUGUUUUGGCUAUUAAAAUAUGUUCAAAUCAUCUACAGUAGAACCUCUAUAAAUUAAUAAUCUUUAAAUUAAUAAUCUCUAUAAAUUAAUAAAUUUCACCGGUCCCAACUUGGACUGGUUCAAAAUUUGACACGAAUCGAUAAAAUAAUAAGAUAAUAUUGUUUUAGAAAAUUCUAUGUAAAAAUAUGGUCCCAUUAAAUAAUUUAUAUGUAUACAUAUUUUAUAUAAGUAGAACCUAUUAUUAUAUUAUUUAUUUUAUAUCCACAAAGGAAUUAUCUUUAUAUUUUCUUAACACUUAAAAUAUUUUUUGAUGAGAUUUAGUAAUAUUAUAUCUAAAACCACAUUUUAUGUUCUAUGCAAUAUAUAUUAUAUAUACCAAAUAAUAUAAUAAAAUUAAGAUAAAUGUAAAAUUUCAAAAAAUAACAAUUAAUGUCUAUACACUAAAAUCAAAUAUUUUUCUUAUAUUAUAAUAAAUAUAUCUUAAAACAAGAAAUCUAAAUAAGGAAACUUUUGUAAAUUAAUAUCUCUAUAAAUUAAUAAAAUUUCAAAGUCCCAACAUUAUUAAUUUAUAGAAGUUUUACUGUAUUUUAAAUCCAAAGAACCGAUUUCAUUGUUAUAAAAUAGGUACAAAUCAGGUAUUUUUAAACUGAAGAACCGAUUGGGAUCCGAGCCCGAAAGUACAAUGGGUUAUACCGGUUCUUUGAAGAUUUACUAAGUCCGACCCGAACCCGAUAGAACCCGAACCGGUCCCGAGCCGAACUUUUAUAUAACCCGAAUGAAGCUGAUUUUGAUAAACCCGAAAAACCAAAACCCGAAUGGAUAAAACCGAUCACCCGAAUGAGAUCCUGAAUGCCCAUGCCUACAAUAAUCUUUGGGUUUAAAAGUACACAAAUCCGUGAUAUGCUAGUGAAAGUUAUGAUAGCUCAGUUUUAUUUUCUCAUUGAGUGAAACAAUCACUGCUCUUUAGAGGAUGCGGGUUAAAAAACCGAAGUUGGAAUCUUGAAGAAUCUCAGGAAGUUCCAAGAGAAACUUGUCUCGUUGAGGGAGAGUGACAAAAGACAAUUUGGGGGAUUCAGAAGAUUUUUGCCUUAUUCGUUGGAAUUUUUGUUUUUGUUAUGGGCAUUUUAUGUUCUUUCUUAGCUUUGCAUAUUUAAUGUCAUUGUAAAAAUCAAAAAAAAAAAAUCCAAUAUAAAAUCAACCUCAUUGGUAAUAAACCCUCUAUAAUUGGUAAGGUAGAGUGUGUGUGUUUUGAAAUGUUACUCUGGUUAGCAAAUAUAUAUAUAUCUUCUCAGUUUAGAUAAACUAUUCCAAACCAAAAUAGAUAAAAGAGCAAACCAGCUUACAAACGGAUUCACUUUUUUUUAAUCCUUAGAAUCUGAAUCCAAUUUGAAAAUCCAUCAUAGUCAUUGUAACAUAUAAGAGCGAACCAGCUUAGGCUGAAUCUGAACAAGCUUAAAUUUAAGAGUUAUAGCAAUUCAAUACUCUGCCUACACAAAAUAAACGUCUUGAGCCAAAACAAAAAAGCAGAUUGUCAAAAGUCAAAACAAACAAUAAAAGCCAGCCACAACAUAUUUGCUCAACCUCCUUGAUGGUGCUUCUAACAGUUAUGGUACUAGCAGUAGAGGACAAGUUUUUUCAGUAUUUAACCCAAACCACACUAAAACUCAAUUAAAUCAGAUUCAGGAUUACACAUAAUUCAAGAUAAUAAAGUCUUUGAUACAAAACCAUAUCACAAUGUAACCAAAAACUAGAUUGUCAAAAAACCAAUAGAUAAAAAAGCAACAUCAGAUUUAAAUUUAACCUCAAUGGUGCUUUUAACACUCACUGCACUAGCACUGCUGCAAACAGAAUCAAUUUUCCGCAGAAUUGAUUACUGAACUGUUAUUCAAUAAUCACAAAAUAUCUAUCAAAUGCAUACUCCACUUACUUACUUCUAACAAAAAUCAUCCUCAAACAGAGUCUAUAUCCAUUUUCUCUAUUUUAGUCUUUUCCUGCUGNNNNNNNNNNNNNNNNNNNNNNNNNNNNNNNNNNNNNNNNNNNNNNNNNNNNNNNNNNNNNUCCUGCUGAGAAGAUACAGAUUUGUAAACCGUAAACUCAACAAAUGCAUUGAAUUAGACAUUCGCUAGGCUAGAAAAUUUCCUCAAUGUACUUAUCUCAUGUUUCACCAUAAUAUUGAAACCCAAAUCAUGUCAAUAACAAUUUCGAAGAGAAAUAGUUUAAAAUUCAAUACAGCGCAAACCAACUUAAAAAAAAAAUAGUGAAUCAGAGAAUUUCUUACUAAAUUUUGAGAAGCGAUUGAUGGUCAAAUACGACAGUGUUACGCGGACAAUCCAAGAAGAUACAAUGUUGAUAGGAUUAGAUUUUAGGAGGAAUCGGUCUCUGUGAUUUUAGGAGGUUUGGCGAGCACUGUGUGAAUCUUCCCUCUAAGGUGUUCAGAAGAAGGUGGAUUUCGUUUUUUUUUUUUGCAAAAAGAACCCUCUAAAAUGAAAAUAAAUAUGAAUAUCAAAUUGUCGCUUAAAAAAUGGUAGGAUAAACCUCUGAUUUUUGGAUUUAAUUUUGGUUUACUACCGAUUUGGUUUGGUCUAAAGUAUUAUCACCCAAAUUUUUAUUUGAUGGAAUUCAGUUUUAAAUGAUAUCAAUGGAGAGACUUUAGUUUAAUUUUUUUUUGGUUCAACUUUAAUUUGAACCAAAUCUAUAUCAAAUUUGGUUCACACAUGUUGGGUUUACUUGAUUUGUAUAAGGUUUGAUGGUUUAAGGAUCAUAUUAUCUUCGGGUACCAAAUGACCCAAGUGUUAUACAAAAUAUGAGUCGGAUGUAUGAGUCGGAUGUAGACAAAGAUUGCACUAGCACUGCACUAGUUCUGCAAACAAAAUAAGUUUUCCUCACAAUUGAUUACCAAACUAUUACUCAAUAAUCACAAAAUAUUGUAGCAAAUGCAUACCCCACUUACUUACUUUUAACAUAAAUUCUCCUCAAAACUCUACAUUUCGUAUAAAGAAGAACCAACACUUACCUCAAACAUCUUCAUCUUCAAUGCAUCCAAAUCAUGUUUUCCCAACAAUAAGUAGCAUGAUAUUGAACCCUAGCUCUCUAACCAUCCAUAUCACCCGAAAUAACUAAAAUGAUACAAGGUUCUUGGUUUUUGCCAAGUAAGCAUGAUCCCAGUAGAUUAUGCCCGCAAUUAUAGUUCUAUCUGCUAUAGGUUUAAAUACUGAUUUCACUGAAAAAUCAAAUUUCAAAGACCACGAUCACACAAAAUAAGAAAUAUGUUUCCAUUAAGUAUUAAGCAAAAGAAUGAGAUGGAAAAGUUACCUCUCGGAGUGUGGUUCACCACAAUGCUAUGAGCAUUGUAUUGCAUCAACUCUAGUUCAUCUAUGAAUCUUUCUGAAUAAGCUGCGAUCUCUAAAUUUCCUUUGUGACCCUGAUCAUUCAGAAAGUAUUGCAGGUUUGGGGAGAGAGUGAGGACAUCAAAUCCUUCCGGUAAACUGCAACUCUCUAUGUUCCAAGGAGCUCACAUACCAUCGUGAAAACUCAUCAAACUUUUGCCGGAUACAAAAUACCCAAAGAACCAAAUUUCACUUAACAAACCCUUCAACUCCAAAAGUUCAAUAAUAUCGGCUCAAUUUCUCGAUUCCGCAUCAAACCUUUCUCCACUCAUAAACUACUCAUUUUCUUCUCUACAGCAAGCCUUUAAGAAUUUUUUUUUUGGAAAAGCUUUUCCUCUACAUCCUUUAGAACUAACUCAUUAAACCCAUGUAUAAUCUUAAACCUCUCAACUCUUCCAUCAUUUCACACCCAUAAUCUUUUUGAAACUUCAUUCUUUGAUUUGCAAUCCAUGAGAGAUGCAGUCACCAAAAACUUAACGAAAAUAUCUUCCAUUUAUUCUCUUCACAAACACACUAUCUUGAAAAUCAAGUUUUUAAGCAUAUCAAAAAUAAGAAGAAUGAACAACAGAGUCUAUAUCCCUUUUCUCUCGUUUUUUCUUUUCCUGCUGACAACAUACAGAUUUGUAAACCGUAAUCUCAGCUAAGACAUUAAAUCAUACAUGCUCUAGGCUAGAAAAUCUCUUCAAUCUACUUAUCUCAUGUUUCACCAUAAUACUGAAAUCCAAAUCAUGUCAAUAACAAUCUAUAAGAGAAAUAGUAUAAAAUUCAAUACAUCGCAAACCAACUUAAACAAAUAGCGAAUCAGAGGAUUACUUACCAAAAUUUUGAGAAGCGAUGAUGGUGUAAUACGAUAGUGAUGAGAAGCGAAUAUUGUGAAACGCGGAAAAUCCAAGAAGAUACAACAUUGAAUGGAUUAGAUUUUAGGAGGAAUCAGUCUCGGUGAUUGAUGAUGGAAUCGGUCUCGGUGAUUGAUGAUGGAAUCGGUCUCAGUGAUUUUAAGAGGUUUGGCAAACACUAUGUGAUUCUUCACUCUUAGGUGUUCAGUAAAAUAUGGAUUUUUUUUUUUCAAAAAGAACACUCUAAAUGAAAAAAAUUGCAUAUUAAACUGUGAUUAAAGAAAUGCAAGAUAAACCUUCAAUUUUUGGAUUUAAUUUCAGAUUACUACUGAUUUUGUUUGGUCUAAAGUACUGUCACCCAAAUUUUGAUUUGAUAGAAUUCAGUUUAAACUGAUUAUCAAUGGAGAGACUUAAGUUUAAUUUAAUUUUGGUUUAACUUUAAAUUGAACCAAAUCUUAAUCAAUUUUGGUUCACACAUGUUUGAGUUUACUUUUUAUUGGUUUUUAUUAACUUGACCUCUUUUUUUUUUGUCAAAAUAGAUUUGUAUAUGAUUACGCAUAAACAUAUCACAAUGUAACCAAAAACUAGAUUGUCAAAACUAAAAGAUAAAAGAAACCAGAACAGGUUUUAAUUUAACCUCCAUGGUGCUUUAGUGCACUAGCACUGCUGCAAACAUAAUUAGUUUUCCUCACAAUUGAUUACCAAGCUAUUACUCAAUAAUCACAAAAUAUCGUAGCAAAUGUAUACCACUUCCUUCUAACAUAAAUUCUCCUCAGACCCUCUACAUAUUGUAUCAUCAAUUUCCUAUUGUGAAACAAACUGUCAAAGUACAAAACAAAUAUUCUUAUCCACUACAAGAAUCACUCUGAAACCAAGAGAGCUAUAACUGCUCUAUUGUAGAAAUCAUAUCAACAUCUCCGGAAAUCACAAGCAUUGUCGUUGGUUCGUGGUGCUUGUCAAGAUAAUUGUGAAACCAGUCCACAGUGCCCACAAUCAUUGCUUUGUCGGCGGUAUCUUUAUCUUUGGUUAAUUCUGAAAUAAGAAAGUAUCAAGUUAUGAAAUCAACGGCUAUAUCACUAUCUUCGUGUGAUUGUAAAUAAGAAUGUAAUCAAGGUAUGAAAUCAAAGAGAGAAAUAAAGCGCUUACCCUUAGGAGAAAAAUACAUCAUCUGUCAUGGCUACCUCGAAAUAAGACAGUAGCUCGACAUCCUCCAGUCGUAUGUAGCCACAAGACUUUAGAUAGUUGACUAGUUUUCCUCAAAGAGAUUCGAUGUUAAAUUCUUCUGGUAAUUCACAAUUAGAGAAAUCUCUGUCAAAAUAAUUAGUUGGAACUUUUCCAUAAACCGAUUCCCAAGUAUCCCUUAUCAAAUCUUGUUUCAACAUAUAUUUUUGGUUAUUGCAAAAUUCAUUUGCUUGAUUGGUGCAACCAUGAUAAAAAAAGCCAUUUUAGUUUUUUGUGGGAGAAAUUUUACAUUUGGAGGUAAUAUUUGAUCUCUUACUCUAGAGAUCUUUCCCAAAAUUUCAACGGUUCGAAAGAAAUUGUUCUCUGAAUAUGCAAGAUUUCUUUGCUGCAAAAAGUAAGCAGCCAUCUAUUCCUUUUCUGAUUUAAAGUCAUUCAGUAACGCCAUGACAAACAACCUUGUCAAAUCCUCUUUCAUUUUUCUCCUGUUGGCUGGAAAAUAUGUUGUCAUAAUUAAGCUCUCAGAUUCUCUCAGGUUACAGCCACGAGAACAGUCGCCGGGGAAAAAAAAAAUAUUUAUCCAUAUUAACUCGAUUUAUCCCUUAUAUUUUAAUUUCCAAUCAAGAUCCCAAACAAACUUAUUCAUUGGAUUGAGCUUCCCGAACAUUGACUUGAUAUUACCAUAAAUGUGUCUAACACAAUGCAUAUAUUCGGCAGCAAGUAAUUGUUUCUUCACAACACUGAUUAAUCUAUACAAAAGCAAACAUCCAAGUAAUAACAUUGGGAAUUAAAUGAAAAGAAAUAAGGUUAAAGCAUUAACAAAUAACCAACAUUACCUUUUGCUGAUUUGAGACCAUCACAAAGCUUGUUUCAUCACCUAAACCUAAGUCUUCUUGUAGCUUCUUCACAAACCACUCUCAGUUAUUUGUAUUCUCUUUCUCGCCAUUUCCCCCAUUCAAUUGGAUAGAUCUGGUUAUCACCAUCCCUCCCAAGUUCUACCAGAAACUGCCCUUUAACCUUAGAAUUCAAGAAGGUUCCAUCAAUAACAAUCAGUUGUUUACAUGUAGCUUUCCAAGACCUUCUCAACACAUGAGAGCACAUAAAUAAUUUUAAGAACAAAUCCUCACCAUCUGAGUUCUUAUAGCUUUGCAUUUCAACAAAACCACUGAAAUUUGAGUGAAAGAUCUCAGUUCCAUCAUCCCUCGUAUAAAAGUGAUAUUUCUUUACAUUUAAAAUCAAUCGAACCGAAUGGUUUGAUUUUCUGGUUCAUUAAUGUUCUUUUCAUUUUUGUAAUUGUUUGUUGAAACUGUAUGGCUCGUUCAUAGUUUUUCUUGUAACCGAAAUAUGAAUGUUUAAAAAACAUAUACUGACUACUGUUCACUAUCUUUUUUAUACUAAAGAUAUAUAUAUCUACAAGAGAAUCUACACUCGAAAAUAAUGCAAUUUCAGCUUGCAAACACUGCACGGAUUAAAUGUAAGGAAAGUAACAAAGAUGGUAUCUUACUUUGGAUUAUCUACUUCUUUCUUCGCAUAUUACUUGCAGAGCCGGCCUUAAAGGAAAGGUAAUGAACCCUGUGCUUGCGGCCGCCAAAUAUUAUCAUUUUAAACGGCCACGUUUGAACAGAAAGUUCUUAGUAUCAUAGUGGUUUGGCUUGAUGUUGUACGCAUCCAAGGUCAUGGGUUCGAAGUGACUCCGGCCACAUUAAUUUUUUUUUUUUUUUUUUUUUUUUUUUGCAUCCAAGGGCAUGGGUUCGAAGUGGCUCCGGCCACAUUAAUUUUUUUUUUUUUUUUUUUUUUUUCAAUAAAAAUUCCUUUAUUUAUUUAAUCAGAGAUUACAACUCUACUACUGCAGGAAAAAAAAACCCACAACCGGGCCAUCAAGAAAUAAAGACUGAAUCCAAACCUGUACUUUCUUCUGCAAACUUUUGUCGCCUAUUUCCUAGCUAUCUCCUAGCUUUCUCUAAAAAGGAACUCCAUCUACUCUUCUACCCUUCAACAAACUUCAAAAUCUACCAAACCAAGUCCCAAGCAAAGUUGUAUCUGUUCUGCGAGAGUUAUGAGCUCUUGACAAGGGGUCCAAACGCGCUAGAACUACUUGCUUGAUCUCAGCAAUCAAAAUCCGAGCUGGUCUGAAACUUUGGUUAUGCACUCUAGCAUUUCUUUCCUUCCAAAUACUAUAUAUCGCUGCUUGAUAUACAAGCUUGAUGAUCAACUUCAAAAACUCAUCCGAGGAAGGGUUACUCAACCAUCUUAACCCAUCCUCAAAUAUCACAGGAGGAGUAAUUGAGAGCCUAGCGCAGAAGAACGACCACACCUCCGCACUGAAGCAGCAGUCAAAGAACAAGUGUUGCCUUGACUCAUCCGCAGCGUUACAAAGGAUGCAACCCGCAGGUACCUGCAGCCCCCACCUUCUCAUUCUGUCCCGAGUGCCCAAUCUGUCUCUAGCCGUCACCCAAGUAAUGAAUGCAUGCUUUGGAAUUCUCCCUUGGAACCACACUUGUCUGUGCCAAAACACUGUCUCUCCUUGCGUUCGAAGGGCUUCCCAUGUACUAGCUGUUGAGAAAGAACUCGACGCUGCAUUAUUUCCCGGUUUCCACAAAUAAAUAUCGUCCACCUCUGACGAUAAAAUAGGAGCCACUUCCGGAAGACAUUCCCUCAACAAUGAUAUGAACCUGUUCCUGCUACGGCUUCUACUAAUCCACCAGGCCCCAUUACUAAUUGCCCCCGCAACAACUUCAUUCUCAUGUAGUCCCGUAACAGCUGGUCCUCGCGGUCCUGUGAUAUCAAUCAGUGGACCUAGAGAUGUCCAAUUGUCGUGCCAGAAACUUGCACUUCUACCGUUACCAACCUCACACACUAGCAUGGGCCGAGCAAGAUAUCUCAGAUUACACAAACUCUUCCAAAUCCAGCUAUCAGUUCUAUGUGGCUGAAGCUCCCAAAAAUUUCUAUCUCCAAUCAAAUGCCUCCUAACGCAAGAAACCCACAAAGAUCCUCCUGCUGCAAAUAAAAGCCAGAUUAACUUUAACCCAAGCACCUCAUUCCAUUCCUCCAAUCUCCUAAGCCCUAACCCUCCUUCUUCCUUAGGUGUACAAACUGAUACCCAUGAGAUUUUCGCACCUCUAGCUGAUGUUGGAGCUCCUCUCCACAAGAAAGCAUUACACAUUUGUUCCAGCAAUUUAAUACACUCUGUGGGAAUGAUGAAUAUCGAGGCCCAGAAAGAUAUGGUGGAGUAUAUCACUGCCUGAAUGAGUUGAAAACGUCCGGCAAAUGACAAGUGACGAACCGUCCAGGAGUUAAAUCUUAAUGAGAUUUUAUCCAGUAGCGGCUGGAAAUCACUUUUCUUCAUCUUCUUUGAUGACAGAGGAACUCCCAAAUAUCUAAUAGGUAGAGACCCUUGCUUAACUCCCAACCUGGCUGCCAUCUCUUGACAUCUAACUGAGCAACCUCCAUCGAUCAGCAACUCUGUCUUAUCUUUAUUUAUCUUCAGCCCUGAUAUUGUUUUAAACUCCUCCAAUAUCCCCAGAAUACCAGCAAGGGACUCCUCAGAUCCAUCAAAAAAAUUAAUACAUCGUCCGCGAAACUAAGGUGAGUGAUAAGUGGCUCCUCGCAUGAAGGAUGUGGCCUGAAUACAUGAUUUUCAGCUCCUUUGUCCAACAUCUUCGACAAAACAUCCAUUGCCAUAACAAAUAGUAGUGAAGAGAUCGGAUCUCCCUGUCUCAAUCCUUUUUUCCCAACAAAAUGCCCGUUCAUCUCACCAUUAACAAUCACUGAGUAGGAAGGAGUUGAGAUACAUUCUUUGAUCCACCCAAUGAAUUUGUUUGGCAUCUCAAAAGACUUCAUCAAGUUAAGGACAAACUCCCAAUGGAUAUUGUCGUACGCCUUCGACAAGUCAAUCUUUAAACAACCUCUACUAAUCUCUCCUUCUUUAUGGAAAUCAUUCACAAGCUCUGAUGCCAAUAACACAUUCUCACAGAGUAACCGCUUCUGCACAAAUCCCACCUGGUUCCUUUGUACAAUACUGUCAACAACCAGCUGUAGUUUCCUCUUUAAGAGCCUUGCAAUGACCUUAUAGAUCGUAGAACACAGAGAUACCGGUCUGAAAAGAUUGAGCUUAUCCGCCCCCACAACCUUCGGUAUAAGAGCAAUUGCUGUUUCAUUGAAACCUUUCAGCAACCUCUCAGCAAUGAAGAACUCCUGUACCGCCUUGACCGAAUCAUUACCUACGACACUCCAUGCCUCCCAAAAAAACUCCACUGGGAACCCGUCAGGCCCUGGCGCCUUGUUCUUUGGUAAAUCAAAGAACAUACUUUUAAUAUCCUCCACUGAAGGAAUCCUGAUCAUCUCCUCCUUGACCCCUUCAGAACAACGAAACACUACCAGAUUUUGUAAUUCCUCCACUGUCAAAGGCACUACCUCCUCAUUAACAGACCCAAGUAGAUUCUGGAAGUAAGAUACCACCAUGUCUUUGAUCUGAGCCUUAUUUGUCACUUUCAAACCAUGCGCAUCUACAAGGUACCUUAUAGCGUUCCUCGCUUGAUGAGCAACUACCGAAUUAUAAUAAAAUUUAGUAUUUGCAUCCCCAUCUUUAAACCAUCGAACUCUUGACUUCCUUAUGAAAAAAAUAUUCUGCGCAGCCUCAAAGAACUUCCAUUUCUUCCUUGCUACAAACUCUUUUCGGAAUAAAGAAUCUGUAGGCGAGGUUAACAGACGUUCCUGAACGCUCUUUAGAUUCAACAUAGCCUCCUUCGCCCUCUGCUGUAUGUUCUCGCACCCCACUCUAUUAAUUUCCCUACAUUUAGAUUCAACAUAGCCUCCUUCGUCCUCUGCUGUAUGUUCUCUAACCCCACUCUAUUAAUCUCCCUACAAGCCUUCUUCACUGCUUUCAAUCUCUGUUUCAGGGAGAACAUCUUUGAUCCUGUAAGAAUACUCUCCUCCCAGGCCACUUGGAUAUCUCCCAAAAACCUAGGGUGAGUCGACAAGAAAGAGAAGUAUUUGAAACUUGUCUUUCGAAACUCAGGUUCCACCUCAAAAUCCACUACACACGGCGCAUGAUCCGAAUCUCCAGGCGCCUCAAACACCGCUACAACCUCCUGAAAACUCUGUCUCCAAGUGUCAUUUCCCAACGCUCUAUCCAAUUUUCUUAGAAUAGGAGGUCUCCCAUUCGACCAAGAAAAGAAUACUCCACGCGUUUCCAGAUCAUCCAACCCGCUGUCUAGUAAACACUCCUGAAAUUCCCUCAUCCCACUUACUGGGAGCUGGUAUGAAUCAAUAGAGAAAUGUUCUGAAGCCACUCUGAUCUGAUUGAAGUCUCCCAAUACCAGCAGAGGAGCUUCCAUUACCAAUCUAUUUCCUGAAACUGUAACCAGCUCUUCCCAUAAACUUCUUCUCUGGAUCUCUGUGUUAUAAGCGUAUACAAAUAUUACCGUGAAUGAUAAUCCUGUCUCCGGUCUAAUCUUUUCUAGCGACACUUGUUAGUCUUAAAUUGGCUUCUAGCGACACUUGUUAGUCUUAUCUAAAUUGGCUUCUAGCGACACUUGUUAGUCUUAUCUAAUCUUUUCUACUUUUACCAAGUCAUUAUUGUUUUGACAACCCAAAAAAUAAUAACAAAUGUUGUUAAAAUGCCCAGGACUAAAAUAUCUUUUGUUAACAACAUUUGUUUUAUUAUUUAGUUAAAAUAUCUUUUGUUAACAACAUUUGUUAUUAUUUUUUAAUAUUUUUAAAGUAAUAUAAAGCUUUAAAAUGUAAAAUUUAGAGUUUUAAAAUGUUUUAUUUUAAUUAUUAAUAGUUUCAUUUAAGUUGUUUUGUAAAAUUUUAGAUAUAUAUGACAAAUAUUCAACUAAAGUUGAUGGAAUUGGGUAUAUCAUGUCCUUUUCAGAUCCUAAAAACCUCAACUAAAGUUGAUGGAAUUGGGUAUAUCGUGUCUUUUUCAGAUCCUAAAAACCUGAAUCCGAUCCGGACCCGAUAUGGACCCGAAAAAUUACGGGUAUUUUAUGGGUAUUUUAAUUAUAGACCCGAACCGAACCGGAUCCGAGAAAAACCGAUCCGAACCCGAACCGAAAAUUUUUAAAUACCUAUUGGAUCUAAAUAUUUAGGACCUGAAAAGAGCCGGACCCGAAAGGAACCGGUCCGAACCCGACCCGAAGACCCGAACUCCCGGGCCUAGUCUCUGAGUAAUCUUUCUUCUACGGCGUUUUUCCCCUCUUAUCUCUCGUAUUGUAUCUUCUCCCCUAUACACCUCCCUUGAUUCGCCGAUGUCUAUUAUGAGGACUAGUCUCCAGGACGGUCGAUUCAUCAGUAAGUUCUCUCUAGAUCUGUCAUCUUGCCUAUUGUUUCAGUUUUUACCUUUUUUAUUUUUUUUGGUAUUUGAAAUUUAUCUCUCGUUGAUUAGAAAAAACUAGACCAUUAGGUUUUCACCAACUAAUGGAUACGAUGGGCAAUUGUUAUUUCGUAAUUUACUUAUUUCAUUUCUGUUCGCAGGGGCAAAAACAAUAGCCUUCUGGGACAUCAAUGCUUGCCAGAUACCUGAUGGCCUCGGUGCAGGAGUUAUAAGUGAGAGCGUUAACCAGACCCUUAUGAACAUGAAUUACUAUGGUGAAUUGUGUUUGAGGCUAUAUGGCGACACUGAUAUGGACAAACUCGUUCCUACUUAUCAUACAUUUGACUUCUGUGGCCUGCCUCGUAUGUUAUUGAAUCCUUUCUUUAAUCUUUCUCUCUUUUACAUGUGUCACUGUAUCUUGAUGAUGAUAUGUUUAUAUAUGGUUUCCGGUUCUAAAGACACGACAAUAUUGGAGCAGAUAUUAGUGGACUUAUACGGUGACACUCUGUUUAAUCGUGGUACACAAAUUAAUAUGUUGCUAAUUGUUGGAGAUUUAUCAAAAGACAAAGCCAUCAUCGACGCUUUCUGCCCCCAUUCAACAGUCUAGGAAAGGGCCAUAACUGUUUCUAUUAAUCCAUUUCCCCAUCCAAGUCCUUAAUUUUUUUUUCCACCAAAUUUUGAUUUUAUUAAUGAUCAGCCAUCAGCUGUUGAGGCAGCAGUAUUCUCCUCUGAAGUUCAGCUUCCACCUUGGGAAAAAAUUGUAGAAACUGCUUUUGCGAUUUGUGAAAAGAAGGAGAAAGAGAGAGUAGAUUACAGAAAAGAGAUCAGAAGAAAUACCAGCCAAAGUUAGCCUGUGUCUUUGGUGAAUUCUUAAGACAAAAUCAAACAAGCUUUCUCUCACUAUAUUGCUUCGUUUAUCUCUAAACUCUUGCAUCUUUCCUUUGAUUUUCUGUUGCUAAAACCUUGGAUUUUAACAUAAAGCAAUAAAAAACAAAAACUAUGGAUUUGGUUAUGUUAUUUUUUCAUUCUAUAUGUUUCAUUUUGCUUUCAUAACUUUGGAU